UAGUAGCCCUAUAUAGACCCAUGAAUUUAUAUAGGGAGUAUGGACGAGUGUAAAUACAUACAUAUAUUAUAGAGUCUGAGAGGCUCGAUAUUUUAUGGGAUAAAGGUUUUAUCGCUUGCGGCAUGCAUUCGAUUUUUCCUUAGAAAUUAAUUUGGGGAAACAUAAAUAUUUUAAUUAUUAAUUUAUUUUUGUCCACUCACUCUAACGUUAUUAAAUGUUUUCCCCUGGGCCCUUCGUUUUAAAUUGCCCAGUCUGCAGAGUUCGGGUUGGAUCUAGUAGGAGACGAGGCAUAGUCACCCGCUUUUUGGCCAGUUUUCAUCAGUAGGUUACCUGUUCAACCUACUCGUGUUUUCUUGCUUCCGUUUGUGUUUAGUAGCUCUGAAUACUUUAGAAUUUUGUAUAUUAUGUGAUAUUCAGAAGCGUUAAAUUAAGAGUGUAAUAUGAAAUUUUCCAGUUAGGGUUGUCCAUCUGCAAGGGAGAUUUGCUUAAUCUUUUUAGUAAAUUUUCCUUGGAGGUGGUCCCCGCACGACUUACUCUGGGUUUCAGGGUGAAAUUCGGGGUGGGUCGUGUUACUAAAGGAAUAAGAGGAGCGUGCCCAGCAGCAAAUCCAAGAGGUCUAGCAGCGUGUCCUGCGUGCCGAGUCUAUGUAUAGUGCUGUGCAGUCCCAAGUUGCAGCCAUAUAUAGGCACCUAGGUAUGCCACCUCCUCCUCCUCCUCCACAAUCUUCUCCUCCUCCACAAGUUUCCCCACAAAACAAUGAUGAUGAUAGAGGCGACGACAUCGGAUUGGACGAGAAUGCCAAUUGGCAUUAUUGAUUUUUGUAGUACUUCAUUCAUAAUUUAGGUAGCUAGAUAGUAUGUAUGAACAAUUUUCUAGCUAGUUCAUUAUUUUGUAUAUAUGAACAAUAUUUGUCCAUCUAGUUAUCAUGAUCAAUAUAUGAAUAUGUUUUCCAAAUCCAGUGCUUCCUCCCUGUUGUAUCUGUAUGUGUUUGAUUAUUUUUACUGAUUUAUAAUUCAGUGCUUCCUCCCUGUUGUAUCGAUGGAAACAGUAAAAUUCGUCUCCCAAGAUAAACCACCUAGGCAAUGGAAAAUGAAACAUUCGUCGCCUAAGAUAAACCACCUAUCCGACGAAUACAAAGAAUGAUCAUAAACUAAGAACUGUUAUGAAUUCGUCGGUUUAAAACUCUGCCGACGAAUAUUUAAUCGCUUAAGGACAAUGCAUUAUUCGUCGGUAAACAUACUUACCGACAAAUCUUUCGUCGGCUAAUAACAAUUUCAUUUUCGUCGGCUAAGAGGCUUUCCGACGCAAAUGUUCCGUCGAUAGAGGUUUUUAUCGACGAACAAGUUUGUCGACAAGGCAGGAAAAGAUCCGUCCGGUAGGAUUGCUCUUAGUCAACGACUAACUUUGGUUCCGUCGCCUAAGUGUCUACCUGACGACACUUAGGCGACGAAACUUAGUCGACAAAUUAUUCGUCUGCCAAGAACCUAGGCGAUGAAUACUUAGUCUUAGGCGACGAGUUGUUUCCGUCGCCUAGGAAGAGAUUUCCUGUAGUGUGCCUACUUCGCCUUCUGUUGGUUCUCUCGGGGACACUUCCUCUGCGCAGGGUAGUUCCGGGAGGAGGAGAAUAAGUUAGCUUUGUCUAACAAGUUGACCUCGCUUAUAGAUUAUGGCAUUAAAAUUGCUUAGGGUACCUAGGUUCUUAGGUCUUAAGUUUUCUGGGUUGUUUUGUCGCGGUUCUUUUCUUUGGUACCAUCGUGUCUUUGCACUCUUAUUUUCAUGUUUCAAUGGAAUGACGUUUUUUAUCCAAAAAAAAAAAAACCUUUCAACAAAUUAAGCUAAAUAAAUAGAUUUGCUGUUGGAGAUGCCCUAAUGGAUGAAGAAUGGGAGUUAAUACCUAUGAGGCUAUGAAACCACAAAACACAUGUUUUUAUGUUUAUAUUUAUAAAGAGUACCUAGAUGUCGGUUUUACCAUCAUAUUUAAUUGAAAAGUUACGGGAGAACCAAACUGUCAAAUAAAGCAUAACUUGAGGUAUCAAAGUGUCAUCAUUUAAACAUGAGAAACUUCGAAAAUAAACCUCUUUUUGAUUGUUGAAUUGAUUUUUAACCUUGUUUUCUAAAUUUUUUAAAACUAACUAGUUAUCAGGAUAAAAUGUCCUACAAGUCCUUAUCAAAUAUCUAACUAACCCUUUCCCUCUCCUCCAUUCUUUCAGCGACAGAAACUCGUCACUAGUGUUCGUAGAUUUUCUUGUUGGUUUCAUUAAUGAAAGGGUUUUAUGGGAUUCUAAAGAAGCCAAUAAUGACUUGCUCCGCACUAUACAGAAGGAAAAAUUCAAACUCUUUGAACUUAGCUCAUGUAUACAUAAGGGUUCUUGUUAGUUGUGUGUUUAGAACAUUUUUGUUCAUUUGACACAAAACUUGAACUUGAGAAACCUUUCAAAUGGAAGAUCGCUGAAAAAAAAAAACUGAGAUUGAGAUAAAGUUGGAACUUCUCAUCAACAGAUAGCUACGUCCUUGUUUAAGGAGAAAUUUUUAAGAAUGACCACUUUUAGGUGGAUUCCGAUGGUUUUAAAGAACUAUGUCAGAACUAGUAAAAAAUAUUCUCUAUAUAUAAUGGGAUAUUCUGUUGAGUCUUAAACUUAAACUAUGUUAUGUAAUGAUUCAAUUGAGAAAUAAAAGAUAACAUGCUGCCAAAAUAUAUAGAGAGAAGAGAGAGAUUAAUUAAUGAUGUUUUUGACCAUUACCGAGGGAGAAGAUAGAGAGAGAUACUUGAAAGAGAGAGGUGAUAGAUAAUUGUAGUUUAACCAAAUCAACAAUGGGCGGUUCUAGUUACACCUCCUAAUUUACUUUGUAUAUCUCUAUUAUUUUUUGUAAAAAUUUAUUUCAUGUUUUACCCUUCAAUAAAUAAACAAAGAACAUUAAUCGUUCCAAUCUGAGUACAGCCUCCUUCUCUCCCUUUCUUCCAUUUUCAUAUGUGAAUUCAUUUAGUUGAAUAAUCAACCCUUCCGUACAGUAGUCCAUAACUAGAAUUUUCCCUAAGCAAGAAGGCUAGGGUGAGUUGAUGCAUAGUAUGCAUAAACUAUUUUAAAAUAAUACAUAAAAAUGAAAAACUUGUUGUACAGGUAAACAUGUCAUCCAGUAAUAUUGUGACAUCUGUAAAAAAAUUACAAUUUUAAGGACCUUUUAAUUAGGUUCUACAUGAAUUGUUCAAAAACUUGUAAUAAGAGUCGUAAAUGUUGUAAUUACUUCGUUGUUUACCACUGUAAUUAUCACUAAAUACGUUAAAUGUGGUAUUUGUUGUAAAGAUAUCAUGAACGGUGUAAUUUACUUAUAAAAAGACCAUAAUUACAUAAAAAAAACUAAUUUACAAGAUUAAUUAACGACUUCAGAUAUUUUAGGUCUAAUUAUUAAUAUUUACAAUAUUCGUUGUCACUAGAUGUAAAAUUAUCGUUCUUUUUGUAAAAAUGAUUGUAUUCCAAGUAAUAUCAAGAAUACGACCAUAAUUACCAGUUAUACCUCAGUUGUUGUAAUUUAUAGUAAAACACGUUGUAUUAUGAGUAAUUAUCUCAAUUAUAACAAAAUUUACAUAAAGUAAGGUAUUAGUUACAUGAUAAAGGACUUUAUUACACAAACAACUUAUUUACCAUAGGUGCAUCAGUUUUACUACUCUUACGACAAUUUGUUGUCAGAUUGGUAAAAUGGUUAUCGAACUUGUAAUUGAAAAAAUUACUAUAAAUACAAACUUGAUUACUACUUUUUUAAUAAUUUGUCGACUUAUGAAUCAAAUGGUACUCAUACAAAGAAUUACCACAAAAUCGAUCCUGAUUUACUUUCCACCUAAGUUGUUGAUAAACUAUGUAGAAACGUCGUCACAUAAUUCAAAACUCGGAGGACAAUAAUUACAAUAUAAUGAUCUCAACUACACCCUAUAAAGGACUCAACGAUUACUCAUAUUAUUAACAGUUUACUAGUAUAACAACACAUUCGUUGUUUUAUUGGUGUACAUGUUCUCUAAACUUGUAAUGAUAAAGUUUGAACACUUUUACCAUGAUACAUUAUCUCGAACCGUUUCGACUUUUUUUUUCUUUUAUUUAAGAUAGUCGAAUCGGUAAUCUUCAAUCGUUACAGUGAAGUUUGACACUAUCAUGAACUGAUUGAACGCUUCAAUUACUUUAUGCUUGUAUCUGAGCACAACCCCCUCCUAUAUAUGCCCUUUAUGUAGGUACAAAUUCUUGUAGGCAACAUCAAGGUAGUCCUGGUUUGAUUUUUCAGGUUGAAGAACACUCUUCAUGAUCUCAUAGAAGAAUAAUGGAACAAAUAUUUGGAGACACGACUGGUGAAUCAACACCUUUAGGGGUUGUUUUCAUAUUUUGGACAUAACCCACUUGAGCGAGUUCAGAGCAGAUGCCCAUCCAUCCGCAGCUGCUGAAGCAUGAUGAUUGUAUAUAUGCACUGGUGCUUACCAUGGAUAACAGAUACUUGGAAUGAAUUGUUCAUAGCGCAGUUAAAUAAGGUCACAUUGAUAACAAAGUUAAUCUUGUGUGUGGAGGAUUCUCAUUUCUUUUUGCAUUGCCAGUUGACUCUCCUACCACAAAGCUUCAAAAUAAGUAAUUAACCAUCUGAUCACACAGAACAUAACCAUUCGUUUUGUAAUUCAGUAAUUUAUUGAUGAAGAAGGUAACUCCUACUUCCGGUCAAAAGCCAAAGAAGUUUGGAUUACAAUCGGAAAAGUCGAAGAGCAAACAUUCGGGAUUUGGUACACAUCUUAAUACAAGAAUCUAUACUAGGAGGAGAAACUUAAUUGACCUCCAUGGUCCAUCCCUUCUUGUCCUCGAGACGACCAGUUUGGAUCCCUGAACUCAUACAUCGGUGUGUACAUCAGCAAGGAGCUUCUUGCUUAGACUGGCGGACUUGGCAAACGGGCUUCUCCUCUUUCUCCUUUCCUCUCGUCUUCUCCUCUUCCACCUUCCUCUCGUCCUCUCCUCCUUCACGUUAAUUAGGGUUUCUUUAAGCAAACACAACAAAAUGGUAGUAUCAGAGAAAAAAUUGACGAACUCGACUUCUCUCUUCUCUUCGGACUCAACUUCUCUCUUUUCUUCGACUUCUCUUUUCUCUUCGAACUUGAUUUUUCUCUUCUCUUCGACCUUGACUUCUCUUUUCACUUCGAACUGGAUUUUCUCUUCUCUAUAUAUGGACUCGACUGCCUAUUCUUAAGAUUUUUUUUCAUUUAGGGUUCUGCAUACUUUGGUUCGUUUUGUUGUUGUUGGAAUAUUUGUAAGUUUUUAAUUCAUACAUAUAUAAGAUAUAAUUUAUUUUUCUUUUGGUCAUCCGCCUUUGCUCUUAAACACCCAGUGUAUCUCAUGAUCACUUCUUCUAAUACCUAAUUUUUGUUAUCAAUUCCAUUUCUUUCUUGUUAAGCUCAGCCUCUAUGUAUCUAGCAAUGACUUCCAUAACUAAAAUUGCUGGUUUGAUUUUGAACAGAGGAAUGGAAUGAAAAAGUUGAAAAGUAAUUUGACUGAGAUUUUUAAUUGAAAGCUUGCAAAAUGAUUGAGAAAGAGAAUUUUUGGGUUGACAUAUAUCAUAGAGAUGAGAGAAUGAGAAAUCGCAUCGCUGGGUAGGUUUUGGUUGCACAGAUGAAAAUGGAAGAAAGGGAGAGAAGGAGGCUCUCCUCAGAUUGGGAACAAUCAAUAUUCUUUGUUUUUUAUUGGAUGGUAAAUCAAAAAAUAAUGGAGGUAUACAAAGUAAAUUGAAAAGUGUAACUAGAACCCCCCAUCAACAAUUGAUAUAAAAAAAUUGGGAUUUAUUAUCCAUGAUGAAAAAUUGAAUUUAAAGAAGGAUGAGUGCGAAUAUUGAUACCUCAAAAUUUGCUCAGUAUACCUCUCAUUUUCUCUACACCUCUAAUUUACUUUUAAAUAUCAGCAUUUGUUCACUAGAUCUCCUUUCAAAUUCCUAAAAUAACUUUGUUUAUGUAAUUCACAAAUAUUUAAACAUAUUACUCAUUACACCUCUUAUUCACUCACUUGACCUCCCAUUCUUUUUAUUUCAUACGAAUAUUCAUUCCCAACUUCCAUUCUUUAAUUUUUUUUUUCUUUUUCACACAAACCUCCAGUCCCGACCUCCAUUUCUUGAUUUUUUUUUUACUUUUAUUUUUUACGUAAAAUGUCACCAAACCUUCAUUAUUUUACAUNNNNNNNNNNNNNNNNNNNNNNNNNNNNNNNNNNNNNNNNNNNNNNNNNNNNNNNNNNNNNNNNNNNNNNNNNNNNNNNNNNNNNNNNNNNNNNNNNNNNNNNNNNNNNNNNNNNNNNNNNNNNNNNNNNNNNNNNNNNNNNNNNNNNNNNNNNNNNNNNNNNUAAUUGAUAGAUCAUGAUUUUUGUAAAAAUAUUUUUUGCACCUUGUAUAUGUGCGUGCAGCAUGUAUGAUAACAUAAUUUUUUUCUGUCACGUGAUCGAUAUUGCUCACAGUUUUUGUUCUUAUUAUGUCAUUAUGUAAGAGGAUAUAUAUGUCAUUUAAUAAUUCAUAAUAAAGUGAGAUCAAGUGAAUAAAUUUAGAAGUCUCAAUAACCGCACUCAAGAAGGAUAUAUAUGACCUUUUUUCAUGUCAAAUAGUUAUUUUUUAAAGAAUCUAGAAAACAAGGUCAAAAAUCAAAUUGGCCACCUAAAAGUGGUCAUUCUUGAAGAUUUUUCAGUCUAAUUUGUCAUACCUCAUAUACCAUGGGGGGAAUUUACCCAAAAAAAUAAUAAUAUCAGUAAUAUAUUCUCUAUAUGAUAGAAAUAUUCAAACAAGCUAUUUAAAAUCAUUUAAUAAUAAUAAAAAAAACAAUAUUGAAUCAAAUGUUUGAGCAUAUGCUUAUUAUACAGUAGAACAUUUUUUCCAAACUUGACUGCUCUUUGCCAAAACCUGAUCAGCAUAUGACUUCAGCUUAUUUUCCAAAGAUUUCUUUACAAUUUCAUCAUGGCAGUGCCUUCGUGAUUCAAUCAUAAUUCCACAACAAUACUCGCUCAUUUCUCCAUAUUCAUAAAUACUUAAAAACACUUCUAUCUUGCAAUCAUCAUGAAGACUUUCAAAGCAUUGAUCUUUAAAUUGGUGAACAUAUGAUUUAGGUAUGGAUGAUUGAGAUGCAGUUAUGGGUUGAUUUAUGAUAUCUUCAAGAACUCGUAUUGCAACUGUAAAAGGUGUAAGAAACAUGAAUAUGACAACUAAGAAAAGCACUAAUGUUAAGUGUCUCAUAACCAUUGACAUGGUUGGUUCAAGGAAAUCUUGGAAUUGUAUUGUUUCUACCUCUUCCGUGAACACAGGACGAGAGGCCGAAUCCUUCGCACCGGGUCUUGUAACUGCACGAGCAACAAUGCGUCAGGAGUCGGGACUGGGAUGGCCCAGUCUUCGACUCUCCGAUUCUUAAGGCAUCGUUUGAUUGUUACUUGUAUAGUAGGGGAGUAUAGGAGGAGUAGUAGAACUUACCUCUUGUGGGAAUUCGUGCCUGUUUUAUAGGCUAGUGUUGGGGGUUUUGUCAUUAGUUCUUGAUGUGGGACUGUUUUGUGGUACUGUUCAGUCAUUUCCCUUUCAGGGACGUUUAGCUGCCUCAGAAUGGGUUUGGCAUGUGUAUUGCUGUUAUGUUCCCACUCUUUGGGUACCCACAGAAGGUCUGCCGGUGAUGGCUUGGCUGGAAUGGCCUCCGGCGAGUGGGUAAUGACAUGACAUUCUCGGCAUGGCCAAGUGUUUUGGCUAUGUAUUAACAAGUCCCCAAGUCCCCAGUCCGAGAGAGCUCUUAGGUGGGGAGUUAUUCCCAAGUUAUGCCAAGAAUGUCUUACCCGGGAGCUGGAGGCAUGGCGCCGAGUCCCCAAGUCCCCACGCGAGGGUCGCAAGGUGGCUAGGGUUAUGUUCCGAGAACUCGGUACGAACUUUUGCGUCAUAUCUCAUUUGUGUCAUAAAUGGCCCGUUUAUGAGGAACACGUGGUCAUUUAUGGCGAGUUUUAAGGUCGUAACGGUUUCGUUGUUUUUUUUUUUGUAACAUGCGCGUAACUGACGCUUGUGCACGGGAUCGUGGGGCGCGUCUUAAAUGCGCUGCCUGAUCGUGGUCGACGUGGUUACUCCUUGACCAUUGAGAUGGGGGAGAUCUGGACGGUCAAUGUUAAUUUGAACGCCUAUAAAUAGGGUUGGAGAAAACAGAAAGAGGGAGUUUGCAUUUCGAAAACAGAGGGACUAGGGCUAAGAGAGUGUGUUGUUCUGUUUGUGAAGGGGGGGUCUUCGGCGAACUAUGGAUCGAAACUGGGGAACAUCCAAUUUCAUCCUCGAUCGAUUGAGUGUGAGCGCUCGGCUGUUUGCAACCAGCUUCACUGCCACUACACGAAUCCAAUUUUUCAAGGUAUGAACUGGUCAAUUCUUGUUCUAGGUUCUGUUUUUGCUUUAUUUCGAAUUGAUAGGGAUAGUUUGUGUGGAUUUCACUUCAGUUGCGACUUUUCUAAGAGAGUCUAGAGUAGGGAUUGAAUGGUUUGUUAUCGGGUUAGCUAGGGUUAAGGUAGCGAGAGUCUAACAUGUGAGGAUGUAGGGUAUGACAGAUCCGGUGGGGGUGUCCAGCGAGAAGAUUGUGAUUCUCUCUAGCUCGACUGAUCCUGAUUCGGACACCUUGCACCAGUGGGAAGAGGAAGUGAAUUAUCUUAUGGCGAAGGUUGCCCUUGACUUAGGGGAGGGCAUUCUCGCUACGGAUGCUGGGUCUCACGUGUCCUCGUCUGAUCCUCUAUUGCAGGAGGUAGAAGAGUUUAGCAUGGCGAGAUCUCGGGAGGAUGACGAGUCUUUUUGGGAUCCGCCUGGCGAGAGUAUGACAUCGUCAGAGUUGAAGGCACUCCGGGAGAAUUGGAGUAUCCCCAAGGAGGUCUUGUUGCGGCCUCUCGGGAGGGGUGUUAAUUUCUGGGAUCCCCCGAACAACUUUACACUGGUAUACGAGUACCAGCUACGAUGCGGAUUGAUGUUCCCGCUAUCCCCGUUUAUGCAAUACACUUUAGCGUGUUUGCAUGUCGCCCCGGGGCAAGUUACCCCUAAUAUGAUGCGGCAGAUUCUAGGAACAAGGGUGCUUUUCCAUUUGCUGGGGCAAGAGUUCCCCAAUUGUGAAGAAUUCAAUGCAUGUUGGCACAUGGCCUACUGUGCGAAGAAGGGCAACCGGGGUUGCGUGACUUUGAAGUCCCGGGGGAAAUUCAAGAUCUUAGUGGAAGACUUGCCUACCUCUACAAACGAGCGUUGGCGAUGGAAGUGUUUUCUCAUCGGGGGUUAGUGGCAGGAGUGGCAUGGGCAUCCCUUCCGGGCACCCGAGGCUUUCCAAAAAAUAGGUAUCGUUUUUUGUGUCUCGUGUUUUCUUUCUGUUUAGUCUGUUUUGCCCCUGCUGACUGCUGACUUUGUGUAGUGCCCCAAGAGUAUAAUUUAACCGGGCUGAUGGAGCGUCGGAUACGCCGGGUGCUGUGGGCAUUCAACUGUAGAAGUUCAUACCAGAUAUGCCGCUUUGGCAUAUAUAGUUAUUUCGGUUACUCCCAGGUCCCGGGUCUGUAUUUUGUUUUUUGAGUUGUUUCAUAGGUUUACACUUUUUGCCUGUGUUUUGAUCCUUACUCUGCCUGAUGCAGUGACGAUGCCUCGGGACGGUGGGUCACGGAAGAAGGAAGGACCUUACGACAAGGUUUUGAUCAGGAUGUUUUGGAUGGGUUGCUUGCAGAGGCUGCUCACGCCAAGCGGUUCGACAUUGACGUGCCUCCCUUGGUGGCGGAAGUAACGGGCUUAGGCGACCAAGAGGUGAACGACGAGGAGGUAGAAGUUGAGGAUGGUGAUCAAGGGGACGAUGAUGAACAGGUUCCGCUGGGGGAAGAAAUGUCCCGGAGCCAGUUGGGAUGGAAGAUGUGUCACUGGGAGACGUAGAGGAACCCCAAACUGGUGGCGAGGACCUCGUGACAGAGGGGGUGGAACCCCUUAGGCAGGAAUCCGAGGAGGUCGUCGUGAGGAAGACUCGGAAGAGGAAGGAGAGGGCCAAGUAGUCUCGCAAUGGCCAAGGAAAAAGGUCUCGAAGGGAAAGGCGUUCCACGAGUUCCGGGAGCCUGGCUGAGAUCACGCACGCGCUGGAGGGGACCGGGGAGGUGCAGCCUUGGCGCAAAUGGCGUAUGAUAUGCGUCACCGGUCCCGCGACAUGACCGCCCUGGAGGAGGUCAAGCCCUUAGCCGGCAUUGCUCUUGCCAGGGAGAAGUUGACCCGGGUAGGUGUUUAUGGGGUGCAGUUCUCUUCUUGUUUUGGUUUUUUUUUUUUUUUUUUUUUUUUUAAUUGUUGUUGUUGGCUUGCUUACAGGCCACCCUACUUAUGUACACGGCAAACAAGAGGGUUGUGACCCAUAUGCAGGAAGAUGCUGAGACCAAGUGUCAGCAACUGAAGGAAGCAGAAGAGAAUAACCGUGCCCUCUCGCAACGUCUGGAGCAGCUAGAGCAGGACACUGCUGUUUUCCGAGACCAGGCCACAACCUCUGGAUCUCGCGAACCCUAGCGAAGCAGCAUGAGACUUGACGUGCUACCUCCUCUGUCGCCAAAGGAAGGUUCUAUUGUGGGCACACCUCAACCACUUGCUAUGGUCGCUGCUUCUCCAAGGGCUCCACGCCCCGAGGGAUCCCCUUCAGCGCAAGUGGCAGUUUCUCAGGUUGCGUCUUCUACUGUUAAGCCACCUAAUCCUCAAGUUUCUGGUCUUGUGGCACCCCCACGGGUUGAAGGGUAAAAGGUCUCAGCGUCCAAGUCCCCUGUCCCGGAAGUGCAACAGGUGAGCUCGUUGGUGCGUCCAAAUGUGUCAGUGAGGCCUCCAACUGUGUCACGCGACUGCUCUAAGCAUGCUUAUGGGCAGAAGGUGUCGAUAAACCUCAGCCAGAGCCGCAGAUGGGGUAGCGGAUCAAAGAGUGGCGGAAGUGUGAAUAAGUCAAGCGGGGCCUCUUCCGAGGAGAAAUAGCUUGGAGGGUGUAGUUUGUAGUUAGUUUUUGUUUUUUUUUUUUUAAUUCCUUGUUUGUUCUGGAAACAAUAAUUUGGUGGCGUGUAGCCAUUUGAACAAUUUUGCUGUUUAUGAAUUGCCUGGGAGUCCAGGUUUGGCACGUUGGUGUUUAUUGCUUUUCCCUUCAAAUAGUUCAUGUUGUGAUUCUGUUCUUUGCUGGUUUGUUCCGUGUUCUCGACAUGUUAUGUUAAAAAUGAUUACAAAACGUAGCAUCUUCAUUUUAGGAUAAGCCGUUGAUGGGCAAGGUGUACAUUUGAUUUGGGCCGCUACCGGGCUUAAGUACACAAGUAACGAAGUGCUAGCUGCCAUGUUGGCUUUGGAGUGCUGAUAAUUUAAAUAUGGUAGAGGUGGAGAUGGCGAGCAUUCCAGGGACGAGGUAAGACUCGGCCAUCAGUGUCGCGGAGAUAAAAUGUAGCUGGUCCUGGAGCGUUGACUAUCUCCAUUGGGCCUUCCCACUUUGCUUUGAGUUCAGUAGGGUGAGGGAUGACCUCUUUCAUGACCCAGUCACCCACCUUUAGAGGGAGGGAAACAACUUUCAUGAUGUAGUGUCGGGCAACUUUUUGUUUGUAGUUGACAUUCCUAAGAUGUGCUCUGUCCCAGCGUUCCUCGAGGAGGUCCAUGUUGAGUCGUAGCCCCGCGGUGUUUGCCGCGGGAUCGUAUGCUAUGAUACGUUCACUCGGGACCUCCAUUUCCACAGGGAUCACCGCCUCGGUGCCAUAGGACAAGAGGUAUGAGGAUUCACCUGUAGCUGUUGUUGGGGUGGUACGUAGAGUCCAGAGGACUUUCGGGAGCUUGGCCGCCCAUAACCCUUUAGCUUCUUCCAGGCGUUUCUUCAGGUUUUGCUUGAUGAGCUUGUUUAUGGCUUCCACUUGGCCAUUGGUCUGAGGGUGUGCUGGGGAGGCAUAGAAGAUUGCGGUGCCUUGCUUAGAAAGGAAUUCCCUGAAUGUGUCAUUGUCAAAUUGCGCUCCAUUAUCUGUGAUGAUGGCUUGCGGUACCCCAAACCGGCAGUAUAAAUUGCGCCAUAGGAAGUUUAUCACCUUUUCAGUUGUGAUUGUGGCAAGGGACUCUGCCUCGAUCCACUUCGUGGCAAGGACAAUUGCAAAUUUAAGCUGCCCCAGGGUUGUGGGUAGCCAUCCCACGAAGUCGAGUCCCCACUGGCUGUAAGGGACUGGGGAGAUGAUGACAGAUAAUGGAACUGGGGGAUGGUGGGCAAAAUUUACAAAUUUGUGGCAGUGAAGGCAUGCUUGGACAACUGCCUUUGCAUCUUGCUCUAAUGUUGGCCAAUAGUACCCAGCUCUUAAUGCUUUGAACAUGAGGUUCUGAGCUCCCGCAUGGUUUCCACAUACCCCACUAUGGAGUGAUUUCAACACUUUGUGCCCUUCUGCUGUAGGCAAGCACCUCAAAAAGGGACACGACUGACCACGGUGGUAUAGCUUCCCUCCUCUAAGCAAGUAGAGUGAAGCUUUGUGGCGUAACCGCUGUGCCUCGUGUUUAUCCAGGGGCAAGGUUCCAUUAGAAAGGAAGGCCACAUAUGGGUCCAUCCAUGAGAGUUGGCUAGGCGUUUCUAUGGCAAAGAUUUCUGAAUAAGCCUUCGAGAUACUAGGUUUGUCCCAGAUUUCUAUGUGCACAUCUGGUGGCGUGGACUCGGGAGGGGCUGUGGUGAGUCUCGCGAGAGCAUCUGCCUUGGAGUUCUUGGCCCUUGGGAUUUGUGUGAGCUUGUAAGAUGUGAAGUGUUGUAGGAGGGCGCCAGCUAGACUUUUGUAGGAUCCCAGGUUGUUCUGGUUGGCUUUGAAGUCUCCUGCCACUUGAUUGACCACAAGCUGAGAAUCACUGAAUAUGUGGAUGUGCAGGGCUCCGAGUUCUCGACAGAGCUGAAUGCCGGCUAUGAGGGCCUCGUAUUCAGCUAUGUUGUUGGAUGCUUUAAAUUCAAACCGGGGAGUAUAUUCGUAAGAAUGGCCUUCCGGGUCUGUGAUUAUUAUCCAUGCUCCACUGAGCUUGUUGUUGGAGGAUCCAUCAACGUGGAGUUCCCAAAUUUCGUUCCGGGGGAGAACGUCUUGGUUUGGAUCGUCUGGGUUCAUGGGGAUGAACUCAGCAAUGAAAUCUGCGGCAGCUUGUCCUUUUAUAGUUGUUCUUGGCUUGAAGUGUAGGUCAAAUUCUCCUAAUUCAAUUGCCCAUUUUACCAUGCGCCCUGAAGUUUCAGGUUUUUGAAGUAUUUGCCGCAGAGGGUGAUUGGUGAGGACAUGGAUGGUAUGUGCUUGGAAGUAUUGUUUGAGUUUUCUAGCUGUGGUGAUGAGGGCAAGAGCUAAUUUCUCAAUGUCAGGGUAGCGGAUCUCGGGAUCCGUGAACCCUCUACCACAGUAGUAUACCGGGAGCUCAUUGUCAUGAUCAUGGCGUGUGAGAGCAGCGCUGAUGGCUGUGGCGAAAACAACCAAAUACAGGUAAAGUACUUCUCCCGAGACAGGUUUAGAGAGAAGAGGGACCGCCGCAAGGUAGGCUUGAUAUUAUUGAAGGCAUCAUCAUGUUCCGGGCCCCAUGCCACAUUCUCCUUGUACUGAGUUUUAGCAGUUGAAAGAAUGGGUUGCAUUUGUCUGUGAAGCGGGAGAUGAAACGAGCCAGGGCUACCAAACGUCCCAUGAGGCACUGGACUUCGUUCCAAGUCUUCAGGACUGUCAUGUCAAGUAUGGCUUGUACUUUUUUUGGGUUAGCUUUAAUGCCUCUUUCACUGACCAUGAAACCCAAAAAUUUUCCGCCACUAACAGCCAAAAUGCACUUUUGGGGGUUGAGGCGCAUCCCGUCAGCUAGGAGCUUAGUGAAGACUUUGUCUAAGUUGGCAAUGUGGUCGUCAGCUGCCUUGCUUUUGACCAGCAUGUCAUCCACAUAGACUUCCAUGACUUCCCCAAUUUCUUCUUCAAACAUGGCAUUGACCAACCUCUGAUAAGUUGCUCCUGCAUUCUUAAGGCCAAAGGGCAUGACCUCGUAACAAUAUAGUCCUUUGUCCGUGAUAAAAGUGGUGUGCUCUUAAUCUGUGAGGUGCAUUUUAAUUUGGUUAUAUCCCAAGUAGGCAUCCAGAAAGCUGAGCAUUUUGAAACCGGCUGUGGAAUCAACCAACUGGUCAAUCCGUGGCAAAGGGAAGCUGUCCAUGGGGCAGGCUUUGUUGUGGUUAGUGUAAUUAACACACAUUCGCCACUUGCCAUUAGGUUUGGGGACCAUGACCACAUUGGAAACCCAUGUUGGGUAUGAGACCUCGCGGAUGAACUUGAUUUCUUUUAACCGUUGGACCUCGGCCUAGAUGGCGCGUUACUUCUCCGGGUUAAAGGCACGCCGUUUUUGCUUGACCUGGGGAUGGUCUUUAAGAAUGUUAAGUUUGUGUGUGAUGACAUCAGGGGAGAUGCCUGGCAUGUCAGCAUAGGACUAAGCAAAGACUGUUUGCUUAUCCUGGAGGAAGGCAAUGAGCUUGUGGCGGAGUUCCGGGUUAAGGCUCGUACCGAUGCGGACCUUCCUCUCGGGAGCACUGGGCGACAGGGAAACCCAUUCUGUGUCCUCUGCCGGGUUAGGUCUCGGGGAUUGCUUCUUGUCUUUCCCUUUAAGGUCAUCCCUGGGGUCAUCAAUGAGUUCUGAGGGGCUAAGUGGCAACAUCUCACAGGCACCACGUCCCUGUUGGAUGGUAUUAAGAUGGCAAUGUUCAAUGGCGGCUCUAUCCCCUUGGAUUAUGAGUAGGCCUCCCAGAGUGGGCACUUUCAUGAGUAGCAUGUGACCUGCAAUGAAACAUUGUUGUCCCUAGAGGAUGUCGUGACCUAAGAUGAGGUUGUAGGAUAAGGGGCAAUCAACUAUGAGAAAACGUGAUGUGAUGGAAGCACGGCAGGGGCUGGUCCCUACUGACACUGUCAAGCGGUCUGAGCCUAAGGGCUGCACAAUCUCUCCCGAGAAGCUGGCGAGGGGAUCAUGGUUGUUAUAUAACUUAGCUCGGUCACGCCGGAGUCCUCUAUAACAAUUAGCAAACAUCACACUGACCGCAGCUCCUGUGUCCACGAGGGCCCUAUGACACCUGUAGUGAUCCACUUGGACAUUGAUUAUGAAUGGUUCAUUGUGAUGGCAACUAAUCGUAUCUUCCCUCUUGUAAAAUGACACCUGGUCCCAUGUUGAUGGGGUGGUGGUGACACCUCUUUGCAGUUCAAGAAUCUCCAAGUGGCUCGUGCAUUGCCGUUUUGCCGAAGGCUGACGAGGAGGGAGUCGCGAGGCACCACCAUGUAUGGUUAAGAUCUGACCGUGAACCUCAAUGGCAUUGGCUCCCGUGGCGGGAGUGCAGUACUGAUGGAGUUGGCCAUUACGAAUCAAGUGCUCUAUGGCAUUGUGGAGGCCAUGGCACAUCUCAGUGGCGUGGCCGUUGUCAUCAUGCUAAGCACAAUAUUUGUUCCCUGUUGCGCGCUGAGGCUUUUUGGGAUACUUGCUCUUAGGUGGCGGGGGAAUGAGAUCUUUGUGCCUGGCCCAUAUAUCCUCAUAUGUAGUGGUUAAGGCUGUGUGGACCUCGUAACGAGGUGGUAGGGAGUGACAUUGCUGCUGUUGGGGGCUCUGCUCCUGGGACCGAUAAGGAUGGUCUCGUCCCCGCUGCCCACUGUGGCGACGGUCUGAACUGCGCCCCUGGUUGUUGUCACAGGAGCUGCUAUGCUACUUGUUUUUGUCUUGCCCUCGGUCAUAAUGGUCAUACUUUUGCUGGGAUUGCUGCUUGGGGGGUGAGGCUAGGAGUGUUAAUGUGGUAGUUGGGUUAGAAGUCCAAAGGUGGCAAACUCGACACGUGCCCAACGGACAGCAAGGUCCAUCAAGGCAUCGUAUGACCCUAGAGGGUUCUUGUUAAUCUCCAUUAGGAAGCUGUCGAGAAGCAAAGCUUGGCAAAAAGCUUGUUCAGCAAUCCGGGGCUCCAAGUUGUGACAGCGUGCCGUGGCUGAUUGCCACUGGGACAGUAACUCAUGGAGUCCGUCACCCGCUUUUUGCUUGAUGUGGAACAAAGCAUCCACACUGCGGUAGAUGUUGGCAUGGAGUAUGAAGCGGUUGAGGAAGCGUUCCGAGAGCUGGUCGAAAUUGUCAAUGGAGUUGGGAGGCAAGUUAAGGAACCAACUAAGCGCUUCAUCUGAGAGGGUCUCUUGGAAGGCAUGACAGGCCAUAGCAUCUGUGUACCGAGUGGAACUGCAUAAGGAGAGGAAUGUUUCAAGGUGAAGAUGAGGGUCUCCGGCGCCCUUAUACUUGUCCACUUUGAAAGGCUUGGCCUCGGGUGGCCUCUUUUCCAUUUGCAUCCGUGGCGUAAAGGGGCUUAGGCGGUGGCCAUAUCCCGAGAAUAGAGGUCGCUGGCUCCCGCGACUCUCAACACCUUCAAUUCGCGAGGCCAACUAAGUGACAGAAUUGCUGAGCUGGAGGAGAAGUCGAGUUUGCAUGUCGAGAGGUGGGGUAGCAGUGUUAGCAGAGUUGAGAUUAGGGAGGGGUGGAUCAGAUGGCUCAGGAUGGUUUAGUAGGGGAAUGGAUUCGUUACUGAUUGUGGAUGGUUGUGGGGCUGGGAGUGGAAAUGAUGGGUGGGUUAGUGGAUGAGUAACAUAGAUAAUCUGGUUGGGGCCUCUCGGGAUCACGGAACUACUCUGUCCUUGGCUAGGAAAGAGAGAUGUCAAGGUGGCGUCCAAGGUGGGAGUGACCCUUGAUAGUUGUUGCGGUGAUCUAGAGUGGCGCGGAGUAGGAAUUGUUCCUUUUCCAGCUCGGCGAUACGAACCCGAUACGCUUCAGCUUCUGCUUUUUCCUUAGCUGCUUGCUCUCGGAACGCGUGGAAGUCUUUUUUCAAAAUUUCAAGGGCCAUGGCGGCAUCAGGGUGGUUAAUGGGGGCCGCGGUAGCGGUAGUUUGGUUAUGGGAUGUGUCUCCAUAUUGGAAAAGUUCUUUUUCUAUCUGCGUCCCGGGUUCAUUUGGGUCAUCCACAAUUUCUACCAUCCUAUUAAAAGUUAAAUGGGAGUUCCACAAGAGGCGCCCUCCUUCUAGCGCCAAUUGUUUCUACCUCUUCCGUGAACACGGGACGAGAGGCCGAAUCCUUCGCUCCGGGUCCUGUAACUGCACAAGCGACAAUGCGUCAGAAGUCGGGACUGGGAUGGCCCAGUCUUCGACUCUCUGAUGCUUAAGUCAGCGUUUGAUUGCUACUUGUAUAGUACAGGAGUAUGGGAGGAGUAGUAGAACUUACCUCUUUUGGGAAUUCGUGCCUGUUUUAUAGGCUAGUGUUGGGGGUUUUGUCAUUAGUUCCCGAUGUGGGACUGUUUCGUGGUACUGUUCAGUCCUUUCCCUUUCAGGGACGUUUAGCUGCCUUAGAGUGGGUUUGGCAUGUAUAUUGCUAUUAUGUUCCCACUCUUUGGGUACCCACAGAAGGUCUGCCGGUGAUGGCUUAGCCGGAAUGGCCUCCGGCGAGUGGGUAAUGACACGGCAUUCUCGGCAUGGCCAAGUGUUUUGGCUAUGUAUUAACAUGUAUGGUAAGUGAAUAUAUAAGUUGAGAAUAAUCAAAGAAAGACAUUAAAAGACUUAAACAUUUUUGGUGUUUUACUUUCAAUGUAUCACUUCUAAAUAUUCAAUGCAACAUCAAUUUUUUUGGGUGUUUUGUUUUCAAUUAAUAUGCCGUUUCUAAAUAUUUGAUGCACGUUUGCUUUAUCUAAACUAGUGGUAUCCGUGCCUCUAUUUUGAGGGAAGUGCAUGGCUCGCAUCAAACCAUUGACAAAGGACUGAUAUCGCCUAUAGAAAGUUCUCCAUUUUAUUUAAAAACAUCCAUUUUCUUCUUAAUUUGCUGGGAAUAUGAUUUCUUUUUCUAAAAAUAUAUAUAUAUAUAUAUGGGAAGAAAAAGCAAGAAAUCAAUGAGUAAUAAAAUAGUUUCAACCAUGCCCCUGUUGCUAGUCCGUUGACAAUUCAAAUUGAUGAUGCAUGGGUCCCAAACCCAGAUCUAGAACCUUUAGCACCCAAUCCAAUCGGCAGACCACUGCCAUCUCCAAAAGCUUCUUUGAUUCCGGUGACUGUAGUCCUAGUCGACACUGAACCUAACCCAAGAGCGUCGCUGACAUCGACAAUAAAAUUGCAAAUUAAUGGCUGACAUCAUCAUUGGAAACCAGUACCUUUGCAAGAUGAACCACCACGUACUAGCAUUCCAGCAUCGGAUCUCUCGGGAAAUGUCAUGCAACAUGCAGUACCUUCAAACCGUUGGAAAGCAUGGGGCCGGGAGAUCUAGGACGAAUCGUGUUUGUGUAAUCCGCAGUAGAAAAGUCGUUGUGUGAGGCAUCACCUCUCGCAAUCGAACUUGGAAAAGAGAGUGGAGGCGCUAGGAUAUCUAGGCGGAAAAGAGAAUGCUCUCAUUCUCUAGGGUUUGGUUUUUCAUGUUUCAUAUAUUAAUAUAUUAUUAAUUACUCUUUGUUGUUAAUUAGAAAGAGAAGUCUUUACUACAACCAUCACCGUAUUAUCAAAACGGAAGGCAGAGUAAACCGUGACUAAGAGCUGGGAAGACCAGCAUAUCACAUCAUGAACAUUAUGUUUUAAAAGAGGUAAGAUGUCUAUUAUGAAAUUCUCUUAUCUCCAAACAUAAACAUGUUGAGCUGAUGAAAAAGUUGAUCGAUGAGAGUACUGCGACUUCUUAAUUAUAAACAAGUAAUGAUUCAAUUCAAAUAAUGACUGCAACAAAUGAGAAAAAAUAAAAGUGAUUACGAUACUAUUCUCAAAGCAAGGAAAAAAAAAUCCUAUGCAUGCACAUACGUGACAUAUAUAACUACUACAAUCUUUCAUGCAUGUCGCAAUACCUUUAACCUGGAGAUUUCAUAUCGAUCCUACAAGACUGAAGAAAACCAUCAUGGUCUCAAGGACACUUCUUAUUAUUCGAUCAUGUUCUCUGUGUAAGUUUCCUAGUAUAUCCUUCAACACAGAGAUAAAUCAUAGAACUGCACCAGGUGGUACGUCAUGGCCAACGCCGGGACUAUGACCGGGAGAAGUUGGCCGGAAGGCAUCAGUUGAAGCGGCCUGCAUCAGCUUGUAGCGGCUUAUAGUAAAUCCCGCAGUGGAAGGUGGUUUUGGCUUGCUUGACCAUCCUUUAUGGAUUAGUACUGGUGGCUGUAUACUUAGCGGCCUUGACGCUGCUAUCAAAUCAAAGUUUUUCUCUGAAAGGAGAACAACCAGCAAGAAGCUUACCAUGAAGGUCCUGGAAGCCAUCUUUAGAGGAUCGAACUGAAAGGAAACUAAAGCUUCUGGAAAAAAAAAAAUGAGAAGCUAUGCUAUGCUUAGAUGUUUUAGUUGAUGCUUGUGCUAGUUCUUGAGCAUAUGAGUAGCUAUUUAAGAGGUUUGUAACGCUUGCAUGUUGAGCUUUAUUAACCGUCAACUUGAACAUAAAAUAAGGAGCAAAAUUAAUAAGCACCAAGUUCACAUGGUGAUGUUUGCUAGAUAUUAUUGAAAUAAUCUUCAAGACAAAGUUGCAAGCCCAGGAAUGAUUUUUCAUUCCAAAAAUAGCAUGGGAAUAACUUCCACAUUUGGAAAGUAAAGCAUUCCUUGACUCGAUCAUUUCUGUUCAAGAAACUUUCUAUAGGGCAUAGCUAUAUAAAUUAUGUUAAAGCAGACAGCAGAUAUGGAUUUUGAUUAGACUACACCAAGAACACUACUUGCUUUACCAUUGAUUAGUCUGUUUAUUUCUUAUAAUGACAAAGCUAACUUGCUCUGUGAAGAUCGAUUGCAACGAAAUUUAUAAAGAAAAUGCUUCUUCCACUAAUUUAAUUCAUUAGACAUUGUUGAAAGCACCCUUCACCUUUUUAUUGCCAACUUGAGAUCUGUCUGUUUUGGUUUGUAAUUGCGGGCGCACUUGCUUGGUUUCUAAUACCACCAUCCUUGCUGUUAUGCUGUAAGAGGAAAGAGUACCUCUGUUUAUAGCAUAGUGGUAAUGGAGAAACCCAAAGAUCAUAUAUACCUGGCUAGUUACGAACGUUCUGUUGGGUUUUGUUUAUACAUGUAAAUGAUGUAAUGCACCCACGCGUGCACCACCUUUGAGCUUGAUCCUGCAUAAUUUGAUGGUGGAUUAGAAUUUAGACACGAGAGCUUAGCUAGCUUCAUCUCAUGACGCUCUAACUAUUAGCGUUAAUAGAAGUACGUAGUAGUGUUUCAAGAUUCAACAGUCUCUUGCUGUCCAAGAUUAUUGAUUUCUUGUGAUCUAUACAGAUUCAAAAUAAUCUUUUUGGUACAAAUUUGAUUGAAACUUUCAAUGACUACUUCAUGCAUGGUUCAUAAUAAUGGCUUUGUCGUUCUAAACAUGAAAGAGAGCCUUCUUACCAAAUACACAGACACACACAUAUGUUUCUAGCUAGUACAAAAAUAAAGCACUUGCAUGAAUUCUUGUAAGUGUUUCAUGUAGUGUAAUUGCAUUUGUUUAAGAACCAGAAACAUGCUUGAGGUAGAAAGUUGAAUUAUUCCUAGUAUUGAGCUUGCAUUUGCUAACAAGAAUGGAUCAGAAUACAAAAUAAAAGGGUCUCACGUUGAAAGGGUCGAGCAGUAAGUAAAUCUCAUGCAUAUCUACCUUGGUAUCAGAAGAAAAAAAAAAAAAACGUUUAUCCUUGAGAACAUGUCUCAAUAUUCAUUUCAUUCUCAUUUCCAUCAUUGUUAAGAAAAACAAAUCCAAUACUUGUACAACUUACCUAAUAAAAUGAGCGCUUACACGAAUAAUCGUCAGGAAUGCAGGAAUACUUAGCACUCUGAAAUGCACUGCUGAAAUUAUAUUCAUGUUGUCAAGUGGUCAUAGCAAAGCCUCCCAGGUAGGUCAUAUGUAUGCAUAUACUAUGCUGCACUCGAGUACAUAUAUAUGUAAACAAAAGUCUAGCUCCACCACUGGUUACUUCUUUUCUCCUUAUUCAAUGACCAUGAUAAGAAGCAUAAUUAGAACUUGAUCUGCUGUCGGCCUCAAUUGCAAUGAAACUAAUAGGUAUUUGACACAGAAAGAGAGAGAGAAAGAGAGAGAGAGAGAGAGAGAAAUGCGAGACAGAAAUUCCAUGCGUGCUAUAGGCCUUCUGUCAUUCCCUUACUUCUAUGCGCCAUUUGUAUUUCACUAUUUCAUGAGAUGCGUACGUACCAUUGGCACUUUAGAGUAGCAGUUCAUUUGGGAAAAAGAAUUCUAAAAAUUUGCAACACUAACAUUUCACUUUGGUCACCAUAAUGGGAUUCCCUUUUUCUGAAGGAAACCUUAGUACUUGUAGUACUAACCCUAAAUAUUUAUCUAUAGGGUGUGCUUGAUACGUUAGCUAGCUAGCCCCCACAUGUUUGGAGAUAUUAGCCAAUUCUUACGUCAGAACACACUGAGGAAGUGAGGAUCAUGUUUAUCAGUUGCUCAGCAUUGAUCAGGAAUAUCAUUGCACCAGAUGAACAAGAUGGACAUCGAUCAAGAAUAUUUUCGCAGCUGAAUAGCUGAUAGAGUAAUUCUCAGCAUCAUUUCCACAGUUAAGUUUCUCUUUAAACUACGCAGAACCACCCAAUGCCACUAGCAUUAGUGGGUCACGGUGAUCUAGUAUAACCCACAAGAUCUUUGAAACUUAACCAGUUCCAGUAAUUUAUAGACAGACAUGAGAUUCUCUAGGAGGAAAAAGGAGGUUCUGUAAUCAAUCCUCGUAUAUUGUUUAAUUAGAUUAUUUCAAUCACUAACAAGGAACGAGAAAGCACAACCAGGAGAAACAGUACUCAUUCCUAACUGAUCGAUCUAAAUUGAACUCUGAGGACAUAGAAGACAAAAGAACCAAAUAGCAGGAUUCUAAGUAUCAUGAUCUAAAGAAGCUAAACGAUCAGCCACAAUUAAGUUGGCAUGGUCCUCUAUAAAUAUGUCGAAAACAGAUCGAAAACAAUUGAGUCGUCUGCUUCCUCAAGAACUCUACUCUCUGAGGAACAUCCGAUCCAUUUUCAUCUUGAAUACAGUCGAGAAAGAAUCUCGAAAAUUUCAAAGGCUAACUAGGUUUUUUAUUUUAUUUUAUUUUAUUUUUUUUAUUUUUACUUUUUGAUAAGAAGGCUAACUAGGUUGACAUGUCUUUCUCUUAAUAUGGAAAUUUCAUCUCCAAGUGGGCAAUAGCCAGUAGAAAGCUCUCAUAGCACCCAAUUUGAUCUAUUUUGUUUAUUAUGUAAGACUAGACAGAAACCCUAGGCACGCUCUCGUGCUUCUCUCUAUCCCAUGUUGUCCACUACUUUGAUCCUAACUGUGUAGUCGCAUGAACAUUCCCUGGUUCGUCUCCGACGUCGAGUUUGUACGGUCACUUGCAGACUCUUCCUUCUCGACUAACCAACCAACCCUUCGAAUUCUCAGGUUGUGCUGUUUAGGACUGGUUUGGGACUUCAUUUUGGGUUUCUUCCCGUUGACUAUUUGGGGUUGUUGUGGCCAACCCAAAGUAAUAUCUCGAAGUUCCUGCGCUUUCGCCCUUUGACUGCGUUUUGGAAUAUGUCAUCGGUUCCAUCGGGUGACAAUCUUGGGUGAAAGAUAAGUAUGUCGAAGAAUAUAAUGUGAUUCAUUGACAUAAUUGAGCAGACGUAGAUAUUAAAUUAAGGCCUCGUUUGGUUCAAGGAUUGGAAAGGUUGGGAAAGGAAAAUUGUUCCUUUCAUUUGUUUGGCACACCUAAGAAAAUAAAAGACUUUACUAUAAUAUAGAAAAAUAGAUGGGAAAUUGGAUCCUCCCACAUACCAUGGGAUUCAAUCUCCCUCAUACUUUCCCAACAUUAAUUGUACAUUAAUUGCAUCUUUCAAAUAUUAUAUUAAUGAAUGUUAUUACCAAAUUACCCACAAAAUAUUUGAAUCUUGAAUAUUUUAUAUUUUAAUACUAAGGAUAUAUAAUUGGUAAAUUAAUAUUACUUGUUUUCCUAUCCAUGCAUAAACCAAACAUUGGAAAGGAAAAUAAAAUACAUUUCCUAGUUACUUUCCUGACGUUCCCAAACACUUGGUAUGGAAACUAAUAGGAAAUUUACUUUCCUAUGUACAUAGGAAAGACUAAGGAACCAAUUUCCUUUCUAACAACCAAACGAGGCCUAAAGGUACUAUUUAUCACAAUUGAGAUGAUAAUCUUUGUUGGUUAAUAUAAAAAAUUUACUCUUUUAAUAUGUAAACUUACUAGUCAAACACGACUAUUUAUCACAAUUGAGAUGAUAAUCUUUGUCGGUUAAUAUCAAAGAUUUACUCUUUUAAUAUGUAAACUUAUGUAGUCAAACACGACCUAGUAUGAUAAAGUUGGCCGAGCCGUUAGAACCCACAUUUCGAGUUUCAACUCCCACGUGUUUGUGAUCAGUAGGUUUGAGGAGCGUUUAGGUUCACAUCCAUAUAAGGUGGGAAAAUAAAAACCGGCUUUGUUGGAUACUCUCGUGGACCUCAUUCUAAAUACUGACUGAGUGAAUCGAAUAUGUUUCUAACUUGCUAAAAUAAACCAUGUGGCUUGCUACCUAGCUCACUUUGAAUUUAAAAAAAAAAACUUAUUUAGGUAAGUGAAUGACACUGAUGAUGCGAUAUUGUGACAUGAUUUGAUGUGAUGCAUAUUGAUUAUAUAAUUAGCUAGCAUUGGUGAAAUGACUACAAUAUCAAGACCCUAUCCAAUGGAAUUGCAACAAAAUAAAAGAAAGAAAAAUAAAAAACAAAACCAAAAAAAUUGUAGUGCCAACACGUUUCGAACUUGGGAUGACCAACUUGCAAAACAAGCUGGUACCCACACUGCCUCAAAUUCACUUUCAAUUAGCUAAGGAAAUGAAUAAUAUAGAUAGUAACUUCUAUAUAAUAUCUUAUAAGAAAAACAUAAAACUUGAUUUUUUUUCUUUUCAGGGGUCCAUGGAAUUUCGGGGCUAUAGGUGCAGGUCUACUGGGCCAAUAUCCCGGGCCAGCCCUGAUCCCACAUGCUAUCUUUAGCAUUAAUCAAUUUUUUCAUUCUCUCUCUACUCCUUCUCUUUCUUUGAAUCUCUCUUCCUUUUCUCCACCAAAAAUUAUAAAUUAUGGGUUUUGGGUGGUGUUGUAGCAAAACGUACGAUAAGAGGCGACAAUGUUGCCAAUGUAGAAGGGAGUUACAAUGACGAUGUAAGGACGGAGAAGGAUGAAAUUAAAAAAAAAAUUAAUGGGAAUGGACACGGGAGAUAUGGCUGAGCAUUUUUGAAUAAAUGUGAUCUCAUUAAUAUAAUUUAUGCCAAGAUGACCAUUAUAUAUCUUUCUGGUGUCACCUCAAGGCGCGCCUCAGGCGUAAGGCCAAAGGAGGCAAGGCGACAAGGCGUGACCAUUUCGCUUUAAGGUGUCAUCUAACAAGCGUUUAUUGAUAGAGUUCUUGCAAGUAUACAGGGUGGAUGUAGUAUAGUGAAUGGAAGAAAAUGGGUUGUCGUUCCCACGAGGAUAUUAGUUCAAUUUAAAUUAUGAAAUACCUAAACUAACUAUACUAAAACACGAGAUCACUAUAACAAUUUAAAGAAACAAACAAACAAACAAACAAGGAAAUAAGUAAAUAAACAAUGAUAAAUGAAUUUAGGGCGUCAUUAUCAACCACUAACAAUCCUAUUUAUGCUUUGAUGCAACUAACAUAUUCUUUCGUUUCUCUAGAUGACAAUUCCCGUAUCUAAGUCCAAGUACGGCACUUAGACCAUAGUUUUCCUUAAAUGUAUGAUUCUCUCCAGGUACGGCAGAGAUCGUAUAUCCUAGCAUGCAGUCUAUCCAGUUACGACAUAAAUUUAACAUGUAAGACUCAUUACAUUCUAGAAAACAAGAGAAUCAUGCAAACCAUUAUUUCAGUUACGACAAUAAUGUAAUUCACAACUCUUAAUCACAAGAAGCUAAUUUGAAUUAUAUUGCAGUUACGCCUCAAAUGCAUCUUCUAAUUACUAGAUGCAAAGCCCUAAGGUGAUCAAUCAAAAAACACAAACAUAUAGCAUCAAUUAAAAUAGUGACUAAGAAUUCUUCAUAAAGAAACUAUAAAACUAUUAAAUCAAUCAUCAAAAACAUAAACAAUCAUGCUAGGGCAUCAUUCUAACCCUAGAAAAGGUUUAACAAAACAUGACUAAGUAAAACAUAACAAAAACAUAAAAAUAAUAGAAAAAGGUGAAGGGUGGAUGGAUCUCUGCUCCUUUAAGCGUCUACAACGUGCUCUCAAGACCUCUCUUUCAUGUGAAAUUCGUGCUCCCUUUAAUAGAGAAGUUUAUGCUCAUCUUUGACUUCAAGUUCCUUUGUAAAACUUGGAUUCAGACUCUUUUCUUGAUAUAGAAUGAGAAAAUUUUGAGAUAUCUCUUCUAGAACUAGGAAUACAUGUACUCCUUGAAUCCUCAUCUGUAUCUUUGUCCUUGAAACCUUAGGGUUGACGGUCUUGUGACACGGAACUUGAGUUCUCCACAAAAGCUUGUAAAUCCGAGCAAAUUUUCUGAUCUGAUCUUUCUUCAUUCAAACGAUCAUAACUCGGUCUAGAAAUAUCAAAAUCGAGAUCCGUAAAAUUCUACAUAAAAUAGACAUUUGUAGCUUUCCAAUGAUGUAAGGAGUCUGAUUCAAUCUGAGUAAUUCCCAGUAAUUCGGCAAAGUUGGACGUUCUUCACAAGCAGAUUCUGGGACUUGGGAUUGCAGUCGCCUUUCAAUCCUUAUUUGCGCAUUUUAGCUCAUUUUCUUCUCUCUAUGACACAAACCUACAAGAACACUAAAAUAACACAUAAAUAAGUCAUAAAGAAGAGAACUAAACACAAAUUUCAAGCAUAAGAGGCUUAGAAAUAUAAGAUAGUAUGAGCGCACAUCAUUUAUCUCCUAAGGCGAGACAAUAGCGCUCUAAGGUGCGCUAAGGUGAAAAGGCGCGAGGCGUCGCUUUUUGUGUUUUUUUUUAAACCCUCAAACAGUUACACAACGUCGUUCUGCUUUGGGUUUAAAGAGAACAAAUAGGAUUCGGUUAUGCUUUUAUUCGUUUACACUUUGUCAUUUUCUACCUUAGCUAAGUGAUUUUGGAUCUCUUAGUGAUGGAGAUGGAAGAAAAGGGAAUGAGUGAAUGAUUUUAUGUUGUUGUGUACAUUUUUGUCAUAUUCCAAAUUUUGACAUUAUGUUUGUAAGUCGCAACUUAAUUUCAAUUUUUGAAUGUAUGAAUGUAUUUUUAAUGACUUUAUAUCUAUAAUUUAUUUAUUUUUAUUUAAAAUUUUAGAAUGCAUGAAACGCUUCGCCUUUUCGUCUCCAGGCUUUCAAAGCUUGAGGCUCUGACUUGACACCUCGCCUCACGCCUUCGCCAUUUUACACAUACAUUCAUACAUUUAAAAUUGAAAGGCAUGAGGUGAGGCGUUGAGUCGGAGCCUCAAGCCUUGAAAGUCUAGAGGUGAAAAGGCGAAGCCUUCCAUGCAUUCUAAUAUUUUAAAUAAAAAUAAAUAAAUUAUAGAUAUAAAGUCAUUAAAAAUACAUUCAUACAUUUAAAAUUAAAAUGAAGUAGCGACAGUACAAACAUAAUGUCAAAAUUUGGAAUAUGACAAAAACACAAAAACAUAAAAUCAUUCACUCAUUCCAAUUUCUUCCAUCUUCAUCACUAAGAGAUCCGAAAUUGCUUAGGGUAGAAAAAGACGAAGUGUAGAGGAACAAAAGGAGAACAUAACCCUAUUUUUCCUCUUUAAACCCAAAGCAGAACAACGUAGUGUAACUGUUUAUGGGUUUGAAAAAAAAACACAAAAAGAGACGCCUCACGGCGCCUCAGCGCGCCUUUUUCGCCUUAGCGUCCCUCGGAACGCUAUUGCCUCGUCCUUUGAGACAAACGCCUUUUAGAUGGCGCCUUUAGGCGGGCCACGUCUCCCCUUAUGCCUAAGGCGCACUAUUUUAAACAGAGAUCACCACCAUCUCCCUAAACACCGUCUUCACUCUCGCCAAGUUUCUUUCCUUCUCAAUUGGGAGUCGGGAUCUGUUGGGUUUCAAUGGGAAGAUGAGAGAGAGAGAGAGAGAGAUUAAUCAUAUAUCAAAUGUUCAAUUAUAGUCUCUAUAUGUUUUAUCAAUGAUUUUAAAAUUUUAUUUGUAAUCAUAUAGGCUAUUUUUUAAUUCAGUAUUUGGAGGAGGUUUGAUGUUCAUCAUGUUAUGAAUCUACAAUCAUUUUGUAUCAAAAGUCAUGUUGAUUUGUAUCCCGGUUCAACUAUGAAAAAAUUGUUGUAUCUGGUAUGCUUGUAUCAAAUCAAAUGUUUGGCCGGAAUCUCUUACAAGACUUUGUCACUGGUAUUAAAGAAGACCAAGUCUGUACUUCUUGCUGGUGAGACACUACCAAAAAAGUUGGCAAAUCAAGGAGAUUAGAUUGCCCAUUAUAGUAAACUUGAAAAAUGUGAUGUAGUUACCAAAAAAAGAGUGUGAUGACAUUUGAAUUAGAAAUUAUAUGAAGAAAGGGCUGCUUUGUUAAACAUUAUCAAGAGAACUGCAGAAUGAAGUAACAAGCAAAAUCAUACAUGUUACAUAACUUAGAAUAAUUUGGCACCAUUACACAUAAGGGUAGAUAGAAUGAACUAUACACAUACUGAGAUCACAUAGUACUAAGAAAGCAAUGCUGAGAACCCCAUAAAGAAACACAAGUAUAAGAUUGUAAACGAGGAAAACUCAACAUCAACGCGAAAAUAGAGUUGUAAGAGCACAUUUUGACUGUUCAAUGUUGAUACACCCUUAAAGCCUUGCCAGUUACUCCAAUGCAAAAUCGAGCUAAUCCAUAUCAAUAAUAUUCAAUAAAGACCAGCAAGUCUCCUCUUUUGUUCCCAUCAUUUGUGCCCACGAUCACAUUAGUUCAUCCACUAUCAAAUCUUUUUAUCUUCGCAAACCUUUCUAGUUUUCUCUAGCUACUAAGAAGUCUUGAGGCUAUAAGAUUGGAGGGAACGGCUGAGACGAAGGCCGUUAAAAAAAGGAAGGGCUGAGAUGAAAUGAUAAGGCUGUAAAAAAAAAGGCUGUAAAAAGAAGAAAGAAAGAGGGUUUAAUAGAACAACGACGUUUUCGCUCAACAACCCCAAAAUAAAAGAGAUUCUAGGAGCGACUAUGAGUGUGUGGAAAUUUGUGGAGGAGGAGUGCAAGGUUAGAAAUGCUGGGGAUGUCAUUAACGGUAUCGUCGACUGCCAAUUUACCUACCGGAUUUAUGAUGUCAUGGAUGGUUUAAAGUUGGCUGGGACGCAGAAAGAGUGUAGUGGCAGUGAGAAUGCUCUCGAGUGCUUCGAAGGUCUCCACAGACAGGGGAUGCGUUCAUUCGUCCUGUCGGGUUCAUUAGUUGGAAGGAUUGGUUGAGAAUGCUAACAGCUGAGACACCUUUUCAUGAUGAGGAUGGUACUAAAGUUGUUGAUAUGGUUGAGUCUGUGUGGAUUCAAAUGACCAUGGUGGUCGAAGAUCAAUUCAUCGCAGGCCAUUGCAGCUUCUUGCAAGUGGCGAGCUCUGUUGGAAUCACAAGAGGACACAAAGCGGUUUUCCAUGAGGUGCCCCAAGGUAGAAUUCUUUGUUUCACAAGUUUUUGCAAUCUACCUUUUAAGAUGUGUCCUAAUCGUUUAAGCCAUAAAAAUGAUGAUUUAUGCUAUGAAAAUUUUCUUUUAGUUUCAACAUAUUGAGACAUAUUAUAUUAUACUAUAAUAUGUAAUCUGCAUUUACCCAUUAACUUAACCAGAUGUAGAUGAGUAUUGUUUAGUUUAUCUCAAAGCUGGCUGGGACACAGAAUGAGUGUAGUGGCAGUGGGAAUGCUCGCGAGUGCUUCAAAGGUCUCCGCAAACAGAGAUGCGUUCAUUCGUCCUGUCGGGUUCGUUGGUUGGAAAGAUUGGCUAAGAAUGCUGACAGUUGAUCCUUUCAUGGUGAGGAUGGUGCUAAGGUUGCUGCUAUGGUUGAGUCCGUGUGGAUUCAAGUGACCAAGGUGGUCAAAGAUCAAUUCAUUGCAGCUUCUUGCAAGUGGCGAGCUCUGUUGGAAUCACAAGAGGACACAAAGUGGUUAUCCAUGAGGUACCCUAAGAUAGAAUUCCUUGUUUCACAAGUUCUUGCAAUCUAACUUUUAAGAUAUGUCCUAAUCGUUUAAGCCAUAAAAAUGAUGAUCUAUGCUAUGAAAAUUUUCUUUUAGUUUCAACAUAUUGAGACAUAUUAUAUUAUACUAUAUUAUGUAAUCUGCAUUUACUCAUUAACUUAACCAGAUGCAGAUGAGUUUUGUUUAGUUUAUCUCAAAGCUUAAAUCUUUAACAAGUAAAUGCUCAUAUCAAACCUGAAUCGGGUUCGAUGAUCCUUACUUACUAUUUCCAGAGAUUUUUGUAGGUUAGAAUGUUUGGGUAAAGAUGUUUUUUUUCAUAUUCAACUAUCUUAUCUUCUUUUUCAUAUUCAACCAUCCAACCUUCACUUUUCAUAGUUAAUUAAUCAUAUAUCAAAUGUUCAAUCGUAGUCUUUAUAUGUUUUAUCAAUGAUUUUAAAAUUUUAUUUGUAAUCAUAUAGCUUAUUUUUCAACCUCAUUGAUAUAUGUAGGGUACGUAAGUUAUUUAAUAAAAGUUUUUUUUUUUUAAAUAUAAGUUAUUUUUCAAUUAAGUAUUUGAAGGAGGUUUGAUGUUUAUCAUUUUAUGAAUCAACAAUCAGUUUGUAUCAGAAAGUCAUGUUCAUGGAAUCAGUUCAACCAAAAUCAGACUUAUGUUCAUUUUUUUUUUCAAAAAAAUCAAACUUUAAAAUAAGUAAAAUUGGGGUGUGCAUUAAACAUCUUAGGAUGUGUUGAUAAAAUUACUCCAAAACAUUUUCUUAUAUUCCUUUUGUUGUCUGUAGAAGGCAUAUUCUCGAAGUACCAACAAUAGUGACAUGCACCAAGCAACUCAUUCACUAAUUAAGAGCAAAUGCACCAAGAGAUUGAUUGUGUGACUAAUUGAUGGGACCCACCUGUACCUAAAAAAAAGAUCAAUGAACCGCUACUCACUCGACCAAUUGUUGGACCCACCUCACACAAAUCGCCCAAUCAAUUCAGUUGGCAAUUCUUGCCCAUCAUUUCGCCCGACCUAUUUAAGUGGGCUCCACUAUCAACACCUAACAUCUCUCUUUCAAUUCGUCUAAAUUUGUAAUGGCUAUUUAACUAUAGCUAUUGGAUUUAAAUCAUGUGGCAAUAAUUAAACCGCAACGGUCAGUUUUUUCAUUUUCUAUGUUCAUUAAAAAUAUUAUUUUGUAAGUUAAAAAAAUUAUUUGUAUCUACUCGUACAAAUCGUAUAAAUAUUCAUUAUCUUUCUAUAAUUUCUCACACUAAACUUUUGAAAGUUUUACCUUUUCAUCUUCUUCCUCCAUCUAUUUAUCAUCUCUUUCUUCCUAUCUUAUCCAACCAUAGGAGAAUCUAAUUGCAAUUGGCAAGAAAAUGAGCAGAUUCAAUUGUGAGAUUCAUGGGUGCGUGUAUCCGUGUGUCCGAUCACCAGAAAAUGUAUAACUUCUUCAAAAUUAUGGGAAAAAGUUGUUGUCGAUUAUGUUGAACAUUGGCGAGGUCCAUUAACAAGCAUAAAUGCUCAAGUUUGCCAACUCAAUUUUGAACGUUGAAAAAGUGCUCAAAGAUCGGCAUAAUGAACAAAUUCAAUCCCGAAAUAAUAUAGCGAGCAACAUCAACUUGGUGGAUGAGAUAUUUUUUUCCCCAAUAUUAUCAAUUGUAACAUUAUUGUUAUUUAUGAUUGUAAGCCAAAUUUUUGAGUUAUAUCGGUAGAUUUUAAUUGUUUUAUUCUCCUUGUUUAGAUUAAUAAAGUUCAAUCUUAGUACAUGAAAAAACAUCCCAAGAAAUUUGGAAAAUGGGAUUGUUGGGAGAAAGUUAAGCACCGCCCUUCUUUUUGUUGAUCCACCAUAUAAUCCUCAACCACCGGCAUUAUAUUUGAUACAUAUUGCCUCUGAGAACGAGUCUCCAAUCGACUUAGAAGAUGAUAUAGUUUUAUAGACACCAUCAACCUCCAUGCCGAGACCAAUGGGACAAAAGAGAGCUAAAGAAGUAAAGAGGAAAGGAAACAAAGUGCAAGAUGCAGCGGAAAGUAUGGCUCUUGUUAUCCAAUCCAUGACUGAAUCGACCCAACAUUUUGUUAAGCUAAUGAGAAAAAAAAUGAAGAAAUGGACUGCUCACACAAGGAAUGUCUAAUGUGUCUGAUGAUGGUAGCAGCGAUUUCUACAUACCUCAAUUCGACAUUUUCAUAUAAAGAAAUGAGACAUGGUGUGUGGAUUGUAAUUUAGGGUGCGUAAAUUUCACUCUCCUAAUAAUAUUAACAAGUAUGUCAAACCAAAUUGUAUUAUGCUCUUUUAGAGCUAAACCAAAUUUUAUUCUUAAACAUAGAUAAACGUUGAAUAAGAUUACAAAUAAAACCAUACGUAUUGAUAAAGGACACAAACAUUAAAAUCACAAACUACAAUGUAUUUAAUCUUAUUCAACGAUUUCAGUGGUUCAUACUCAGUUACCAUCCAUGUUUCAAUUAUUAAUAACCAAAUCAUCUUGUAGAAUCGUAGACAAUUUCCAUGGAUGGAUUCAUUAGAUCAUUUUCUUCAGGUUCCACAAAUCUUCCUCGACAAAUUCAUCAUGCACAAUCAUGUUAUAUAGAAUAAUGCAAUAAUGAUGGCUGGAAGAUCUUCUAAUUUAAACAAUCUGUCCCGUGACGCAAUAUUGCCCAUCAAGAUUGGAGGAUGCCAAAACAUCGGUCCACAUUUUUACAGUAAGCCUCUUCUUUUUUGCAAAAGUGUUUCUCCUCUUCUGUUUUGGGGUUCGAUAUUGUUUUCACAAAAAUAGACCACAUAGGGUAAAUUUCAUCAACAAGAAACCAUUGGUGUAACUUUUGUUUUGUUGACCUCAAACUCAACCCGAGGAGAACUUCCAUCUAUGGCACAAACGAACACAUGCAUUAGACGCACCAAGAAUGUUGAGGCCAGUUUGUGGUCUAAGGGUUCCGAAGAAAGUGUGGCAUCUAUGUGUGUUGCAAGAUGUCAAUGCUUUCAAAAUUAUAGUUGGUCAUCCCUUCCGUCUUGAGAAAGCUCCACCCUAACCGGUUGGGCAGUUUGUGCCCUCCCAAUGCAUGUUAACGAUACUCUCAAUCAUGCUUAGAAACCCUCGACGAUGUGCUUUGUUGAGAAGCAUAUACAAGUCAGCAAGAUUAAUCACAGUAGAGAAACUCAAUUUGUCUACAAAUUUUUUUCAAACGUUUCAGCGUUGUAGAAGUUUUCAUGCUAAUGAUUUCAUAACAUUGAAGCAAUAGCACCGUACGUAAGCAUUCUGAAGGCACAUGUUAUCUUUUGUUUAGGAAGCAAUCACAAUUUUCUAGUGGCACCUGUUUAUGCCUCUAUCAUAGUUGCAUAGAUCUUCCAUUAUACAUUGGAAGACAUGUUUCUGCAUUCGGUACCACCUCCAAAAGCUUGCUUCGUCAUACACCGGAUGUUUAACAAAAUCUUGUAGGAGAAAAUGACCUCGAACUUCUCUAUACAUGUCUCUCCGCAUAGCAACCACUUGUUCAGUUCAUCCACUGAAAAGAGUAUAAAUGAGAUGGAUGAUGAUAUUUCAAGAGAGAUGAAGGUAUAUAAUCAGAGGAAAUGUGUGAGUAGAGAAUGAAGUCUGAACCUUAUUUAUUAACACUCUUGAAGAUAAAAAAUUUCGGAUAAGGAUAUGUCACAAAAAUACAGGUUGAAAAUCUUAUUAAAAAUUUGAGAUACAUCUUCAGAAGAUGACGGUAUCUAAGUUGACACGUGUCAAAUAAAUAUUAGAUUAAUAUCUUCUCGGAAAUCAUAAAUAUUUUGUUUUUUUUUUAAUUCUUAUUGAUUAAUAAUUAAAAAUAAUAAUUAAUGUUGUACGAUUAAUCUCAUUAUUAAUUAAUUAAAUUAAGUUUAACAUUUUCAAUCAAGAAAUUAUUCAAAAUUGAAAUGUGAAUAGUAAACUAGCAUGCAAAUUGUCGUCAAUUGGUAAAUUGACAAAAAAGAGGCAAUUACCAAUUCAUCUGAAUUACCAGUCAAUUGGUAAAUCAACGAUUGCUCUUGCUCAACGGGCGCAUUUGCUAUAAUAUAGGGAAAGAGAUCAGCAAUGAAGACGAGCUCUGUUUCACAGUUUCACUACUAAACAGUUUCUUGAAUAGAAGUUUUGGUCAUUACCUAAUUAGGUGUUGAGAGUGCUCCUGUGUUUUGUCGAUUUUUCCCAUAUUUCUCAAGAAAUCUCAGCUCCAAUAUUGGCAGUAGAAGUAUAUUAAUGAAUUCUUGCUCCACGUUUAGUCUUGUCCCAUGGUGUUCAUUUACAUACAGGGCUCUUCAUCAAGAGUUGGUCCACAUAUUCGCAUGAUUUGGCAAAUUUUCCAAGCAUUUUUGCUGUAAUUCUUGUCCCAGAAAUGAUUCUUAACUAGAUGAGAUGAGUCUAGCCGUUCAGUAUUAUUCAAAAUCAAAACCAACACUGGAAAAUCGUGCAUUGAGAUGCAACGUUGUUGUUCUUAGGCCUCUUUGUUGAUAGUAAUCUACAUCAACCAUGUCAAAGUAAGUUACUAGCCUCAAGUUGCAGUAUAUACUGCUUUUACACCAAUUAUCAGUUGGAUAUGGACUAGAUUUUCUAACUGCUACAUACUCAAACUACCAAGUAGAACAGUUAUAUUGAUAUACACAAAUGUAAUAUACAUUGUCGCAAAUGUUCUUCCAGAGACAUACAGUCUCAUUUCAAGAAGAGUGAUAUACCUGUGCCUUUUCAUCUCUAAUCUUUGAGCUUAGAAAGUAAAAGGAGGCAACCAGAGGAAAGGAGGAUUGAGGCUGAAAAGCAAAGCAAGUCAAGAGGAGAUCGUAUGACUGCUAGCAUACUCUUCUCUAACAACCCGAUUAAAAGGAGCAUUACAAUUACAUGGCCAAUCUUCGUUUUCAGUUCAUUGACAGUUGAUAUGUCUAACCACUUUGGUCGUGCCUGUAAACGGAAAAGAAAAUUACAAAACUGAACUGAGCAUGUAGCAAGCACCUCAUCAGAGAGUCUUUGCAUAUGGAUUAUUCAAAUUGAGUUAGUUGGCCACAGGGUCAAAUCCUCAGCAUUGACCAAUAGUACAAGAAUGUGAAUUUACGUUAACUAGAGACAUGAAAGCAGGUCAGUAACAAGAAAAGUCGGUCACACCUUCAGAAUGAACAUGCCAAAAAGACUCGAUGUAUAAGGUGCUUCAUCCUCUGAGAGUGCCUUCACCGUGUCGAGGUUGCUGAUGAAUAGCUCAUAAAGACCCAUUCCAAACACCAACAUCACUGUUCCCAAAAGAUAAACAUCUACAUGCCAUAAGACAGUAGUUAGUGCCUCAUUUCCAAUUUUGUAUAAAGUAUAAACAGAAAACAUAGAUCUGUUGUCCGAACAAUAAAUUCAACAAAGGAGUGCAUCAACUCGAUUAAGUAUUCAACUUUUAAUAGUAACAGUGACAUAUCCAACUCUAACCGCCAAUCCUUAAGAUGUUGUUUACGACGGGAAAAUCAAUUUCAUUAUCUAUAAGUUACUAAUGCACAGCUAUAUGACAUGUGCAUGAAAGAUGGACAAAUGGUACUCUUUUAUAACCAACACUCUGUGACCCCCUUCCUCUAUCAUUCUCUAACAUAGCUCAUAUGUCGGGAAUUGUAAUUGUAGUGGACUUGCAAGUCUUGUUUGGUAUCUUUAAGAUGAACUAUUUUGUUGUCUUUGCAAUUUUUUGAAAGAAAGUCAGACUCUUGAAAAAAGAAAGAGACCAUUCUGUUCACGUUGGGGUUUCCUGGCUGCCAAAUCAUGUUUAUUGUAUGUACUCCUCUUGCUAGCUGUCUAGCUUGAAAAAUUCUCUAUUACAACCAAAUUAUUUUGUAUUCUUAAAUCAUGAUCAAUAGAAGGAACAAGUUAUAUGUUAAGAAGUAACUGAAACACUCACCAAUGGCAUCAAUCAGUAACAUGAUGACCUUGCUACGAUGUGCAAAGUAUUCAAUAAAAGAUUGUACAACAUACGUGCAGCCCUGCAUAUUCAACGUCAAAAAUUAAGGCAUACAUCUAUGUUACAAAGUACCAAUCUAUGUUACAUGGGUGUCAUACUUAUAAACCAUGCUAAUAAAUUUCAGUAUAAAAAAUGAGGGGAUGCAGCCAAAUUACCAUAGCCACAUGCAUCUGUAAGCUAAUUGUAUGUUGGGAGAUGCAUAUCCAGCCAUUUUAACCAACCAGAUUAUCACUACUAAAAAUAAAUAUACACACAUUCAGUACAGAUACAUGUAUAAAUAGAGUAAAAAAUAACUGAAAACAGUCUAAUUCAUUAUUGGAAUAUAUAGGGAGGCAGGAGUGGAUUGGUCAAAUGCUUUUAAGAGGAUUGAUUUGUUAGCAAGAAGCCUUAUACUUUCGGUAAAGUUGAAUGGAAAUUCUUGAAUGCACAACGUGUAUUUACACGACGCAAUCUUAACCGUUCAUAACAAUUUAUAUGUUUGACCACUAUGUUUCUAUAUUAUUUCCUCUAAUCCUGACCAUCCAUAUGUGAAGAUACACGCCGUGUACUGAAGUUGCUCUCAAAGUUGAAAGACAAAAAAUCAUUAGGGAUGUGGGUGUUAGCUGUGAUCUGGGUGAGUGGAUGGAAAGAAAUAAAGCAUGUUUUAAGACUCUCGUGGUGGGGAGGUGGAAAAACUGUGGGAGAGAGCCAAGGUAUGGGCAUCUUGUUGGGCCUCUAUAUCUGGGGAGUUUAAAGAUUACUCUCUAUGUUCUAUUAUUCUAGAUUAGAAACUGUUGUAAUUUAGGACUUCAUGCAUAGUGUUAUAGUGUCUGUUGAGCAUUCUUGUGCGGACUUCUUGUCUGCUUCUUUCUAUUUUUUUUUUUUUUGGUUCAAUUAAAAGCUGUUUCUUUGUUUUCAGGAAAAAAUAAACUCUAAUAAUAGACUCCAUAUCCCAAAGUUCCAUCAUGUACACAAAGGUACACCAACAAUGAAGCCCCACUUAACUCUCUCUGAUGAUUAUUUUACAAAAUAAGCUAUUUAACCACCACAUCAAUGGAUAUGGGGAUGUAUAAUUAAACUACACACUGUCAGCACUGAUGUGAGACUGUGGCCUAGGAUGCACUUCUAGUUCAGGGUUUUUAAUAGAAUCUGUAGAACAACCCGCCUAACUUUGAUGGUGUUUCACCCUUUGGUCUCAGAACUUUAAAAUUCAUUAUCUGACCAAGUGACCAUUGAGUUUUGCAUCGUGUUAUAUGGACAGAUUGCGACUUCACUCUGAUAAUCUAACAGGAUCACUCUGUUUGAGAAUGACCAAGUCAUUUUAUUUCCUUUCUGACCCAAUUACAUAUACAAGAAAUGGAUUAGCUUGCACCCACUUCAGUGAAAGCUAAGAACUGCAUCACCCAAAAAAGAGUUUCUUCUUCCCUGGGCCCUCACUGUUCUCUGAAUUUAUCUUGUGUAAUGUACAUGAUCAUUACUUUGAAAAAGAAAAAAAAUUAUAAAAACAAACUGCAGUAGAUAUAUCCACUUUUAACUAGUUACAAUGCAGAAAAUGUGUGUAAAUGAAGGAUUGAAUUUGCAUAAGAUCAAUUAGAUUGUAGAUGAAGAUGGAGGAAAUUAUAAAAUGAAUUACCAGUUACCAAAGGAUAAUAAGGAUUACUGGAUUCUUAGGAGGGACUGAAUGACUAAUUUCCCUAACAUAGUGACUGUUUGGUAUCCCAUCUAAGUACCACAGCCCUAUUACAAUUUGUCCUUAUUUUCUACACAGCUCAAAGUGUAAGAAUAACCUUAUCACAUUUUGAAGUUAAGGAAAAAUUUUAGAGGCAGGGGAUAGUUCCAGGGACACAUGAAUUGAGCACGUAAGGUUUCCAUGUUUUAGUUUGGGUUUUCUUAUUUGAUUUGUUAUUCUACUGCCUCUGCGACCACUAGAAGACUCGCUAUACCUCUAGUCAAGUGCCCAUCUUGCAAAGCUCCCAUCACCACACCAGUAGUACUAGUACCUUAGAAAGCAGGCCAAGCAAUCUGAUGCCUAAUCAAUGAUCUGUUUAGGGUGAAUUCCUCCUCACAUAUCCAUCUGUCACCAGAUUAUAAACUUCAGCAACUAAACCUACACAUCUGUACUUCAGACAGAGGGAAUUGAAAACCUCAAACAACACUCUAACCACCUAAACUAGCAGGUCUCAACAUUCUAAAGCACAUUACAUGAUCAUUUGACCGUUGCUUUCUUCGUAUUGCCUACCAUCUAGUUACAAAAGGCUUAAUUCAUGCUGUUAUAGUUCCGCACAGUACCCUCCAUAUUAAGGUUUCUUAUACUUUAAAAACCACAUUUCUUCUGACCAAGCAUAACUUUUUUGCACGAGUUCUUUCACCCUCACAGAUAAGUAUAAGCUUGACUGUUACUCUCGACAUUCCAAUCUACAAAAUACUAGGUGAUUGCUCUUCACCUAUCUGAACACCCAAGAAACACUUCACAUAUAUUUCUUAUUUUUCAUUGCAACACCCUAAAACUUGAGCUAACUACCACGGAUAUAUCGUGUGCAGAAUAAAAAACACUACACAAUCGGUUCAGUGUUUAAAGUUCUGAUAAUGCAACCAUCAAAUAAGCCCAAUUCGACUAUACGAAUAAAAGGAUCCAAACAGAUUAAAAAAAAAAAAUUAAAAAAAAAACAAUACCUUGAUGUAACACAGAAGCGAUCCAAUCAAAGACCCCAAAACCGCCAUAAACGUCAUAAACCGACACCCAUAUAUAACCUGAUAAACCACUCAAAACACCACAAAAGACAUAAAAUCAAAACCGCUUGGACUCCGACAACAUUUUAUUUCUUCAAAAAAUGAAUAAACAUCAUAAUCUUCUGUACCUUCUCCAAGCCUGCCUCAAUGAACUCCACUCUACUCGGCGAGGCGGCUGCGGCGGAGUCGGAGGCGACGGUGGGAGAGAUGAUCGGCGACGAGGAGUGUGGCCGGGCGGAAGAAACGCCAGGUCUGGAGCUGGCGGCAGCCAUGGGGACGAUGAGUUUGAGAGAGUGGGGAUUGAAGAAGGCAUUGGGUCUUGAAGAAGUGCUCAGAAGCGGUGGUGGUGGUGUUCUGCUGCUGCUGAUGGGUUUGGAGAGGAGAGGGCGAGGCAGUGUCAUGAACUCAGUUGGGUCGAGUCAACUUGUUUCCAGUUUUGGGGUAUGGGCAAGUUCAACACUUCAACUUGUCUGAGAUUCUUUAUCGCAAAACUAAAACUACUUAUAGUUCCAAGACCGUGGCAAAUAUAAAUACGUAAUUGAAAAUAACAUUCAUUUCAAACUGUCACUGUAUCAGUCACCAACUCACCAUGACACGUCACACUGCAUCAUAUACGAAUCAUUCAUUCAAGUACUUUCACACGAUUAAUUCUGGAAAAGAAAAAUAAAAAAUGGAACUUGACUGCUCGACAUUUUGCGUCGUUUCGUCUAAACUUAAGAAGCAGAAAUAAGAAGUUCCCACCUCCCUGCUUGAUGAACUAGAACGGGAAAAGUCUUCCUAGUUCCUAUUUGCAGCGCCUGCUUUGUGCCACUUCCAACUGAUGGUGUCUCGACACUAACACUAAACAUCCAAAGCAGUGGGAAAUUGGAUGUGUAAGGCCAUCUUCAGUAAUUAGGUUCAAAGGGCCAUCUCCUAAAUUGACAACGUCAAGAAAAAUGAUAGUAUAGUUUAAUUCUAUAUAAAUUGAUGCCUCUCUAGAAUUAAGUCCAACUGUAAUUUGUAAAACAAAAUUAACAUAAAUAAAUAACAAAAGCAUCAUCAUCUUGUUACAAGUUGAUCAAUUACUGCAUCGACACGAUAGUAUAACAACUUUCUCAUAUUGAAUUUUGAUUUGAUUUACCACGAUAGUACGUAACCAUUGCAAAAACAGAUCUACUUCUUGGGUAAAACACUAACCAACUUAAUUGCUUCAUAAUUCAGGCAUAAACACCUAUCUAUUCCAUGGAAGCAAAUUCUAAUCGAAUCAAUGAUUUACCAGAACCUGACUUGAGAUGCUAAUUCUCUAAAUAGAUUUUGGUAAAUCAUAGACCGAGUAGAGGUCAUCACCAAUUCUUUAACUUUUUUUGGUAAAUCGUAGUCCUGAGUCUUGCAUGAUAGUAUAAAAAGUACUUGUUGAAACUAAGUUCUAGUUGGAUUAGUGAUUUACCGAGGAAAUAUCAUUGCAAGAAUCCUCUAAUUCCCUGGUAAAACCAACAAUAGAUUUCUUCUUCAAGGCUAAAUAAUCUUGACAUGAACAUCUAGCUAUCUCUUUCUUGGAAGCAAAUUCUAAUCGAAUCAAUGAUUUACCAGAAAUCUAAUUUGAGAUUAUAAUUUUUCAAAUAGUUUUUUGUAAAUCAUAGACCGACUAGAAGAUAUCUCCAACACUAAAAAUUGAUUGUAAACAAAUAUUUUCAUGCAAGUUGUGUAAAUAUGCAUCAAAUGUCGAGGGUAUAUAUAGGCCUCCUAAAAACUAUUUGUGGAACUCUCAUUAACGGAUUCCCAAACAUGAAAAUCUAAUUGUAAUCCACUAAAGAAGAAAACAUAUUAAUGUCAUAAAAUACAGAGACAACCACAAAAUAUAUCACAUUUAUCUACAAUUCCAUAUCUAUCGAUUUUAAAAAUCCAGAAUUUAUUUUUCAGAAAAAUAAAAUAGAGAGACAACCACAAAAUAUAUCACAUUUAUUCACAAUUCCUUAUUUGUCGAUUUUAAAAAUCCAGAAUUUAUUUCUUCAAGGAAAAAAUCUAAAAUUUAUUUGUAAUCUGCUAAAUAUGGUCGACACAUUAAUGUUAUUGUUUACAUACAUUGAACCACCUUCAUAGGAAUCACAUUAUUCUCAUUCAUACCAUGCUUUCAAUGGUAAGAUAAUCCAACUACAGCUUUGUUUGAAUACACUUAGAGCAUCUCCAACAGCUUCUCCAUAAUUUCUCUAUUAUAGGGAAGCAAAAGUCAAUGCUCCAAGUAAUUUUUCUUCUACAACUCCAACAGAUUCCCUAUUUUGGAGAUUUCAAGAUAAUUCCCCAAAUCUUUCUAUAAAAUUUGGAGAAUGCUGCAGAUUUGGGGAAUUUGGGUUUCUCUUUCAUCACAUUCCCCAUUUUGGAGAAAGUUUUAGGGAAUCUGUUGGAGCAAAACACCCAAAAUCUUCUCCAAAUUGGAGAAUUUAAAGAAUUUGGGGAAGCUGUUGGAGAUGCUCUUAUAGAAGUGAGAGUUAUCUUUACCUAAGCCUCCAAAACCCUAAGCCUCCACUUCUGCCAAAACACUCGUCCGGCGGCGAUCAGAUCUGUGGUGGCCUCUGGCCUAGCUAGUCCUGGGAGUGCGUCGGAUGGGUAUUGUCAAGACUCACCCCGAAUUUCACCCUGAAACCCGAGGUAAAUCCUGCGGGGUUCACCUCCAAGGAAAAUUUACCGAAAAAUUCGGCAUAACCUCUCUUGAAAAUGGACAACCCUUCCUAAAAACACCUGCAAACACUACUAAAAUUCUAAAUCCAACCUUAAACACCUAGAGCCUUCGUGCUCCCCAAAUUCACAACACCACCCAAAUUAUUUACCAAUCCAAACUAAAUCCGAUAACCAAAAAUUCCUAUGUUCAGAGCAACUAAUAGGGAAUAAAGGAAACAAAAUAUACAAAUAAGCGGAAGCCAUAAUAUGGACUAUGCCUCAACUCCAUGUACGCUCGACCUCAAUUAUGCAAUCCUGUAAACUGGGCAUUUAAAACCGAAGGGCCCAGGGGAAAACAUUUGAAAAUAUUAAGAGUGAGUGGACAAAAAUAAAGUUUAAAAGAAACAAGUCUUUAUGCUUUCCCAUUUGAUCAACGAAUAAUUCAACUAUGCAUGCAACACCUGAUGCUCACCAAUAAUACUUCAAAAGAGUAAAAAUGACGAACCAAUCCCAUUGGUUCGAAUAGAUCCAAGAUAUUAGAAAAGGGUUUCACCAUAAAGAUGAGCCUCCCAAGAUAAGGUCGGAGCCUCCCAAACUCUAUUAAUAGCGUCCCACGCUAAAAGCUAGCUAGCAAUAAUAAUAUACAACAACCCUUAUACAAUGAAAUAAGAAGAUCAUAUAGAGCUCACAAGAUAAAUAUCUCGGCCCACUCGAUAGAGCUCACGAGAAAGGUAUCCCGGCCCACUAGAUAGAGCUCACGAGAUAAGUAUCCCGGCCCACUAAACCAAGCAAUGUAACAAUACUCAAUGACGUGUCCUAGACGUCAAAAUAUACUCGAAUCUAUGAUUGAGAAGUACCGAAAAUCCCAUUUUCGGUAACCUUUUACAAAUCUCAAUGUUGACAAAUAAAAACGAUAAUUAUAGAGGAGAUAUUUAAUAAUUUAAUUGUCGCAUGCAAUUUAUUCAAAAUUGAAAGUCCACUCACAGUAUUAGGCCUAAGCCUUCCAAUGCUCGGGAUACUCCUCGUGCGCUGCCUCUAACUAUUCACACUCUAGCCAAUCCCACAUCUAAUAAUAAAUAGUAGAACAAAUUGAUCAGACCGGACUCCGAAAUAAUCAUUGACUCGACUUCUUAGUUUGAUUAGGAUUUCCUAGGUUGACUAGGAUUGACCAAGUUUGACCAAUUGACUUAGGGUUGGCCAACUAACAAAGUUUCGAUCUUUUCCAAUUUAACCUUUGACUUAACGAUUCGAUUCAAAUCCCACUAUACGUCCUACUAACCGAUAGACACUUAUGCGUCGCUUAAACACUCAUUUUGGUGAACCUUGAUUUUGAUUAAUCAACUGAUGAAAUUUCAAGGACUCAAACAUACAGAAAACAUUAAUCUGGAAAACCCAUUAAAUUUACUAAGGGCACCCAAAAGGGUUUCCAUAAAUAGAAAGUUUCCUAGAAUAGAAACUUUCCUCACUUAGAAAAAUUUCCGAUUACAACCCGCCAAACUUUCCUUUUCCUAGAAUGACAUAAAACGAAAUGGAAGCAUCAAUCACUACCUCAACCGCUACUGCCAGAUCUGCCGCUCGCCAGACUUCGGUGAUUGCCGGAAAAUGGCCAUAGGUUCCCCGUACAAUCUGAUUCACCUAGUUCUCGACAAACAACCAAAGAGCUAAAUCAAACAUCAACCAACCACAACAUAACAACAACAACACAGAAGCUUCACAACUUAACACUCACCUUCAAUCUGCCAAGCAUUGAACCCAAGAACUUUCUCCUUGCCGGAUUUUCUAAGGUAAGCAGCAUAACGAUCAAGUCAGUCUUCAUACAUCAACCCAAAUUGUUUUGGCCACGAUCCUCAACAGGGGUAGAGAGGUAACUUGUGCUACCAAAAAGUAAAUUAGGGUUUGCAGGGUGUGCCACCGCGCGGACGCGGAACGAGAACGGUGCGCGUUCUUGACUUCUAAUCAGGCGAAGUAGAGCUCCGGUGUCACCUCGCGGGCGAGGAAUUACGAGCAAGCUAUCUAGUCACCUGUGAAUCGAUACUCACUAUUUGAAGCGAGCAGAGCAACAAUUGGGAAAGAGAGACGAGUCCAGACGGGAUCUGAGAUCUAAGGCGAGGUGCACUUAGAACUUAGGGUUUCAAGGAUGCUUGAAGAUUUGCAAUUGUUUUGUAUGAUUGAUUGUCUGUCUUUAAACCAGAUCCUCGAACUCUCUUAUAUAGCGAUCCGUAAGCAAUUCGCAGAGACCUAAUCACAACUCCAUUCGGACUCAACAAUUAGAAUUCCACCAGGAAACUACUAGCUCGCGAGCCGCGCGAUCCAUGCAACACGUGUCCAAAACAAACUUCGCCUAGGUCCCGCUCACCUCCCCGCAUCAUAUCACUAUAGCGUCCUACGCGAACUCGAACACUAAGCGAUCCUAUCCCGCGGGUACUACAGUCCAUUUCCUACCUCGCCAUGCACUGUAAGAACAAAGGAUCCCGCGAGGACAUCGAAUCCCGCGAGGUAUCAGAAUCUUUGCAAAACUCCAACUCGCGUGUUGCCAGACUUCGCCACCCUUCGUGGGCUUCGCAUUAAAAAAUUGCCACAGGUACUGGCCCAAAUGUUAUCCAAAACCUACCCCGAGUCUUGGACCAAAAAUACCCAUUGGGCUCAAACAUUGCCCCCUAGGCCUUGAGCUUAAUCCAUUUCGCAACGGAUAAGCGAAAAGGCCUAAAUGAGCCAUUUACGGGAAUUCGUAAUUCAAAAGGUGCUGACGUUUCGGCAUCGUCGCCUCCCUUCAUCAUUGCGGCUGUUUGAAAUUUGAAACGUGCUGACGUUUCGGCUGUCAUCGCGUCUCCUCAUUACGGCUACAGAUUGAAAAGACGUUACGGUCCGUCUCCUUUAUAAACCUUGAUGCGGGUCCCCUUUCUUCUCACCAUCGCUUUCCAACCAGUCUUCUCCCUUUCUUCUGCAACCAACCAAACUUCGCCACCGGACUCACUCCGACCAGAAACAAUGGCUCCCAAACCAACUGCUAAUGAUCCAAACCUUAACCUCACGGCGGCGAGCUCUUGGUCAACCGGCCUCGCUCGUCGUUUUGCCAACAACCCUCCUCAAGGAACACCGAUUUAUUUCCUUGAAACAGGGGAAGCCCUGCUCCGUCCGACUCCUUCACAACCUCCAUCCGCCGCUGAUCUGAACCACUAUACCGCCUCUGUGCGCCGACCAAUCCUUGCCCAACGUCGUGAGCCGGGAAACUUUGCCUCCUGGUUCCACCAAGCCCGCUCUCACACAAAUAUCCGGGUCGGGGAAUGGCCCAGCGUCACCGCGGAGGACCGGGCAUGGUAUGCGGCUCGCCUCCAGACCGAUCAAGCGAUUUGGGAAGCAACCGGCAUCAGCGAAGCCAUUGCCUUCAGCUUCUCACUGCCUCCUCAUGCUGAUCGAGCACCCAUCGCUGCCGCGGCCUGCUUAUGGAACAGUGCCACCAACACUUUCGAUUUUCCUUUCGGGGAAAUGGGCAUUUCUCUGCUGGACAUCCUCGCCAUCACUGGGCUGCCGAUCCAUGCGAAGCCAUAUGCGCCAGGCGACUUUGCAUCUACCGAGUUUACGCAUUCCUGCAACCUGAAAGGCUCGUAUGGAGUAUGGAGGAAGUUCUACAUCGGCCAUGCAGAACAACACGAAGGAGGUAUCGCUUUCCUUGAGUAUUGGCUUGAUAAAUUAAUAUUUUGUGGCAGUGCUCACAAACCUACAGGGAAAUGGAUAAAGCUAGCCGAGGCACUCUACAAUGGGAUCGAAGUAGGGCUAGGGCAGCCCGUGCUAGGCGCGCUCUACCGGACCCUGCACAUGCUGUCCCUAAGACCCUUCCAUCUCUCUGCUGGCCCUCUGUGGAUCCUGGAUUUAUGGACGCAGCUGUACUUCCCGCUCUUCCGGCGAGCCCCGCUGGAAUUUCUGCCCGAGGACCAACUGCUCGGCUUCGCGGUGUGCAGGAACGCUGCGAACCGGACUCCCCUGUCCUUCUUCGCCAGCCUCUCCAUCCUGUACAACCAACUCAAACCGCCUCCCACCAUAGACAUGAUGGUUCGCCGGCGCCAUCCUGAAGUCUUAUCAACGGGAUUCUUCCCUCGCUCUGACUCAGACUCUGACGCCAAGACCGUCUUCAUGAGAGCAUCCUCAUGCUGCGACCUUCAGCUCACCGAAGAUGAACAAGGCUUCGAGCUGUAUGCCCCCAACCACUUCGCCAGACAACUUGGCUUCUCUCAAGGGAUCCCCUAUCCACUUUUCCAUUCGGUGAACAAGAACACCUCCUGGAGGAAGAUUGGCGAGUCCGACCGGGUCACCCCGCUGCAGAACAUUUUCCCUCUCACUCCUGACUUGCUGGAGAUUGAGCCUUCGCUGGGUGUUGACCCCGCUUACCUCUCUUGGUGGCGAUCCUUAUCCGACAACCAUUGGGGGUUCCCAGAUGAUGCUGUCUUCGCUGCCAUCUUCAUCCUCUGUACGACACUCUGGGCAAGUCAGACCGCGUCAUUCUUGACGCCCAGCGCGACCGUGAAGAGGGUGGUUCAAAGGCUGCGACAGGGCCUAGGCCUGCGCUCCCACCAGUUCCCGCUACUCGUCGCUCGACGGGGAUCGUCAUUCGAGAACGCGACCCCGCACCCGAGGUAUGCCACUAACUGUGUAAAUUUCGAACCGCCUUUAUCACUUCGACGAAAUACUUCUCCCUAACUCUCCUGUCUAUCUUUACAGUCUGCCCCCCGCCGGAGAACUAUCAGAAGACCUGAGGGAGCUGGAGACAAAGGAAAAGCACCUGCUCAAGAGGAACCCGCGGCGGACCAUGACAGUGAGACUGCUCCCGUCAUUCCUCGGCCAACAAGCGGCGAAAGCUCGCGGAAGCGCCCUGUUGAGGACGAAGAAGAACUGCUAGAGGAUGAGCGAUAUCGGCAAGAGCACGCUUUGGUAAGCGACCUUCCUUCGAACCAAACUACAUCAAAGCCAACAAACGAUAUGCUAACUUUGUAUUUGACAGGUUCGCCGCCGCAUCCGACCUCGCCUCGCUGUCAAUGAAGGAGCAACAGCGAUAGUUGAAGUCCCAGCCCCGGAACCAAUCGUCGGGGAUCAAACCAUGGUUACCGAGGAAGUCGCCGUGCGACCCCCUCCUCCAACCGACGCUCUAGGCGAAACUGGCCUGCCUCCAGAGCCUACCUCGGCUCCUGCUCAAGAUGAAGAUUUCGGCCAGACCACCCGGCUUUCUGACUUCGCUGCCCCUUCAGCGGUUCCUCCAGAGGACUUCCAACCGGUGCUUGAGCCCUCUCCCCUGCAACCAGAUUCAACGGCUCAGACCAACGAAGAACCGAUAGUCCCCACUCGGUCUAAGGUCCCCCCGCCCGUUCAAGAGAUUGAGGCCGUUGCAGAGGUUGAACCAAUCACUCCGGCCCCAACUAGGACAUCUGGCGAGGCGGCUUCUUCUUUGGCUACCCGGACCGCUCGUCUUCGGGCCCGGAUUACCCCGCCUGCUGAUCCAGAGCCCAUUCGCCUAGCCCGGGCUUUCUUUCACGGGCUACUGCGCCAAGGUCCCCACAUGAACGUAUUCGAUUUGGUGAGGCGCGUCCGCGAGGCCCAUGAAGCUCUGACUCGGCACCUCGCUGGCAGCAACCCUGCUCUAGACCAUGUGUUGGAACUUACCGACGCUGUCGAGCUGCAGGCUCGCCGAGUUCAAGAUGUCGGUGCCCAGUCGGCCGCUCACGAGAAAGUCCGCGAAGCCUUAGACCAUCAGAUGGCAGCCCUUUUAGCCUAGCUUGAUGACGCUGAAAUCCCUGAGGCAUUGUCAGAGAACCCAUGCACUGUCUAUGCUCGGCAAGUGGAGGACCUGGAGGCUCAGAUAGCGGAGCUGCAAGCUCAGCUUGCUCAAGCUCGCCAGAACCUGGCCCAAGCUGAAGAGGCAGAAACCCGUGUGCAGGCCGCGGAAGAGACCCAGGAAGCUUUGGACUCGGCUGCUGCUGCUGCUGACGAAGCCCAAGCCCAGGCAGAUGUUGAAGAGUUGGCCUUAGAAGGCCUUCUCAUAGAUUUGUAUAGGGCUUCUAGGCGGGUUUAGGCCUGACCACCGCUUUGCCCCCUUUGUACGAACCUUUUAAAUAUUAUUAUUAAAUUAAAUCUUUCCCGCUCUUGUCAAUUCUUGUGUAAGAACUGCCUUUCCAGGAAAAAAUCUUUUUCCAAGAUUUGGUAGGGGUUUCCAAUGCAACUACUCGCUUGGAACGCGGGUAGUCAUUAUGGAACAACGCGUCCGACCUUAUCUCCAAAGUUCGUAUCUCGGAGCAAAUCGCUGCAUGGAGGACAUCUGUUGAAAGGAAAAUCACCCUACUCGCCUAUAAAAAGAAACGCUUGGCCGGGGCGAAGUACCAGUUAAGUCUCUGCCCCCUUGCCAUGGGCUCUUAUACCCUUCUGUUCAUCCUCUUGUCCCUUCUUAAAGCAAAGCCCCCGCCUCACAUUUUCACUCUUCAUUUUUUUCUGAUUCUGAAAAUCUACUCUCAGGCCGGGAGUGAUUCUGAAAAUCUACUCUCAGGUCAAGCCUUUGUUUGGACGAGCUAAUGGUUGAGUACCUUCUGCCUUGCACCGGCUGUUCUGUCCAAACGUGAGGCUCUCGAGGCUCCGCAUCCGCUUGCGCUUCAGGUUCUGGUCAGUGCAUUUCAAGCACCUUCCAGGCGUGACCGGUAGCAUGAGGGACCCUGGUCCAGUGGACCUCUAGCUUCCCAACAAUUUGUCUUAGGUCCGGGCCGGUGUCAAGGCUCGUGCUGGUCUAAAGAAGCGGGACGUUUGCCAACUUUAAACGAAGGAUGCGGCGGUAGUCUCUUCUUCAACCCUGCAAGAUAUGCGGGUUGAGGCCUCCAAUAUCUGUAGAUCUAUGCAUUCGUUCGUAAACAUAGCUUAAUUUCACCCUUUCUGUCAAUGUAGUCGCUCCGGCCGCAAAGCCGAUGUUCGAAACUUGUAUUGAAACAACGCCAAAAAGGGCAAAAUAAAUAAAUUUAUUGUUUUUUAGGGCCUCUGGAAUAGGCCCCAAUCUUGUACUUGUCUUUGCGUUUAGACUUUGCACGUUUACAGACAAUGAAGAAAAAUAGAGUUAUCCUUGCACGUUUAUAGACAAUGAAGAAAAAUAGAGUUAUCCUUAUUUAGGGCCUCUGGAAUAAGCCCCAAUCUUACACUGGCCUUUUUAGACUGGUAUGUUACAACGUACUCUAUCAGUCGUCUAUCCCGGAUUGCCCCCUAGUGUUAGGCGGCGGAGCGAGAACGCGAUGGCGCGUAGCACUAUUGACUGUGGUGACGGGGUCUAGGGGAGGUGGAGGAUCCUCGCGUUCCCAAAUUCCUGCAAUGUGGCGCUUGAGGAAGCGGCCAUUAAUAGGAUUGCGAUGAAUGGUACCGUCCAAGUCGCGCAAGUGGUAUGCCCCCUUGGGAAGUAUACGAUGAAUAAUAAAGGGGCCUUCCCAUUGAGCGGACCACUUGCCCAGACCGUCGGUUUUGUCCCCAAGUGGGAGUACCACGCGCCACACUUUCUGGCCCUCAGCAUAGCUCCGUCCGCGCGUGACCUUAUCAUACGAACGGGCGAUGAGUUGUUUUUCGAGGACGAGAUUGUUGAAAGCGGUGACGCGGUGCUCGUCAAGAUCUUCAAGCUCCUGCCACAUGGCUUGGACGUAAUCCUCGCCAAGUAGUUGGUGCUGUUCCUGAACGUGGAGUGAAGCGAUAUUAAUCUCAAGGGGAAGGACGGCAUCAUGGCCGUACAUGAGAGCGUACGGAGUGGUAUCCGUUGGGCCGCGCUUUGAAGUGCGGUAAGCCCACAAGGUGUGGUAGAGUUCCGCAUGCCAGACACGCGGGUUCAACUCCAACAUCUUGCGGAGGAUGCCAAGGAUGACUUUAUUACUAGCCUCUGCCUGGCCGUUGGACUGUGCAUAAUAUGGCGUAGAGUGGAGAAGUUUGAUUCCGUAGUCGUUUAAGUACUUAACAACUGAAUCAGCCAGGAAAGCUGCCCCCCUGUCCGUAACGAUGCACUCCGGGAUACCAAAGCGGGAGAUGAUAUUGCGGAAAAUAAAGUUGCGCACCGAGUUGGCGGAGGCAACCUUGAGUGGUUCGGCCUCGACCCAUUUGGUAAAGAAAUCGGUGGCGACGAUAAUGAACUUAUGCUGCUCAAAAGAAUAGGGAUGAAUGAUGCCAACGAAAUCUAUCGCCCAACCGCGACCCGGCCAAGGUUUAAUGAUAGGCUGCAACGGGAUGUUGGGAAUAUGUUGCACUGGUCCGUGAGCCUGGCAGUCUUGGCAACCUUUGGCGAAGGCAAUACAGUCUUUCAGAAUGGUUGGCCAGUAGUACCCGUGGCGACGGAUUAACCAACGCUUUUUUGGCCCGGCCUGGUGCGAACCGCAAACUCCACAAUGGACUUCGUGCAUGAUACGUUUAGCUUCGUUCCCAUACACGCAGCGGAAAUCGUUUCCGUCUUCCCCACGCCGCCGGAGUUCGCCAUUGCGUAAAACAAAGUUUAAGGCGAGGAAACGUAUUUGUCUGGAGUGAGCGGCGUCGUUGGGGUUCUAGAGGUAGGCGAUAAAUGGUAGCCGCCAAUCCUCGUCGAUAGGGUCCAAGGCCGCAACUUCGGGGGUGUCGGCCUGAAAUUGCCCCCUAGCGAUGAAAGAAGGAAGCGUGCGGCGUUCGACUUUGAGCAAACGUUCGCGCACGCCGUCGCGCAGGCUGAGACCGGACGCUACUUGGUCGAGCUCGUUGGCGGCGAAGUUGAACUCACGGGGUAUGUGCUCGAUGUAGACGUCGUCUGAUCGGUCCAACACCUCAAAUGCCUUGCGCAGGUAUGGCUCAAUGGACGAGCUUAAGCACUUAAACUUUUCCACCAGCUGGUUAACGACCAACAAAGAAUCACCAAAGAUUUGAACCUUGCGGACUCCUAAAUCCAACAAAAUCUCUAGGCCGAUGAUCAGCACCUCGUACUCAGCCUGGUUGUUGGUGCAUUUGAAAUCGAGCUGGAACGAGUAGGAGAAGCGAUCUCCAGCGGGAUUGGCUAUGGCUAUCCCGGCUCCGGCCGCGGUAUCAGUUCGUGAACCAUCAAAGUACAGGGUCCAUGGAGCGAGUGUCACGGUAGCGAAUUCCAACUCGCAAAACGCCGUGAGCUCUGAAGGUGGGUGAUGAGCGAGAAAGUCUGCUAUUGCCUGUCCUUUUACUGCCUUUUGCGGAACAUAUUGCAACGAGAAUUCGGACAUGGCUAAGAUCCACUUGCCGAUGCGUCCCCGCAGGAUAGGGCGGGAGAGCAUGUAUUUGACCAGGUCGGAUUGAGCGAUCACAACCGUGGUAAAGGCAAGCAUGUAAUGGCGCAGCUUGCACCCUGCAAAAUAUAAGGCAAGACACAACUUUUCCAUAGGGGAGUAUCGUGUCUCGCACUCAGUUAACACCCUGCUAAGGUAAUAGACAGCGUGUUCUACCCCGUUCACAUCGUCUUGGGCCAGGAGUCCGCCGAUGGACAAGUCGGCAGCGGCGAUAUAAAGUUUAAGCGGGGUACCGUCGCGAGGAGGGAUCAGGACUGGUGGGUUCGUCAGGUAGUCCUUGAUCCGAUCGAAGGCCUGUUGAUGUUGUGGUUCCCAGACGAACUCGGUUGCCCCCUGGAGCUUGAGGAGGGGUGAAAAAGGCUGGACCUUCCCUGCCGCGUUUGAUAUGAAACGGCGGAGAAAGUUGAUUCGCCCGAGCAGCUGUUGGAGCUCCUUUUUGGUGGUGGGGGGCGAAGCGGUGAUCACUGCCUGUGCCUUGUCUUUUGGGAUUUCGAUGCCUCUUUGAUGCACUAGGAAACCAAGGAAAUCACCGGCCUCCGCGAAGAAAACACACUUGGCGGGGUUCAUCUUCAGGUUAUAUCGGCGCAUCCGUGUAAACACCUGCCGCAGGUCCUCAACAUGGGUUGCCCGUGUUUUGGUUUUGACUACCACGUCUUCGAUGUAUACUUCGAUCAACUUCCCCAAGAUGUCAUGAAAGAUGAGGUUCAUGGAGCGCUGGUACGUUGCCCCCGCGUUUUUAAGUUCGAAAGGCAUGACAACAUACUCGAACGCGCCGGCAAACCCAGGGCAUCGGAAAGCGGUCUUGUGUCGAUCUUCCUCAGCGACGGGAAUCUGAUGGUAUCCAGUCGUUCCAUCCAUAAAGGAUAACACCUUGUGCCCCGCGGCGGCAUCAAUGAGUAGGUCAACCACAGGCAUGGGGUAUAUAUCCUUCGGUGUUGCGUUGUUUAGGUCGCGGUAAUCAACACAGACACGCAUCUUGCCAUUUUUCUUGCGAACGGGGACAACAUUGAACAGCCACUCGUUAUACUUUGCCACGCGAAUGAUGCCCGAUCGGUGCAUGCUUUCGAUCUCCUCCUUGACUACGAUCUGAGUCUCAGUUCGCAUGAAUCGGCCGUCCUGCCGUACUGGACGUCAGUCGGGAUAAGUUGAUAACCGAUGGCAGACCAAGUCCGGGGAAAAGCCGGGCUUGUCUUCGUAUUUGUCGGCGAAGCAAUCCCUGUAUUCGCGUAACAGGACCAGAAGGGCUUCCUUUUCGUCUUUUGCCAACUUAGCACUGAUAGAAAUAAGUAAGGGCUUUUCUGCAGUCCCUACGUCAACUUGUGAAAUGGGGUCGCGGACUUGAGGUGGUGUGUCGUCCAAGGCGGCGGGAGCUAAGUGAAUAACUUCCUCCUUGGUAUCGGAAUAAUCCACAACUUAAUCUACAUAUUCCAUAGUCGCGACCUUGUCGUAGGCUUCGCGUUCUGCCCAAUACGAAAGGAGUCUUUCGUACAAGGACUCGCCAGCCUCGCAUGCCUCCUCUGAGAAGGCACUAUUCAUCAGAACGGGGUGUGGGAUUCGCGAUGGUGUGAGGACGUUGCAAAUCGUCCUUUGCCUGGGUAAGUCCCCAUCGCGUUGGAUUGGAAGCCGUUAUUCCAUAUGGGCGGCCUUUGUUAUCGACGCCUUGAACAUCCAACGGACCCAAGUCUGUAGUAUAAUAUCAGGCAUCAUUGAAGUUGGCGGAUAUAGAGAAUGGCCGCGGGUCGGCUUUGAUGAUGACUGCUUCACGGUUCUCGGUGUCCCAAAUCAUGAGUUCUUGGUGCAUGGAGGAAGGCACGCAGAAACUUCUGUGGAUCCAAUCUCGGCCAAGAAUCAUGUUGUAGGAGGAAGUGCAUUUAGCGACGAAAAAGGUGUAAACCCGUGAUGCCGGCCCUACCUUGACCCGUAGAAAUAGCAAGCCUAGGGUUCUGGACACUUGCCCGGUGAAGUUCUUGACUGUCAAGGACGUGGUUUGGAUCAUCGAGCGCGGGAUGUCUAGGAGUCCCAUGGUACGGGUUGUGACAACAUUGACCGCUGCACCGGUAUCGACCAUGACUUUGUUUAUCAUCUUUCCUUCGACUUCGGCCGUGAUAUACAGUGGCCGCAUGUGAGUGACCAUGUCCAAAGUUGGUGUGGAGAAGGUUAGAGUUUGCUUAUGCUUGAUGCUGCUCGUAAUUUCCACCUGUGGGGCGUCGUCGGCCUGUACCGGAACUGGGCCCAUUUCGCUGCUGCAUGGCGGGGGUAUGCUACUGACAUCCUCGCUGCAGACGGGAAUAUCCGCCGCACUGCAAGUUGUGUUCGGUGGAAGGGCGUAUCUUUCCGAAAUGAAGAACACCAUCCCGACUUGAAAGGAGAAUUGUUCAGGGACUAGGACCAAGGGAGUGUCAAUGAUCCCGUGUUCCCCGCAGAGAACUGCGAAAGCAUCUGCUUCGCGGCUAAACCCUUCAUCAGCACCCCAUUCUGAGACCUCUACCAUAUUACAGGUGAAUGAUUCUGCCUGCUCCUCGUCUCGGUCUUCCUCUAGGUUAAGUCGAGGUUCUGAAUGUGCCUCGUCGUCUUCUGAAUUCUCGCGGAAACCCUGGGCCAUUUGUUGGGCGAGGUUAGGACUGGAGGGCGCCUGUGCGGCUAUUGGUGGCUCUUGAGCCUCGGGUUGCCGCGGACGCCAUACUGACUUGGGUGAAGGCUGGUGGUCCUUGGCGGGUUGUUUGUCUGUUGCCAAAGGAGCCUUAUCGCUGUCUUCCUUUUUCAACCGUUGUAGGGCGGAUACUCGGGGAACCAUCUGAGUCUCGGGCUCCAGGGUGGACCGUGUCCGAGGCUGGUGUGGUGGUGGUGGCUCCCUUCUGAUAUUGGCCUCCGGAUUUUGACGUUCCCGUUGCUGUAAGGGCUAAGACGGUUCGCGUUUGGACUCUGGGUCCGGGGUCGUGAACAGUUUACGCCUAGGACCAGUAGGCGGGUCCCUUCUCCGCUAGGGCUCCGGUGACGGCCUGCUCCUGGAAGGCUGUUGAUCCCUCCUUUGUUCAGGCUCUGGUGACGGUUUGGGCCUAGCAAGCUGUGGAUCCUUUCUUCUUUCAGGUUCUGGUGAUGACCUGCGCCUGAAAGGCUGUGGAUCCCUUCUUCUUUCAGGUUCUGGUGAUGGCCUGCGCCUGGAAGGCUGUUGAUCCUGCUUUGGUGGGACCGUGAGUCGGCAAAAGACGUUUGCUUUGGGUGCAGGCUCGUCGCUGAAUUGUUCGCAAAUCCUUGGGGGUGUGACAGGCGGCAUUUGAAGGAAUGCGCACAAACCCUCUGCUUCCCUCGACAUCCGUUCAGGCGUCUGUGCGAGCUGUGAGGGGCGUACAGCACCCUCUUCGACAGCCCGUAAGGCACGUAGGAUAUUACCGUAUCGCUUCUUAGACCUGCUGAUGGUGACUGCCUUGCCCCCCUGCUGUGUGUACCAGACUCCAUCUUUGAUUGCGGAUUUGGACGUCGGGGGAAUAUAGGGGUCGGUUAGGACGCCUUUACGAGGGCUCGAGGCCUCGUUGUUGUGACGCUCACCGCUGGAGUCUGACAUGUNNNNNNNNNNNNNNNNNNNNAAGACACCAAUGCUCCUGAGUGUGACUCCAGGGCCGCCCGGCGAGGGUAGACGGGGUGGCGUCUUUGACGAACUGGCCCCCAAUGUGAAUUGGGGAGUCUUCUGGGCCCCGACCCUUGGAUUUCCUCUAGGGCGUUCAUUAGGUGGAAUAUACCUUGAGCCUUCAGUUGCACUUGAACUAAUAGCAUGAUUCUUUGGCGCCUGCGACCGCAUCCAGUCUUCCACUUGCAGGACCCUUAAGCUCAAGUUAUCAUGUUGCUCCUUGUAGUCCUCAAGCUUUUCCAUGCUAUUCUUACUUCCAAAGAAAGAAGCGUCCUGCUAUUGUUGUAACUUGGUGUCGUUCUUUGACUAGGUCAACCCCCUCUUUACCUUUUAGGCUUAAACCAACAGUCAAGAUUUAAAACCUAGAUCCUAUGACCAGAUUAAAAGUUAUACUCUAAUUUCAGAAAAUUAAUUUAUUUUACCAAAUCUUUAAUAAAUCGAAGAAAAUAACUCGAAGCUCCAACAAAUAAUCCGAAAACGCCGGAGAACUUGUGUCAACACAAACUACGACAUCGUCACCUUAACAAAAGGAUUUGACAUUUCGAGAAAACUUGAGAAUAAACUAGUGUUAACUUACUAAGUUACCGAGCAUAGUUAAAUUUCUCAGUAACUCGUAGAAUUCCCAGUAAAUAGGUAAAAUUGGGUACGGGGCAUUACAGGUAUCCUGUAACAUCCCGGAAUUUUGAAUUUCUAUUUUUAAAAGGAAAAUUAUUUUCAAGUUCUUAUCAUUUCAAUUUAUAUUAUUCUUCAAAUUCUUUGUGGUUUUUAAAAAUUAUCCAAAGUUUGUCUUUUGAUCUCAUAGGAUUAAUCUAGACGUCGUUACGAGUUCGUAGGUUUUUACAGAAUAUCGUUUGGACAUUAGAGCUAUUUUUAAUGAUUUUUGGAAGUUAGUAUUAUCCAAAAAUUAAAUUAAAAAUAGAAAUUUGUGGUGGCUUGAUUUGGGCUGUUGGAUUGUUUUAAACCGUCUAAUCUGUGCCGUUGGAUUAGAGCAUAUACAGGUCGGAGUGGAUCAGUCCAGACGACAGCCCAGACCGACCCCGUCUCGAGCAGCGGUGGAGCUCGGUCGCUCCGUCCGUCAUCCGGCGGUCUCUCGGCUUCCAACCGGUGGCCACGGCUUCGGCUUGUCGUCCCCAACGUGACUGUGAUGUUGUUUCUCCAUGGGAAGCUUCGGUGAGAGAGAAAAGAAGGAGAGAAGGUGGAUGUUUUUCCGAUCGGCUUUCCGAUUCCGGCGACGGCGAGGAGAAAGAAUGCUAGCGGCAGCUUCCUCUCGUCCUCGUCCUCUUGGUCAUGUCCAUGCCCUUGAAUUUCAGAUAAGAAGUCUGGAGUGAGUGAUUCGAAGUGGAGAAGGAGAGGCUGGGUUCGCCGGCGAGUCUCCGAUUCCGGCAGCGUCGACGCCUCUCACCGGUGUGGAUAGCUUUGUUUCCUCAUCCUCGACGUCCCUGUAACUUCAGCUUGUCGAGACGAGGUCAGGUGAGGGAGAAUCGAAGAGAAGAAGUUUUGGGAUUUUCCGGCAAGCGUUCGAUGUUUUCCGGCCACCGGCGAAGGCAAGCGAGGUAUCAAUCUUCAUCUACUCGUCGAGCUUUACAUGUUUCUAUAAUUGAAAUUGAGUUUGGAUUGAGUUUAGAAGAAUUUGGAUUUGGGCAGUGUGACCACCGUGGGUGGCCACUGUGCACGGCGGCGGGAGAGGCGGUUAUUCUUAUUGAUUUCCAGCUUUAUUGUCUUGAAUCUGUUAGAGUGAUUUGAUAUGCUUGGAUUCGAUUUUAGUUGUGAAUUGAAGAAAUUGGUUGAGUGAAGUGGUGUUGGCAGUGGCGGCGGCAGCGGUGAUGAUUUUAGAUUUUCUGUUCAUAUCAGGUUACCGUGUUUGGUGUUGAUAGCAGUUGUGAUGGUAUCGUUGUGAGUUUUGAAGAUGAAGUUAAGAAUUUGUGAGGUUUAGAGAUUAUAAGGUUUCUGUUCAACUCCUUUUGCUGGUCUUGGAGAUGUUUUAGAUGUUGAUCAGUUUUAUUAAUCUUGACAGAAACUAUAGAGCAGAAAUCAGUAUUGGUUGUACUUGAAGUGCGGAAUUAGAGGAGUUUGGUGAUGAUGGAGACGUUGGGGUUGUGUACUCUGUUAGUACUUAGUUCGAAAGUUCAUCCACAUGUUUUGGUAUUUUGAGAGCUGUGCUUUUAAUAUAAUGAAUUUGCUCAAGGGAGUUUUAAGAGCAUGCAUGUUUGAUCGGAGAUAUAGUCUUGACAUUAAGAAUUGAUUAAGUGAUGCCUAAGGAUGGAUUGAGAAUUGGUGUCCUUAAUGUGAGGACUAAUAUAGUUCAAAGCUUUUGGGUGUCCUUAGUAAAUUUCAAGGACUUGAUCGCAUUGAUUUGAAGUGAUUCGUCGACAUUCUUGGAAUGAGGAUUUGAUACGAGGAUCGAGUAACUAUCGACAUUCCAGGAGCAGAAGGAUAAGGAUUUCAGUAAGUGUGUCGCAGUGUUACUAAUUUUAGCUAGCGUUGGAAGUAGCGCUUGGAUUCCAGGUAGGGUCUCUCUCGGGGAACCUUUCUUAAAUUGAUAAUUAGAUUAUAAUUGAAAUGAGUGUUUGUGUGGCAUUGAUUGGUUAAUUAUUGAUUGUUAUCGUAUUUGAUAAAGCAUGUGUGAUCGUUGAUUUAUAUGAAAUUGAUGUUAUUGCUUUUCAUUAAAAGCAUGAGUUAAAUAUUGUAAUGCAAGUAUUGUUAAUUGUUGCAUACAUUAUGCAUUGUGAGGAAAUGUGAGGAUAGUGAGAAUGGUGAUUAUGGAGAAGAAUGAGAUUGAUAGAAUAGAUAUAUUUUGUGUAGUUGAGUUUCCUCAUGGGUUGUCCAAGAUCCAGGGUAGCCCACACGUGCAUAAAUAUGGGGAAAGUAUGCCCCUUCGAUGGCGGACAUCGAUAAAACGAUCUUAUCGGGUUUCGGGUUUGGAGACCAUGAGUAUAACAAGACGACUAACAAAAGAGGUACAGGCGGUGAGAUAUUAUUGAUUGUUAAAUCAUAUAUUCGAGGCAUUUAAGUCACCCCCGGUUGGUAAAAUACACGGUAUGAGACAUGUAGGGUCACCUGUCUUUGAUGUAUGGACUGAUAGCCAGUAAUUGAGGAAGUCAUUCAUUCAUUAGCAUACAUGCAUCGAAUUGUCAUUAUUUAUUUUAUUUAAAGUAUUGUUUGUUUUUUUGUUAACUUGUUUGGGCGACGUAGUUAAGUAUAACCUAAAAAAGUUAGGCCCUACUGAGCUUAAGCUCACCCCUAUAGAUUUUUGUUCAGGUACUACGAGACUCGUCUUUUGAGAAGACUAACUGUGAAGUUUAGCUGACGUGUUCGAGAGUUUAGAAGAGUUACAGAAGAUUAGAAAUGAGAUAGAUCGCAAGGCCUGCCUGUUUUGUCUUUGUAAUUGUUUUUGCUAUUGUAAACGUUUUAUUUUCUUUUAUUUCAAGAAAAGUAUUUGAAAUUGUUUUAUUUUCUUUUACUUUUUUCGCUCACGCCUCGGGUUUGGCGUCAGGUGUUUGGAAACCACCGACACCGGGUCCGGGGUGUGACAUAUCUUAUUUGAUUUCAAUCAUGGAGCAAGUCUGAUCUGAGCAAAGUUGAGGGGUUUCAAGCUGUCAUGGUUUCUGAGUAAGGAGGUGUCGACACAAGCAAGGGUGACUCAGCUAGAUCUCGCAACCGGUAUCAAUGGUGUGAUCCGUUUUUGGCGUAGGGUUUUGGGGUGGUUUCCGUUUGGAGCCCGCCGACUUCACGUUGUCAUCGAAUCGAGGACCUAUGUAGGUGCGUGCUGCUGAGAGAGAGGGAGGAGUCUCAUGGUUAUGGGGUUUGAAGAUGAUGGGUGGCGAUGUGGCGGGGUUGCGACAGAGUUCUGGUUGUAGUUGCAAUUCGACAAUGGCGGCGGCACGACGGUUUUGAUGGUGGUGAAUGGUCUGGUGGCAACUACAAACUUGGGUAGAACCUUUUUGGCCUUGCUUCAUUGGUUUUGCUCUAGUCCUAAUAUGUCAUGGGCCACUACUGGAAAAAGUCAUUUAGGAGACGGAAUAGUUUCAUCUCCUAAGUAACAAAAUUCGUCUCCUAAGUACUUAGGCGACGAAAUAUCCGUCGCCUAAGUGAUGUGAGGCAGGUGUUAGGGCGACGAAAAAUUGAGUUCCGUCGACUAAGAAUUACUUAGGCAACAGAAUUUUUUCCGUCUCCUAAGUACUUAGGCGACAGAAUUUUUCCGUCUCCUAAGCACUUAGGCGACGAAUAUUGUUUAAUGACAAAAAAAUUAUUUUUCUCCUAGGUGACAGAAUUAUUAGAUUCCGUCGCUAAGUCUGAAAAAAAAAAAUUUUUAAAAAAAAAAUUGACAUCCUCUGCCCAAAUACCACAGCCGAUCCGACAAAUCCCAGCACAGAUCCGACAAAUCCCAACAUGAAAAUAUGGUCCGAUCAUGAAUCAGUCCUAGCUAGUCUCUCCCUCAAAUCAACCACCUAUUUCUUUCAAUCCAAACCAACCUCACCUAUUUCUCUCCCUCUACUCUGUAAGCUCCGAACCCGAAUGGACCGCCACGGCCUGCUUCUCUCUCGGUUGUCAGUCCUCGCUCGCCCCCAACCGGGCCAACCCGGGAGCUGCCGCCAACGAUGACAGCGUCAUCAACCCGUGUGUCCCCGUUUGGUCUCGCCGGAAGCCUCGCCGGAAAACAACCUCGACAAACCUAAAAAAUGGCAGAAAAGGGGAUUUUCACAUUAGGGCUCCAAUCCAAAGAUUAAGACAUGAAAUUGAAGAAGAAGAGAAGAGGAAAGAAACCUUACUCACCGAAGUUGCUAUCGCUGCCCAAGCUCGCUUGAAAUCGGCGAACUCCGCCGUGCUACCUCGGCUUCGAUCUCCUUCGGGAGUGGAUAUGUCGACCUGGUGAGUAUGAGGAGAUAGAGGAGGGAAAAGUGGAUGUUUUGGUGGUGAUCUUGUGGCGUGCGGUGGCCGGAACCGACGACGCUACGCCAGAGAUGACGGCGGCAGACGGAGAGAAAGAGAGUGAGGCAUGGAGAAGAGAAGAGGGAUGGUAUGAAGAGAGAGUGAGAGAGUUAAUUUUUGGGUGAGGGUGGAGUUUUUUUAUAUGAAGAGAGAGUGAGAGAGUUAAAUUUUUUUGGGUGAGGGUGGAGUUUUUUUUAAGAGAGUGAGGGUAGAGUUUAAGUUAAAAAGAAAAUAAAAUUUUUAAAAUUUUUGGUUUGAGUUUUCGUGAAAUGUUUUGGCGGAAACGUUGCCGCUAAAAAUUUUGGUACUUAGGCGACGAAAAAUUAUACUUUCGUCGUGUAAGUAAUUAAUUAUUAUUUUUUUAUUUUUAAAAAUAAUAAUUCUAUCGCCUAAGUAAAUUUUUCCGUCGUCUAAGUAAAUUUUUCCGUCGUUUAAGCUAUUCUUAGACCACGGAAUACAUUUCCGUCACCUAAGUAAUUUAUUUUUUAUUUUUAUUUUUUAAAAAAAUAAUUCUGUCGCCUAAGUAUAUAUUUCCGUCGUCUAGGAGAUUCUUAGACCACAGAAUAGAUUUUUGUCGCCUAAGUCUUUCUUAGGCUAUAAAACUGUUUUCCGUCGUCUAAGUCCCACUUAGGCUACGAAAUUAAUAUAAUUCCAUCGCAUAGGUUCUUUUUUCCAGUAGUGGGCCUAGAGUUUUUACUCUGGGCCCAAGAUGGUUAUCCCUUAGUUUUCUAAGCCCCUUUUGGGCCUCUUAAGGUUUUAAACUCGUUUUUGCUAGUUUAUUUCCAAUAAUUUUAUUUAUGUAGGUUACUAAGAAUCCUAGGUAGGUUUUGAUGCCUGGAGAUUAUGAUAUUUCUUUUACAUCUAGAUAAUGGACACUUCUUGUCGAACCGUAAUUGAGUGCCUUGGCGACAAAGUUUUCAUACAAAAUUAUCUCUAUGUAGGGUAAGAUUAUAGCUUGCUAGGCUCAUUGUCAAUGAGUGAAAAUGUACAAUGUGAUGGUAUGUGAAUCACUCCAAUCAUUUGGGGUCUGUAUCGAUGUCAUUCUAGCUGCAAAUAUUAAUGUAAUUGGUUACAGUGGUGUUCAAAUGGUCACCUAGUGACCAAGAAAUUCAUGGUCAAUCGUCGUUGGAUGUAAAUCCAAGGGUGGAAAGUAUUAUUUUAAAGUUAAGUUGUUUUGUUUUCCAUUCUUGGAUUUAUAUCUAACGGUGAUUGACCAUGAUUUCCUUGGUCACUAGGUCUAUGUGACCAUGUGAACAUUAUUGUAAUGGGUUAUAUGCCCGCCUUUGUUUCAAAAAAAAAUUAUUCUCAUUCACAAAAUGCGAACAUAUUAAUUGCGUUGUAUUAAUUAAGAAAACUAGAACAAUUUGAUUGUUUUAGAACAAGAUAAUUUCAUUACUUAUCAACAGUUAGAAGACACAUACAUCUAUUAUCGUCUUGCGCCAACUAAGCUUAAUUAUUGAGUCUACACAAUAUAAACUAGGUUAAUUUGUUGUACGUAGAAUGACAAUAAAUUUGAAUCAUGGUAUAUUCAUAUAUAGAAAGUGAAUAAGUAUGCCAAACGCAAAACCCUAACUCGGGUAGACAAGCACAAAAUCUCAUCCUUGUCCCGCGACGGCCUAAGGUUAGGCGUGUCUGUUGAUCGCGUCAACGCCGGAUGGCUUUGAUGUCGGAUAAACUAUAUGAUAGAAACUUAUUGCUCUAAGAGAUAAUUGACUAGAAGUUCUUAACAGCUUUUGAUCAUUGUGGCUUUUUUCAAUCGUCUCAAAGAUGAGGUAUAAUGAAAAUCGGCUCAAGAGGUACAUCUGAAUCCAUCUUCCUAAACGGUGGUGACGACACUCCGUCCUUGUUCUUUUCAGAGGCGGAGCUUCGGGUUAGAGGUGGUGUUGUUAGUCCCUAUGUUUGUGGCGACGAUGGAACUUUCAUGCGGUGGUGUGCUUGCGGCUGUAGGAUACGACGGUAAGAAGCGACGCUUCACGGUGGUGACUGGUAGUCGGUUUUAUUCCGCGUCUUGCCAGCAACAGUGAAGGAAGGCUGGGGGUAGGUCAACUGUUCUAGGCGUAGGUUUAGUUCUUUUUUGGAGUUUGGGAUGCUAUUUUUCUUUUCCUAGUUAUCUACUUACAAUAAUUUCCUUGCACUAAGAACCUACACGCUCGUGCCUCAUGCGCCUCUUGGCGUUUGAGUAUAUUUUCCAUGAUAGUCUAAGUAUCAAUCACUAGCGUCUAUGUAGCAGUACCGAAGGAGAAUAUUCGCUCUCUCUACGAAUUUAAUUUUACAAUGAGUAGGUCUGUUUCUAUGUAUCAUUAGUGGGUACUACAACUCAACUCCUUGAUUGCUUUAAAUGGUAGUGGGAGGAUAUGUAACGGUCUAUUGUGGCUUGUGAUGAAUAUAUUGGCACCUGAUUUGGGUAUUUGAAUAUAAAAAAAUAUGUAGAAAGUGAAUAAUUCUCUAAUGUGAGAUUUAAAUUUGAAAUUCUAAACUGUAUAAGUUGUGAUCUAGAUAAGUAUGGUUGUCUUAUCAUUCCUUGUGCUAUAAGAAAUGGUAGCUCCAAUGUUUCUAUCACUGAAGCUCAUGCUGGAGAGAUGUGUGAGAGAUCAGUUGGAUACUAUAGAGUUGGAGUUAAGACUUGACGGCAACAUAUCUGUCUAGUGUGUCAACAACAACUAGUGAUAUUGCUGUGAAGAGUGCGAUUAUGGCAUUGGAGGCUCUGGGAUUGAAACAAAGGUUAUGAUAUCAAAACGAGGGGAUAUGUGGUCAAAACCGGGUAGACGUCAGUUGAGUCCUUCAAGUGAGGUUGUUUGUGCAAGCGGUGAAGUUUAGGAGGGAAGAUACUUUGGCAGAAGGCGUCGUUGGAGCAUGAUUUGCCUCGGUUUAAUUCCUGUUGUUUCCAAAGGAGAUGUGUUGGGCUUAUAAUCGGGUAGUGAGGUUGGCUGCAUUAGGCCUAGCUUUUGGGCUCCAUUUCUUUUGAUUUCACUUCAGGAGGUGCUCUUGAGCCUAUUAGGAUUUUGGGAUUUAGAAGAAGAGGGAUGUUAACGAUGUGGAGGAUGAGAAACGUCUGAAACACAGCUUGGCUAUGGUGCUAAUGGAUCAGGUGUUGAAGACUUGUAAUGAGGGGUUGGUAUAGCUUCUGGUUAUCACAAUUGGGAAGGUGCCGAUCAAGAGGCUAGGAGGCGUUUUUGUAGUCAUCGGAAUAAACCAAAACUGGCUGAAUGACAUCCCUCUCGAGGUGGGUUAGGGGGAUUUUUUGUUUUGUUGCCUUUUUGCUUUAAAUCAGUGAUCUUCGCUCACUCCUUACCCUACUCCUGGUUCUUGAAAAAUCCUGUGUGAUCCUAACAACAAGGUUAGGGUUUGAGAGUUUUCUUUUCUACAGUCCAGAAAAAAAGAAAGCUUUAGGAAGAAAGGUGUUUUGAAAAAAGAAAGUGUUUUGGAAGCGCGCGCUUCCAACUAAGGGUCAAAGGAAAUUGGUACUUUUGAUUAAAACCUAAUAUGAUUCACUUACCUCCUCCCAGUCUCCCAUAGUCACACUUUGCCUCUAACUUCGACAUGGACCUCGACUUUCUCUUCUUCGAUGGUCCGACGUCAUCUCUUGCCUGACCUCCACGGCUCGACCUGCCUCGCCUAUGAAUCCGCCUCUCCAUCUCGGCCUCUCCACCAAGUCGACUCCAUUUAUAGGUUUGUGUUUCUCUCUUUAGUUCUUUUUCGAUUUCUGGAAGAAAAAAGUAAUUUAAUCGAACAAAUAGAUAGAUAAACGUUUCAUGUAUUGCAAAUUUGCAAUAGUAAGAAUGGGUGGGCUGUGGGCAUGCUGGAACUCUGGAAGGCUAGCUAAAUAGGCAAAAGAGCAACUAUUAGCAAAGUGAAGGUACGUUGACCUUGCCCAUGCUCUGGUCUCACAUUUUCCUUUUUGGUUUGAUGAUUUUGUGGGGUUAAUCAAAUUAUACAUUGCUAGCUUAAGCAAGAGUUCAUGAGAAUGAGAAUGAGGAUGAGGAUGAUGUCCUUGGUGAUUAGGUAGAUUAGUGUUUAUUUUUAUUUGAGUUAUUUGAUUGUAGAAUAAUAACUUGAAUCUUUGAAUAUGCUAUUUAUUUAUUUUUGUAUAAUUAAAUAUAUAUAUAUAUAUAAAUAUAUAUUAUUUUAUUCCGACGCUUUCAAAACAUUUCCGCUUCUACCAAAUUUUAGAAAAAAAAAUACACUUCCACUCUUCCAAACGUUUUGCUUCCAUGCCUCCGCUUCCGAUUCUAUGCAGCAUAGAUAUAUAUGUAGAAAUGUCCACACAAUUACUUAUUAAUUAUGUCUUUACGAUGUAAUCACUAAUCACUGUUCCUAUAUAAAAGAGACUAAUGAGAAUGAAUGAGACACUUUUACCUCCUUUCACAUUCUGUCUCUCUACUUCUUUUUCUCUAUAAUUUUUUAUCUCACUAACAUAAAUUUUAGUUUCUAACAACACUCAUUUUUUUUUUAGUUUUUUAUCUUCAGCCUUUUGUAAUAAAGCUGUUGUGAUGACUGUGGAGCCCACCUGAAUUGGUCGGGCGAAACGUUAGGCAAAAAUCAGAAAUUAAAUUACCUUGGCAAUCACUAUUCACAUGGGGCCUAUUAAUUAGUCCGGCAAUUCAUGGCUGGUGCAUUGAAAAAAGAGAGAAUCAACAAAUCAGUCAUCAAAUUAACCCAGUGGUGCAUUUGUUCUUAAGGAUAUUUGUUUGGUCAUUAGGGGAAAGAGUCACACUUUGCGUCCCUAUAUGUAAUUUUUCUAAAAAUUGAAGAGAGAAUUACAUAGUAGUACAUGACUAAAUUUAAAAACACAAAAAACCCACUUUUAAUAAUUUUUAAACAAUACAGGACGCAUGUCCAAGCCCAAGCCCAAGCCCAAGCCCAAGGCCAACAGUAUCAGACCUCACUCUAAAAAGUUACAUGAAAUGACUCAAAUGCCCUAUCACAUACUCACAUUCCAUUCUUUCUCCCAUACCUCUUUCUCUCUCAUACCAACAUUUAUCGACUAGAGCAGCCAUCUCGACGAUGAUGGACUACGCUCGACGACGACGACAAAAGACGGAUGACGCUCGACGGCGACGACUAAUGCCUGGCACCUCAAUGUUGACGAUGCUCGACGACGACACAAGAGAGAGAAGUGGAGGAAAUCUCUUUCCUAAUAUCCAUCACCAUCAUCGUCCGGCCAAUCUCCGAAGCCUGAAUUCAUCUAAUCAAGUAAAGCUUCGGCCUUCAAUUUCGAUUCUGCAAUUUCUAGGGAUUUGUUUCUCUUCGAUUUGUGGUUUUCAUCAUUCAAUCGCAAUUUUAGGUUCAGAUUGUUAUUUUGUUGAGAUUUGAGGGUUUCGAGUCGUCGAUCAGAGGGUUUCGAGUUGUCGAUCAGGGCUCGAUUUGCCAUAGUGAAGUGUUUUGGGAGUAGGGGCUCCGUUGAGGCUGACGGUGUCCACCUCAGAGUUGUUCGUGAAUUUGGUUGAUGGAGGUCUUUGUUGAAGUUGUGGUUAUCUUUGUUUUUGGUAGGUUUGUUUCAACAAUAGCAGCUUUGGCAGUAGCAGCAUCAUUGCAUUAGCUUUGGCAGUCACUACCAGAAGAAAGGCUUUAGCCGACGAAAAUAAAAAACCAGGCCGACGAAUUUUUUUUCGUCGGCUAAAGUCCACUUUAGCCGACGUAAUUUUUUUCGUCGGCUAAUUUAAAAUUUUCGUCGGCUAUGGUCAACUUUAGCCGACGAAAGUAAUAUUUCAUCGGCUGAAUAAUUUUUUCGUCGGCUAUNNNNNNNNNNNNNNNNNNNNNNNNNNNNNNNNNNNNNNNNNNNNNNNNNNNNNNNNNNNNNNNNNNNNNNNNNNNNNNNNNNNNNNNNNNNNNNNNNNNNNNNNNNNNNNNNNNNNNNNNNNNNNNNNNNNNNNNNNNNNNNNNNNNNNNNNNNNNNNNNNNNNNNNNNNNNNNNNNNNNNNNNNNNNNNNNNNNNNNNNNNNNNNNNNNNNNNNNNNNNNNNNNNNNNNNNNNNNNNNNNNNNNNNNNNNNNNNNNNNNNNNNNNNNNNNNNNNNNNNNNNNNNNNNNNNNNNNNNNNNNNNNNNNNNNNNNNNNNNNNNNNNNNNNNNNNNNNNNNNNNNNNNNNNNNNNNNNNNNNNNNNNNNNNNNNNNNNNNNNNNNNNNNNNNNNNNNNNNNNNNNNNNNNNNNNNNNNNNNNNNNNNNNNNNNNNNNNNNNNNNNNNNNNNNNNNNNNNNNNNNNNNNNNNNNNNNNNNNNNNNNNNNNNNNNNNNNNNNNNNNNNNNNNNNNNNNNNNNNNNNNNNNNNNNNNNNNNNNNNNNNNNNNNNNNNNNNNNNNNNNNNNNNNNNNNNNNNNNNNNNNNNNNNNNNNNNNNNNNNNNNNNNNNNNNNNNNNNNNNNNNNNNNNNNNNNNNNNNNNNNNNNNNNNNNNNNNNNNNNNNNNNNNNNNNNNNNNNNNNNNNNNNNNNNNNNNNNNNNNNNNNNNNNNNNNNNNNNNNNNNNNNNNNNNNNNNNNNNNNNNNNNNNNNNNNNNNNNNNNNNNNNNNNNNNNNNNNNNNNNNNNNNNNNNNNNNNNNNNNNNNNNNNNNNNNNNNNNNNNNNNNNNNNNNNNNNNNNNNNNNNNNNNNNNNNNNNNNNNNNNNNNNNNNNNNNNNNNNNNNNNNNNNNNNNNNNNNNNNNNNNNNNNNNNNNNNNNNNNNNNNNNNNNNNNNNNNNNNNNNNNNNNNNNNNNNNNNNNNNNNNNNNNNNNNNNNNNNNNNNNNNNNNNNNNNNNNNNNNNNNNNNNNNNNNNNNNNNNNNNNNNNNNNNNNNNNNNNNNNNNNNNNNNNNNNNNNNNNNNNNNNNNNNNNNNNNNNNNNNNNNNNNNNNNNNNNNNNNNNNNNNNNNNNNNNNNNNNNNNNNNNNNNNNNNNNNNNNNNNNNNNNNNNNNNNNNNNNNNNNNNNNNNNNNNNNNNNNNNNNNNNNNNNNNNNNNNNNNNNNNNNNNNNNNNNNNNNNNNNNNNNNNNNNNNNNNNNNNNNNNNNNNNNNNNNNNNNNNNNNNNNNNNNNNNNNNNNNNNNNNNNNNNNNNNNNNNNNNNNNNNNNNNNNNNNNNNNNNNNNNNNNNNNNNNNNNNNNNNNNNNNNNNNNNNNNNNNNNNNNNNNNNNNNNNNNNNNNNNNNNNNNNNNNNNNNNNNNNNNNNNNNNNNNNNNNNNNNNNNNNNNNNNNNNNNNNNNNNNNNNNNNNNNNNNNNNNAAUCGAAGAUUGAAGUUUUUAGGGUUUAAAAUUGGGGAUUUUUAUUAUUUUGAGUCGAUUGACCUGUUUAGGCUUAGAAUUGAGCUUCGAUUUCUUCUAGAAAGUUGUUCGAAAUGUUGAGACGAAGAUUCUGUCAAAUUUUGGUCGUGAUUGGAGGUGGCCGAAAGUUUCUGCAGUUUUUUUUUUCAAAACCCAGCAACUUUAGCCGACGAUAUUUAAACACUAUAUUCGUCGGCUAUAGUAUUUUUUAAUUUUUUUUAUAAGGUUUAGCCGACGAAUUAUGUCAUGUUUCGUCGGCUAUAGUUAUUUUUUUAAUUUUUUUAUAAGGUUUAGCCGACGAAAUAUAGUAUAUUUCGUCGGCUAUAGUUAUUUUUUUAAAUUUUUUUAUAAGGUUUAGCCGACGAAAUAUAGUAAAUUUCGUCGGCUAUAGUUAUUUUUUUAAUUAUUUAUUACACACUUUUAGCCGACGAAUAUAUUAAUUGUUUCGUCGGCUAAAGUCUGGGAAAAAAACCGACGACAUGUUUUUCGUCGGCUAACUGUGGGACUAUAGCCGACGAAAAAAAAAAUUUCGUCGGCUAAAGUCAUCACCGACGACCUUUUCCCGACGACACUAUAGCCGACGAGCCUUCGUCGGCUAAGAUCUUAGCCGACGAAUUAAGAUAACAGGCCGACGAAAAUUUUUCGUCGGCUAAAGUGCUUGUCCUGGUAGUGAGUAGCAACAUCCUUGCAUCAGCUUGGACAGUAGCAGCGUCCUAACAUUAGAGUCAGUAGUAGCAGCGGGCUAGCAUCACAAUCAGUAGCAGAAAAUGUAGCAAAAUACCGACAAUAGCACAAAAUUGCAAUAGCACAGGCAGUAGCACUUGGGUAUCGGUAGUAGCACAUUCUUAUUCAACAAUAACACAUAACACAUAACACAUUUCUAGUCGACAGUAGUAACAUAAUUUGUAGUGAAGGGUAUUCUGGUAAAGUUAUAGUGAAAAUGACAUAUGAACAUUAAUUUAUCCUGAUUUGUUAAUUUUUGUCUUUAAAUGUGUAAGAUAAUGUGUAAAUGAUGUAUUUGUAAACUGAAAUCUGAUCAAUAACUUUAAUGUAAUUUACUAAAUUGAAAAUUGUAUGUCUAACCUAUUUUAUUUUCCGUCGGCUAGGAGGAAAUUUGCUGCAGUAUACAGACCUAUAUCCAUUCUGUAAAAUAAAACUUUUUUACUGAAAGUACUACCCACACUCGACACUACUGAGUCGAAACAUGGCGGAGAAUGACCUCACCGCCUCGCCGGAGUCGACCACACCAACGGCCAGGAUCAUCUGCGAGAUCCUCUUCCGUCAAUCCCCUCACCAAAUCUGCCCCGCCCUCGCCUCCACCGGAAUCGUCCCUACUCUCGACCUCAUCCUCGAAGUCCUCACCCUCUCCUACGACUACCCCUUCUCCGCCAUCAAGUUCUUCCAAUGGGCCGGCCCAGCCCAAAACCACUCCCCCGCCGCCUGGAACAUCAUCGUAGACCUCCUCGGCCGCAACCGCCUCUUCGAUUCCAUGUGGGACGCCAUCCGCUCCAUGCGCGACCAAUCCACUCUCUCCCUCUCCACCUUUUCCUCCGCCUUCGCCAACUACGCCUCCGCCGCACGCUUCGACGACGCCGUCAUGACGUUCCAGGUCAUGGACAAGUACGGCGUCCCGCCACGCGUCGCCGCCGCGAACUCGCUCCUCAGGGCCAUGUGCACCCAAAACGGCGGCGUUUCGAGGGCGUUGGAGUUUCUGGAGACGAUGAAGGGGAGCGAGGAGUUCGGCCCUGAUGGGGACUCGUUCGGGAUUUUGCUGGAAGGUUUGGAGAAGGAAGGAAACUCGGCAAGGGCGAAGACGGUGUUUGGGGAGAUGGUGGUGAGAGUCGGGUGGAGCCCGGCGCACGUUCCGGCUUACGAUGCUUUCUUGACGGCGCUCGUGAGGGGCGAGGAAAUCGAGGAGGCUGUUAAGUUCUUGGGAGUGAUGAACAAGAAUGGCUGCUUGCCAGGUUUGAGAUUCUUGUCGAAUGCUGUUGAUAUUCUUGUUAAGAAAAAGAGCGGCAAGAAUGCUAUAUUGGUUUGGGAUAUUAUGGUUGGUAAUGGGUUGCUGCCUAAUUUGGCAAUGUAUAAUGCUAUGAUUGGGUUGAUGUGUGAUUGUAAUGAGGUGGAUCGUGCAUUUCAGCUACUUGAUGAGAUGGUGUUCAAUGGUGCUUUCCCUGAUUCUGUUACUUAUAAUGCUAUAUUCAAGUGCUUGAUUAAGAACAGCAGGGUUCGCGAGGCGGGGAAGUUCUUUGUCGAGAUGGUGAAGAAUGAGUGUCUGCCGACACAUUUUAAUUUUGCUGCGGCCAUCACCAUGUUUUUCGAUGGGGAUGACCCUGAAAUGGGGGUUGAGAUCUGGAACUUUAUGGUUGAGAACUGUGUGGAGCCGCUUGAUGUUGCUGCCAAUGCCUUGCUUUUGGGUCUUUGUAAGUUAGAUAGGUUGUCCGAGUUGAAGAGGUGUGCUGAUGAUAUGCUCGAUAGGAGGAUCAGCGUUUAUGAAUCGACUAUGGCGAGGUUGAAGAGUGUUUACUAUAAAGAUGGCAGAGGUGCUAAGGAUAAAUAUGAUGGCUUGGCAAGAAGGUGGAAGACGUCACUGGCUCGUUAGGGAUGGCAACUUCAGUUACUUAGUUUCAUCUGUAUAGAAGUUCUGCUGUUUUGGGUGUAGAAGACCUCACUGGCUCUCAUUCAGGUUUAGUUCUUUUGUUUGAGUGCCAGGAAUGUAAUUAACUAGUGUUCGGUUUAAUCAUAUCUUCUUGUCUCUUUUCUUGUUCCUCUAUUUUUGCCUUUGUUUGCGUUUUGCUCUUUAUCUUAUGUCUUACUGAAUUUGAUAUUGUUCUCCGUCCAUGAAGUGCACUUAAUUGUUGUGUUUCCAGAACACAUUAGGAGUGUAGCAUAUUUGGUGCUUGUGCUCGUAUCAACUUGUUGCCGGUGGUUGCUAGAUGAGGCUGUUAUAUAGGAUCUUUAACUGAGUACAUUGUCAGUAAUCAUACUUGUUUUCACAAAUUGGUGCAUCAAUCAGAGUGCUGGAGUCAUUGCUGGAUUUUUGUUCAAAAUGUAGAUCACACAAUCCUUGUGCAGAUUUGACACCUCAGGAAUUAAUAAUAGGAAGACUUUCAGGAAUACUAGCUUAGGGAGGAGAGGCGCGGGGAAAAUGCAUAGGCUAAUCUCCAAAAGACUGAGAGAGAGCAGUUGCAGGCCUUAUAUUAUUGAUUGUGAUUGUGUGCGUUAAAGAUUGGAGCCACGUUUUAAUCCCAUGACAAUAAGAAAUGUCAUUAGCAGCAGUGUCUUAUGUAUGCACCAGUUUCUUAUGUAUACUAUCUUAAAGUUUCACAUGAAAUUGCUUGUUGCUGUUUGGCUUUGGUGUAUGGAUCUAAAAUGGUAGUCUGGAGUGAUGCAAUAAAUAUGGAUAAAUAUGGUAAUAGUCCGAUUAUAAGAGUGAAGGUGCUUGUGAUAUUGAUUCUUGUUUAAAAUGGUACACUUGUGUUCUACAGUGUACAUCUGAUUGGUGAGAGUGGAUGUGCUUUGGAAUUUACAUCGAAAUAAUUUGAUGUUGGUUAUGGCAGGUAAAAGCACAAAGGCACAAACACAGCCUAUCACCCAUUAAACGAGAUUAAUUUUUGACUCAAAUCAAGGAGGUCCAGCGACGGUGGUUGUUUGGAUUUUGGAUUCAACCCCUUCCUCUCUCUUCGUCGUGUUCUUUCUCUCCAACAGACUGCUCAUCCUCUCUUUGCAAAACCCAGCCUGCCAGCUCCCUCUCUCUCUCUCUCNUCNCUCUCUCUCUCUCUCUCUCUCUCUCUCUCUCUCUCUCUCUCUCUCUCUCUCUCCUCCUCCUCCUCUUCCUCCGCUGCCGUCGCCGCCGCAAGGAGAUCCCACGUGUUUUUUCUCCACCCUAAUGUUCUCUCCCAUGAUGUUCAUAUCAUGAACUGAUGGAGAUAGUGUCUAGUUAUCUAGACAGUAUUAUGCCUUGAUAGGGCACUGUACUUAUGUUUCUUCACAGUUUGUUACGUUUUGUUUUCAAGUCAUGUGCUUCAUAGCGAAGUUGGUGUGCACGGUGGAAGUUUGUUUUCUUGUGUUUCAGUUUGUUUCUGCUUGCUCUAUUGGGUUUAAUCUCUUAAAUGACAGCAGGUAAGUAUAUAGUAAAUACUUGGUUUGGUUUUCUUCUACUGAUGCUUCUUGUCUUUUGUGAUUAGAUUCAUGGCGAUGGUUCGUGGUUUUGUUGAUCUAUCCCAGUAUUAGUGAAUGGUGAUCGGACAAUGCUGGUGUUGAUUUGUGUGUUGAUGUUGUUGCUCAAGUAGUGAAUAGAGGCAGUUUAGGAGGUGAAGCAAUGCUUGUGUUUUUCAAUUGGGUGAUUCAGAAACCGAAUGUGGCUAAAGAUGCUCAUAUGUAUCAUGUAAUCAUCAAAGCAUUGGAUAGGAGAAAGUUCUUCAAGUACAUAAUGCAAGUUUUGAGUGACAUGAGAAGCCAAGAUGUAUGUAUCAAUUUGGAGACUGUGUUGAUAGUGAUGGAUAGUUUUGUGAUGGCUGGACAUGUAUCGAAAGCAAUCCGAUUUUUUUGGGACUUGGAAGAGUUUGGGUUGGAUUGCGGUACUGAGUGUCUGAAUGUGCUUCUGCAGUGUCUGUGUCGGCGGUCUCAUGUAGUGGCUGCAAGCUUGUUUCUUAAUUCAGUGAAGGGGAAGGUGGAGUUUAAUGGUGCGACGUAUAACGUAGUUUUUGGUGGGUGGUCGAGAUAUGGUAGAGUUGGUGAGAUGGAGAGUACUUUGGAAGCAAUGGUAGCAGAUGGGUUUAGUCCUGAUUGUGCAACUUUCUGUCACAUUCUUGAGGGUUUAGGAAGGGCUGAUCAGAUUGAUGAUGCGGUUGAGAUUUUUGAGAGCAUGAAGAGGAAAGGUUGUGUGCCAGACACCAGACACCAAUGCAUACAAAGCAAUGAUACCUAAUUUUAUCUCUGUUGGGAAUAUUGAUGAAUGUGUAAAGUACUUCAAGAGUAUGUCGAGAAAUGGUUGUGAUCCAAAUGUUGAUACUUAUACCAAAGUGAUUGCUGGUUUUCUUAAAGCCCGAAAAUUGGCAGAUAUACUGGAGAUGUUUGAUGAGAUGUUAAGUCGAGGAUUUGUUCCUACUAUGGGGACUAUAACCUCUUUUAUGGAACCCUAAUGUAGCUAUGGUCCACCAUAUGCUGCUAUGAUGAUCUACCAGAAAGCAAGAAAGGUCGGAUGUAGAGUAUCAUUGGCUGCUUAUAAGCUAUUGCUUAUGCGCCUUUCUAGAUUUGGUAAAUGUGGAAUGUUGCUAAACAUUUGGGAUGAGAUGCAGGAAUGUGGUUAUGUUUCUGAUAUUGAAGUUUAUGAGCACAUAAUCAGUGGACUUUGCAACAUAGGGCAGCUUGAAAAUGCUGUAGUUGUCAUGGAAGAGUCUCUACGAAAAGGUUUUUGCCCAAGCAGGCUUACUUACAGCAAACUAAGUAACAAACUUCUUGCUUCAAAUAAGUUAGAGAGGGCUUACAAGUUAUAUUUGAAGAUUAAAGCUGCUCGUCAUGCUGACAAGUCACAGAGAAUUUGGCGUGCUAGGGGAUGGCAUUUCUGAACUGUCAUCUCAUUGUUGGCAAGCUAUAUUCUUCCUUUCCUUCCUGCAGCAAGUUAUGGACUUACCCUUUAGAAGAGUGGUUUUCAGUAAGUGUAUGUGUGAUACUAAGUUUUGAAUAUAAUGCCUGCUUGACACAUAAACGUUCUUAUUUUUAGUAAUCGCCUAUAUCAAGCACUGUGUUAGUCUUGUAUUGCACAUAAGCUAUAAUUUCUGCAUGCAGGUAUAUCUCUCUAGGUAUGCAAUUUUGUAUUAACUGGCUUUUUACUUUUGUAGGACAUUGUAUCAGAGACUGGCUUGACAAUGGAGCUGUCCUCUCACUCCUCUGAUCAGGUAAGAUCUUGUAUCUUAAAUCAUUGGUACUUUUUAUACCAGCAAGUGUCUUUGCAAGUUUCUCACAUGGAUAUACAAUUACAUUUUUUUUUUUUGGUAUGUGUUUGAAAUUUGGAAUCUUGUGUUUUAUCACGACUGCCUUUCCACAUUUCAUGUUUUGUCAUGAGCAAAUUAAUUAUUGCAAGCAGAUAACAUAAUGGGAGAGAAAUCAGUAUAUGUCAAAGUGGCCAAAGAAAUUUAUUAAACCAAUAGUAUGCCUGCUUGGACAGGUCAAUAUAGAAAUUGAAAAUCCCUUGUUGAUAAUGUCAAAGAUAGCCGCACCUCUGACUAUUUUUUUUCUCAGUUGGAUGAAGGGUAUUACUUACUAGGUGUUACCUAAGUUCUUAGCAUUAACGCAGGAAACACUGGGAAGAUUAUGAAUAUAGUAGCAGAGGAAAAAACUAUUCCUCCUACCGGUACGGUAAAAUAUUUACAAGAGUGACACGUUGGAGCUCCAAAGAAUUUUGAUUGCUGCGGAUAGAAAUUGAUUUCUGAAGUCAAGAAUGGCAAAACUAAACAUUCCAGGUGAUUUUGGAGUUAAGGAAUUGGCAUGAACGGAUGAAGAUGCUAACAUGGAAUGUAUUGAUCUAGAAUUCAGUCUUUAGAAAAUAUCAAGGUAAAUGUUGAGUCUCUGUUGAAUGAUUAAUAAAUGUGAUAUCCAGCUAUACUUGAAGUCUGAUUAUCGUGCCCUCAUAUUGGGCAUAUGUGAAAAUGAACUUUUGUAUUGACAGCAGCUUAAAUAACCGUUAAAGGUGAUAAUGAACAUAGUAUUUGCUUAACAACCUAUGAAGAAUUUUCCAAAUUGUAUGAUAUGUGGUCAUUUUGAUGAAGAUAUUACCUUUUCCUAUUUAAGUAGUAUUUUCUCUUUUUUAGGUUUCUGAUAUACAUGAAGUUAUAUGUGAAUGGCUAACGCAGACCUUUUUGAAACACAGGUAAACUCCAGCUACCAGGGUUGUAUUACCCCCUGUACACCGUUCAGAACUUGCCCUUUCCAUUGAAGUUUACCAAAAUGUGCCUAACUAGGUCAAGGUAUCUUAUCCUUUCUGUUUUCUUGCUGAAGCAAAUUACACAGCUUUUGGUUAAGAGUGUGCUUUGUCAGUUUUGUAAUUCUAACUAGUCACUAGUCAAAUAAUAUUUCUUAUUAUUUUUAUGGGCUCCUGUUUUAUUUGUGAGUACGUGUGUAAGUGCCACCCAAAUGCUACACAAUUGUAUAUUGUUUAAAAAAGAAAAGAAAAGAAAAUUACAGAAUUCAUAUGAUUCAAACAUUAACCAACUCCCAAAGAGAUAUCCAUGAUUAAAUCUGGCUGGCUUAAGUUAAGAUGCUUCCAUCCAUAAACCUAACUAAAAAGUGGAAUGUGUUUUAGCUGGAAAAUUAAAGAAGAAAAAAGCAGUUGUCGGCAACAUAGCUGACUCAAAAUAGCCCAGUUCCAAGCUGCUGAAAUGCACAAGACAAAGUUUUGCAAAUUGAAAUAUUAACUUGGUACUGGAUAUUGAUACUGUCACUGUACACACCUCUAUUGUUUUUUCAUGCCCAAUAAUUGUGUCCUAGCAAGCAAUAUUUGAAGUGAUAUCAGUAAUAAGGCGAUGAAUAUAACAAGGAUGAGAAUCAAUAAUACUAAUAUUUAAGACGUAUAGAACUCUAGCUAGAUGAUCAAAGAAAAUAGUACCAGCACACUAACCAUGGUUUAUUGCGUUAAAAACCUGUGGUAACUGCGCUAAACGAUGAUCAAUGUCUAGUGUUGCUUUUCUUUUUUUUUUCUUUUUUUUUUUUGGUUCUGUUAUAAUGUUGCUGCAUAACUAAUUGAUUUUGGUACUUUUGCUUUGGACCAGGGUGACUGCAGACCAUGUCGAGGUUCGUAGUUACGUAAUUAAGAGAUUGUGAGCUGUGACAGCGUUAGUUGGAUUCGUUUACCCCCAAAUUGUAUUGUUGGGAAGUUAGUCUCAGAAAAUAGGUUGGGAAGUUAGUUUUGGUUCAAUAUAUGAGCAGUGUAUGAAACUGUACGUAUUGAAGAAUGCAACUAUAUAUGUAUAACUGGAUAUUCUCUGUUCUAGCCAGUGUGGAGCUCCAUUGACUAAGCACGAUGCUCAUGCAAUCUAAUAAACUUGAAGUCGAUCUUCUACACUUUUCCAUAAGACCCCUUUUCUUUUUCUUUUUUUUCCAGUGCAGAGCCCUUUAUAUUUUUCCAGUGCAAAACGCACAUAAGCUUACUAGUCUUAAUCUGGUCAUUCUACUUACCUCUUGUGAUAUUCAAUCAUAUCUGUUUUGCAGGAGAGGGUUAGGGUAGACUUGCAUCAUUGCUUGUCAAGAACUCAGACACUAAAGUGGAACUAAUUGCUAUACCAGUAUCAGCUUAAUUACUUCCUAAAUCUAAACCUCCAAUAAAACAAGGAUACCAUGCAGAAAGAUUAUCGUAACGAGAGGUGGUAGUUUUGGGCAUGACUCAGGUUUUGCUCGACAAGUCAUAUGAAGAAACUUGAAGACUAAUUAAACAGAAUGGCGUCGUAUGCUCGACCAACAUAUUUCAUGUAACAGGAUGUCAGGAUAUAUUGGAAUGCAAAAAUUGUUGUGAUUAAACUACAUAUAUUGGAUUGUAACAAGGUACAGUAUAUUGAAAAUUCAAAUUACACUAGUACAGAAAAAGUUUCCAUGACGUUUGGAAAACGUCAUUAUAAGGGUUUCAUGACAUUUAUCAAACAUCAUCUACUUUGCCGUCUUAACCGUAAUGAUGGUUUCUCCACUCUUUUAAUGACGUUUGUAAAACGUCGUGAAAUAUAUUUAAUGACGUUUGAUAAACGUCAUGGAAUCUAUUUCAAUGACGGUUCCUAAAUGUCAUGAAACAUUCUUCUAUGACGUUUUUAAAAUGUCAUAGAAAAUCAUUCAUAACGUUUUUCAACCAUCGUUGAACAUCUUUCAUGACAAUUUCCAAACGUCAUUAAUAGUUUUCCAUAUUUAAAAAAAAUAAUAUUUGAUUUCUAAUUAAAUUCAGAAAUCAAAUAUCUCUUUGUUUUCACAUCACAAUGGAGACAAUAUACUACUGGUUUCAUUAAGAUAUCUACCCUUAGUUCUACACAUCAAAGUGAGUAUCUAAGUUACAUUACAAAACGAAAAUAACAAUGCAGCAAAAAUUUAAUAUGCACUUAAUACAAAACAAGUACAAAAAACACAAAAGAAACCAGCUUAAAGUGCUACUGCAGCUGCUGCUGCUGCUUGCCUUGUUUUCUUGCAUAUAAGGGGUAUUCUAAAAUCAAUAAUGUUCUCAAAGCUGCAACAGAAAGUAAUAGACAUGAGCAAUACUAGUAUGUGGAUCUUCAUGUAAAAGGGUGAAAUGAUAAAAUAUCUACACUUAAAUUCAAAACUCAAACAAUAGCCAGUAGUAAAUAUUAGCCAAGGAAUAAGCCACAUUGCAUGUUUAAAAUCUAAAAUUUAUUUCUCUUAAUAAUCUCUAUUUUCUCAAUCCUCCCUUUAAGCAACGGUUUUAGACAGUUGCAACAUAAAAACAACUAACAGAAGAUAAAGGCUAAUAACUCAUAGGGUAUAAGGUCUCCAUAAGAAAACCAAAAAGGAACCGCCCAUAUAAUGCUUAUUACAUCCCAUCUAGACAUAUAUAGGUAGGUAACCAUCAAAUAGAACAAAACCAAAUUCCACACAUACAAACCAAGGGGAAACAUAAGAAGCUAAUAUAUAUAAGUACCUCAACCAUCUUUAGAAAAACAGGUGAAUUUAGCUUUUGCAAGGUUGAGAAGGAGCAUAUUCCUGUAUCUCAAAAAUAUAAAGUUAGUUAUCAAUCAAAUUUUAAUCCUUUUAUAUUUUUUAUUAGUGAAAUUGAAUAACCAUCAAUGCAUGAAAACAUGUAUUAUGAAAUUAGUGAACAAAUAUAAAAACAUUAUCAUCCAAAAAUACAAAAAAAGAUAGGUACAAAAGAUAGUAAAGAACAUAAUUUCAUCUAUGUGCCAACACAAAUACUCAUGACCUAGCAUCUCCAUCUAUCUUACGUUUACCACUACAAGAAGUUGGAAUCAUCAACUGGUAAAGCAAACCCUUUUUAUGGAGCCACAAAUUGGAUAACAUGCCCAAUACACAUAUGUUACCAAUUCAUAAUGACUCAUGAGCAACUAAGAAACAAAUACACCGAAUAAAGAAUCAUGAACAAAAUGCAAUACAUUCCUGGAUGUGCAGUAAUAAAAAAACAAGAUAAAGAUCAAAUCUUUUUUGGGCAAAAAAGCUAAUGAACAAUAAAACUUACCCUUCCAUAUGCAUUAAUGUCAAGGCCAUUCUUGAGAAGAUCAACAACAUCAUUCUUCAAAUACUUGAGCACAAAGUUCCUCUUCUUCUUAAUCCCCUCAAGCCUCACCUUCAAGGUCUUUAUAUCAGUUUUGCUGCAUCAAAAAGACCCAAAAUAAGAACCCAAGAAAAAAAAAAACUUCAAAGAAACAAGACCGCAAAUUCCAAACACACUCCCAUAAUCAAGGACAAGAAAUUAUACCUCUGAUCAUAAUGCAUGAAUCAAUUAUGAGCCAAGUCUGCACCUCUUCUAGCAAUUGACGAGUGUGGCACAAGGACCAGAUGGCUUCCCUUCCUUAAACAGAAUCACCAAAUCCUUAGUUGUCCAUCCAAUUACUUAACUUUUCUGUUUGUAAACAAAUCGAAGAUCAAAUCACAGUAGAAGGCAACAUGCCUACUGAUCUCUAGAAACUAAUUUCACAACCCAACACCUACAGUUUUCAAACUAACCUUAUGAUCAGAUCAUGACCGAGUUACAGCUGCUUCCUUUUGAACAACACCGCAGCUGGAUAGAUUCUCCCUUUGCUCUCCUAAUCCAGUACUUCAUCGAUUCUUAUGGCCAAUAGAGGCUUCACCAAAACUACUAAACUCAAAACAAUGAAAUGAAGACUUACAUAGCAUUGCGUUUGAGUAAUUGAUCAAAUUAAGUAGAACCAUACCAGCAUACGUACGUUUGAAUGGAAUUCUCUAUCCAAAGUGCUUGCAGCAACAGUGAGGAUCAAGGGAGCAACAUUGCAUGCAGUUUCCCUAUGCAGCACUAGGGAAACCAAAGUUUCUGCUGAUGCAGAAACCAAUCAAAUCUUUCAUGCCCCUCUUGAAUUCCUAACACUCGAACAUAAACACAAAAAGAUGAUUCUCAAAUUUUGAACCAAACUAAUUGACAAACCAUAAAGGCAUAAACCGAUCAAAUUUAUAAUUCAUAUACCAUUGAAUUGACCAAAAACAUAUCAUAUAUAGUUAUAUACACUACUAGAAAUUUUGACCGAUACUCCAAAGUAAUAGUCAAUAAGGAUAUUAUCAAAGUAAGAAAAUUGAUGCAGUAAAAAAAGCAUAAACCUGGAAACCUCACCCUUAUUUAAUAUCCGAGCUUUUUAAAGCUCAAAUCGGAAACAAGCCUAGUUCUUCUUUGUGUUUUCACUUCAAUUUCCAAUCUUAAAGUAAAUACCCAAAAGAACUAAGUGGUACCCUUCCCAUGUAAGUAUCUCGAUCGGGAACAAACUAUAGAACAAUGAAAGAAAGAAAAAAAAAAGAAGGGAAGGCAAACGGUGGAAGAGAUAAGACUUUGAGUUAGGUGGCUUCUAGGUUUCCAAAGUACGUGAAGCUGGCAGCUAUAGAUGCUAAAUCAACCAAAAUAUGCUUAAUUAAAAAUUUAACAAGCCUAAUCUAAUCUUCAAAAUGAUUCACCCAAAUCUUAUCUUCAAUUCUCCAACCCUAGACCAGCGAAAAGGAUUUGGGAGAUUGAAAAAUACCUGCACUGAAGAAGUUGAGGCGUAGGUGAGACCGGAGUCGAACCAAGGUUCGGCCUUCUCAGCCUCACUCACCUCCUCCAUGAAAUUGAAGAAUCGACGAAGGAGAAACUGAGGUCGGCGGCACUGUGAGGUGGUCGAUGCAUGGCGCUGGUGGUGCACUCCUCCGGUGACAUUGAGUUCAGAGCAGAGGUGGUAGGAUUUGCAGUAUUUGGGCGAGAGUUCAAGAGGGUGAGGACAAGAAGAGAAAUAGUGUGCGGCUGCAGGGAGAGAAAAAGUGAAAAUUGAGUGAAGGGCUAGGUCUUUUUUCAUUCAUAUACCAUGAUUUUAUUAGACUUUACGGGCUAGGUCAAAAAUUUUAUGACGUUUUUAAAAUAUCAUGGCACAUUCCAAUCAUGACGUUUGAUAAACGUCGUUGAAAUAUUAUGUAUGACGUUUUUCAUUAAUUCAUGAUAUUUAUCAAAGGUCAUGGAAAAAUUAUUAAUGACAUUUAAAAGUAGUCAUAAAAAUUAUGACAGUUGAAAAACGUCAUCAAAUAGCAAGUCAUACAAUGACGUUUGUUAAACGUCAUAAAUUUCAGGACAAUUUUAGAUUCAUGACAUUUGCUUCUGAAAACGUCAUAGAAAAAAUAUACAAUGACGUUUUCGGACAAACGUCAUAAAUUUACUGUCAUUGUAACUUUUUUUGUAGUAGUGUUACUUUAUGAAUUCACUAAACUAUAUGAAGAAAUUUAUAAGCUGAGUAAGCUUUUAGAACAGUAGCAACACCCUUCCGUAACAAAAUAGUUGGUUAAUAUCAAUCACAAUUUUCUACAAAGAUUCUCUCUGUUUAAUCAUGGUAUCGAUCAUCAACUAAAUGCCUCACUGCUUCUUCAUGCUCUUCCUUAAAAGCAUUGCUCUGAAACUCUGCAAAUUCUUCGUUGAUUCCUCUUCAAUAUUCACAUCCUCUUUUUCUUCAUAUUCAAAUUACCAGUUCAGUGGAGGAAACAACUAACUAGAUAAUGGAAAAUGGGCUUCGAUCUAUUUCACGGAAACUGUGUGAACUCGUUGAUUUCUCAUUCAUAUCAAUUCAACAUACAUAAAUACAUGAGUUCACCAUGUAGGAAGGUAAACCUUAUCUAGCUAAACUACUUCAGAUUUAGAGAAAAUUAGAUAAAAACCCAAAAUACUAGACCUCUUUUAAGAUAAACUCAUACAUAUUUUUCUUUUAUUUUACACCCACUCCACAUAAGCAAACAUACCAUAUAGAGCAAAUGUCUAUAAUUAAUAGUUUUCUUCAUUUUUCGGUUUCUCUAAUUUGCUCUUCAGACAGUAGAAAACUAAAUUUAAUAUAUUUCUCAAUUUUAGCAUCAAUUUGAAACUCAAAUACUAGCUAAAAUUUAGUUGGAUUUAACUUUGUCAUAAUCAAUUACAUUCUUUAAUUUCUUACCUUGUUAUUACUAACUUGAGUGUGUAUAUAUAUAUAUAUGCUAUAUAAAGAAGUAUGUCAUUUGUAAUAGGAUGAUACUUUUUAUUCCUAAGCUCACAUUUGGUGUCUCUCUACAUAGUCGAAAAAUGUAUAAUUGUAAGGUACACGUUCUUAUUCUUUUAUUAAUUUUCUUCUUUUUAGGUAUAUUAUUAUAUCAUUUCUCAUCCUAAUCGAGAGAACAUUUUACUUUUUAUUACUUACGCUUCUAAUGUACCUAUUAAUUAGGGCAUGAUAUGAUAAUAUACCUUAAAAGAAGAAACCCAAAAUUGGGUUUAGGGUAUAGGGUUAAGGUAUAGGGUUUAGGGUAUAGGUUCAGGGUAUAGGGUUUAGGGUAUAGGGUUUAGGGUUUAGAUCAGAUAUCUUAUUUAUAUUAUAUUUUACCUUAUGUAUAGAUUAGAGAAUGAAUUCCUUUAAUCAAGAUUUUUUUCAUAAAAAUAAAGAAAACUACAUAAUUCUUGCAAAUUGAUUGAAAAAUGUUAGUGUUAGAAGAAAAACUCAUAAUCAAGGUAUUUAAGACAACAUCAAUUAAGUUUAUUUAUUAUAUUAAUAUGUUAUAGUUGAAUGGUGGCAAUUGUGUAAAAUUUUAAAAAAAUAGGACAUAAUAUUUAUCAUAAUUGAUAUAUUUUAGAUGUCUAUCAAAUAGAAAUAUUAGGUGAGUUUUAUUUAAAACUACUUUUCAAAAUUGGGUGUAUAUGAAAAUUCCCCUCAGAUUUAUCAGUACAACUCAUCUUACAUAAAUAAUUAAAUAUGGUUAACAAUAAACUAGAGUGACAAUGUCAAGCGCUUUGCUUAUCAAUGUCAGCUAGUAAGAACACAGAUGCAUUUCACCGCAAAGGGAGUUGUUUGCCUCAGGACUAAAAUCGAUUGACCCCAACAAAUUUGAAAGAUCGUCAUCAACUGUGUUUUGUUGCUCAUCAGUUGCGACCUCCACCAAAGAUUCAGGCAUGCACACACCAUCCUCAUAGCCCAUCAGUCCUCCACAAACAUCAUUGCUUCCAGAUGUAUCAAUGCAACCAUUUUCUGAGGAUAAAUCGGGCAUAGCAGUGCAACAAUCAUAGGCCGCAGACAUGGAUGAUCUGGGAGCAUCAAGAAGGGCGUUGUUGUUUACCCCGUUUUGUUCAGCCACAUCUAUACCACUAUUCAUACCAUGAAAAAGUAGUUCCGCCAUUUCGUCGGUACUCAAUCUGUCUAGGAGUUCCCCAAAACGAAAAUCUUUCUCCGGCAGCGGAUUAAAGAUUCCAUGAUUGGCCGCUAAUGGUUGCUGUCCAACAUUCUCCUCACCUCGAAAGCUAUUUUCUUCAGCUUCUAAUGAUGGAACAUUGUCUUCUUCAUUGCAUUCCAAUGUCUCUUCUAGUUCAGCUGCGAAUGCAUCAUCAUCUUGUGAUGGCAUUGUUGGUGGUGCGCUAUCAAUGGAUGGUGCAGUUCGUUGUUUCUUGGCUUGUGUUUCAAGAAACUCUUCUUGCUCCCCACUCAAGAUUUCCGUAUCAUCACAUGCAUCAUCAUUUUCAAGAACCUCUUCCUCUUCACGUUGCUUUCUCUUCUUCGCCAUCUUGGUUUUGGGUUCACCAUUCUUUCGCAGUAGACAAAGAACGUAGUCUUUCAGCUUUUGUUUCUUGUUUCUAAGUGACCGAUCACGAAAGAACUCAUACAAGAUCCAACAACCGUUCUGCACCGAGUCUUCGUUUUUGUAAGUCAAUCUUUUCUUCAAGCCAACAACACGACCAUUCUCAACAGAUACUACUGGCUUGGAGUCGUCGCUCUUCCAGUUUCCACUUCCAACAUUCCGGCGUAUGCUGUAAUGGUACCAAACCUGAUGGCUACGAAUGGAAAGGAAUUGAAAGACAAUGAUAGCAAAAGAGUUUUUUCAUAGAUGGCUGCUGCGUUUACACUGUUUGGUAUAAAUACCCUCAAGCCCCCGCUAGGAUGCUGACACGCGUCAAACAUCUAACUAAGGAUACAAUGCAAAAACCCUAGCAAUAAAUUACUUAUAAUAACUAGUAAGAAAGACUCGUGCAAGACAUGUGCACUGCAAAAAGAGUAUACUUCUCCUAAUUACUCUAAGAUUCCAGCUGAUCUCAUUACAUUGCUGCCCUCUUCACCAGAAACUUGGCCACAAGUUUCGUAUCAGGUGUUAAGCAUCAGAAUCAAAGUCAGGGAAACGACGCUGAAUGUCCUGAGCAUAUUCCCAAGUAGCUUCUUCAGGUGUAGAUUCCUUCCAUUAGACAAGCCAUUGUGCUGCAGCUUCUCCCCUGCGUUUAACCAGCCUAGUUUGUAAAACCUUUGCAGGAGUCCAUUUAGGCCUGGAAGUGUCUGUGACAGCAGGCAGUUAGGGCUCAACGCUCACACCUUCACCCACCUUCUUUUUCAAUAGCGAAACAUGGAACACAUAUGAAUCCGAGCAGAAAUUGGGAGCUUAAGCUUGUAAGUGACUUCACCAAUCUUUUCCAAAACUUCAAAUGGACCAUAAUACUUAGCUGACAGCUUGUGGAAAGGAUGUUGAUGCAUAGUCUGCUGCCGGUAUGGUUGUAACUUGAGAUAGACCAUAUUACCUACAACAAAAGCUCUUUCAGUAUGCUUGUUGUCAUAGAAUUGCUUCUGCCUGUUCUGAGCCUGCAUCAGAUUCCUCUUGAUCAAAGUGAGAAGCUCAUCCCUGGUCUUGAGCUGAUUAUCCACACUGGCCACUGCUGUGGAACCCAUAGUGUAAGGCCGAAUUGGAGGUGGGGGGUAGCCAUAAAGUGCCUCAAAUGGUGACAUUUUGAGAGAUGCAUGAUAAGAGGAGUUAUACCACCAUUCUGCCCAUGGUAAUGCUUGCACCCACGUUUGAGGCUUAUCUCCAACAACACAUCUCAGGAAUUGCUCCAUAGAUUUGUUCAAAUUUUUGGUUUGGCCAUCACUUUGGGGGUGGUAUGCCGAAGACCUGCUGAGUUUGGUUCCCUGCAGUUGAAAAAAUGCCUCCCAAAAUAGGCUCAUAAAAUUGGGUCCCUAUCUGAGGUAAUAUUUAGUGGUAGACCAUGGAGGCGAAAAUCUCUUUGAUGAACACUUGUGCCAAAGAAGCUGCAGUAUAAGGGUGAGAAAGGGGAAAAAAAUGAGCAUAUUUGGUGAACUUGUCUAUCACCACCCAAAUGGUUGUCUUACCCUCAGAUUUUGGAAGAGCAUCGAUAAAGUCCAUUGCAAUGUCCUCCCAAGCCUUGUCAGGUAUUGCAAGAGGUUGGAGAAGCCCUGGAGGUUUGACAUUCUCACUGUGAUGUUGUUGGCAUAUUUCACACUCGGCCACAUACUUUUUGAUCUCACUGUGCAUUUUAGGCCAAGCAAAGCUUCUCUGAAUCCUCUUAGAAGUCCUUGAUCUGCCUGCAUGGCCACCCACCAACCCAUCAUGAAAUUCAGACAUCACCUUGAACCUCCAAUUAUCAGUUUGUGGAACAAAGAUCUUGUUCCUGUAAAAAAUUUGAGAAUUCACCAGAGAGAAAUGUUUGCAGUGUGUAGGGUCCUGCUGAAGUUUUUGCAAUAUUUCCUUCACCUCUUUGUCUUUGGAGUAGGACUAAAUCAUUUCCUGCAUGAAACUGUGGACCGGCCUUGACAUUCCCAUGAGCUGAAGUGUGCUGACAUUCCUAGAGAGAGCAUCAGAUGCAGCAUUAUUCUUUCUUGCCUUGUAUUGGAUGGAGUAAUCAUAUCCAAGUAGUUUGAGUAACCACUUCUGUUGGGCUGGUGUAGUGAUCCUCUGGUUCAGGAAGUACUCAAUAGUUCUAUGGUCAAUUAAUGCAGAUUUUAAAGUGAUGCCCUAGCAAAUAAGGUCUCCAAUGUUGUACAGCUGUUACCACUGCCAGCAUUUCUUUGUCAUAUACAGACAAAGCUAAGUGCCUCUGAGCCAAAGCUUUGCUCAUGUAUGCUACUGGAUGGCCUUCUUGAGACAAAACAGCCCCAAUCCCUCUAUCCGAGGCAUCACAUUCGAUGACAAAUUCUUUCGAAAAAUCUGGAAUGGCAAGAACAGGAGUGGAAACCAAUGCUUGUUUCAAUUCCUCGAAUGCAGUUGUGGCUUGCUCCCCCCACCUGAAGUUGUCUUUUUUCAAUAAGUCCGUGAGAGGUUUAGCAAUCAUUCCAAAUCCCUUCACAUCCUGUAGUAGCCCGCCAGCCCCAGGAAACCUCUGAGCUGUUUUAUUGUCCGAGGUUAUGGCCAUUUCUUGACGCAUUCUAUCUUAGCGGGAUCAACAGAAACUCCCUUUUCACUGAUGAUAUGACCUAGGUAUUCCACCUGAGGAACCCCCAAACUGCAUUUGCUCCUGUUGACCUUUAAAGAGUUUUGUUUCAAUUUCUCAAAAACCAUCUCCAAAUGUUGCAAGUGCUCUUCAAGAGAGGGACUAAAGAUCAGGAUGUCAUCAAAGAAAACCAAAGUGCAUUUCCUAAGGCAAGGUCGUAAUAUCUCAUUCAUGACUGCUUGAAAAGUAGCUGGAGCAUUGGUCAAUCCAAACGGCAUUACUAGGAAUUCAUAGUGGCUAGAAUGUGUACGAAAAGCAGUUUUGGCAAUGUCUUCCUCAUUCAUUCGGAUUUGGUGAUAACCCGAUUUAAGGUCUAGCUUGGUGAAGAUUGUUGCUCCAUGAAGCUCAUCCAAAAGCUCAUCUACUACAGGGAUGGGGUACUUGUCUUUGAUGGUAGCAGUGUUUACAGCUCUAUAAUCGAUACACAGCCUCCAAGAGCCAUCUUUCUUCUUGACAAGGAGAACUAGUGAGGAAAAAGGGCUAGUGCUAGGUCUAAUAACCCCAUUUUGCAGUAGAUCGCUGAUAAUCUUCUCAAUCUCACUCUUUUGAGAAUAAGGAUACCUAUAAGGUCUCACACUAAUUGGAGGAGUGCCUGGAGCUUGGAUGAUCUUAUGGUCUUGAGGGCGCGCUGGGGGCAAUUGAGUGGGAGGUUCAAAAAACUCACUAUACCUUUGAGUAAGAUUUUGAAUUGCAGGAUGUACUGUUGCUUCCUCUCUAAAGGGAAGAAGAGUGGAAUUUAAUUGAACCAGUACGGCCUUUCUCUCCUUCCUUAAGAGCCUGGACAUAGAUUUGCAUGUAACCACAGUCGACUUAGUCUUUGUCUCACCCUGUAGGAGGUGUGUCUGACCUGCACUCACAAACCUCAUGUACAUUUUCUCAAAAUUCCAAGUAAUAUCACCGAGAGUUUUCAGCCAAACUACCCCCAAAAUUAGCUCACACCCUAAAAUAGGCAAUACAUAAUAAUUGGUAGUAAAGGUAAAAGACUGUAAUUGCAAUUCAACAGUUACCAUUUGACUUGUGUGCAUGAUGUCACCACUAGCCAAUCGAACUCUCAAAGGUUUUAUGGGCUGCAUCACAGUCUUUUUAUUAUGCAGUGCUGAAGGAUGUAUGAAAUUAUGUGAGGCUCCCGAAUCAAUAAGCACAUGCACCCUUCUUUGAAGACAUUGGCCCUUAAGUUGCAUGGUUGAGGCAUUUCUCCCAUCACUCAUAGCCUGUAACACCACUUCUUGAUUAUCUAUCUCCUCGAUUUGAGGUGGCAUUAGAGGGGGGUUGGGAUCCCCUCCAACUUCAAGCAUCUGUAAGUCCAGUUCAUCUUCCAGCACUUCAAUAACCAUGACUGCUUUACCCCUUCUACAGUUAUGACCAAGCUGAAAGCGCUCGUCACAAAAAAAAACACUGGUUGCGAGCUAGUCUUUCUUGGUACUCUGCUUGAGUUAAGCGUUUGUUGCCCCCUUCUUGGCGCGCCACUCCCUGUUGUGGUUCAGCUUGUAAUCUAGGCUGAUUGAACUGAGGUUGAACUCUUUGUGGUGCUGCUGCUGCUUGGAUGUUUCUUGCGGGUGCCAUGCUAACUCUAGGGUUGUAAGUAAGCCGACGAAGACUUAACUCCUUCUCUUCAAAAAUCUUUGCCAAUUCACAAGCUUCAAAUAAGGUUUUUGACUUCUGUGCACGAACCUCAGCUCUAAUUCCUUCUUUCAAACCCCCAAUAAAACUUGAAAGUAACACUUGUUGAGGGAUCCCAGGAGCUCUUCUGGCUAACUUAGUGAACUGGUCUUUAAACUGCUCCACAGAUGCAGUUUGGUUGAGUCUUGUCAGUGCAGCCUGAUAAUCCAUCAUGUUGUACCCACUGAAUUCUCUCAUUAACAGAUCUGCCAACCCUUGCCACGAAUUUGGAAACUCAUACUUAAAAAUGAACCAUCUGUCGGCUGCCCUGUCAGUCAAGUGUAAUGUAGCUAUAGCCCACUUUUUGUCAUCUGAAAUCUGAUACAGUGCAAAAUAUUGCUCCACCCUAUUCAACCAUUCCAUAGUGUCGCCCCCUCCAAACGUAGCAAAUUCUAACUUCAUCUGUCUCAUUGUGGGAAGAUUUGGGUCCAGACUGGUGGUGUUUAUGGUAAGUGUUUGGUUUAGAACAAAUGUGUGUUGUGGAAAAUGGGGUGGAUAAGCAUAAGCUGUGUGCUGUGGGUUAGCACCAUGCACAAAGUGAGGGCUGGCAGUUGUAGUGGUAGCAUAAGUGGGGUUUGAAAAUGUGAGGGCUAGAUUUGAGAAGUGCUGCUGGAAAAUAUCAUUAUCAUUAGAUGAAACAAAAAAUUGUGGCUGGCUUUGAGACCGUCCAGGACCCAACAUAUAGUUAAAUGGAUGUUGACCAAAACCAGUAUGUUGAAAAUACUGAUUUUGAGCACCUUGAUGUUGGUUCACUACAUUAUGCCCAUGUGUAGCUGUGCUAGAUUGUCCUUUUUCAUUUAUACUCGCAGUAUUAAGCAAAGCAGAUCCACUAACAGUAGUAUUCACAGGCUGAGACACACCAAAAGGGUGAGACACCGUCUCGCUAACAUUUCCAUUCAAAUUUAAAGGCAAAGAUUCUUUAUCUUUUGAUGAAGUAUCGCAAAGCUACCCGUGGCUGUUGUUGAAGCAGUGGUGUCGCGAGCCUGUGUAGAUGCUGCUGACCCCUCGCCAGAUCCGAGCACAGGAGAACCACCUUGAGUAGGAGGUAGGGUACCAAACUUCACCAUAGUGUUGUCUUGCGUCUGUGGAGGAGGACUGUUACGAACAGAUCUGAGCUCUUCCAACAUUUCGAGUCGAAAGGCGUUGAGGGACUCUUGGUAAACGUUGAGCGUUGUUUGUUGCUCGCCGAUCCUUGCAGCUGUCUCAUCCUUGUGCACUUGUAAAUCAAACUCAACUGAAGACAGCUCCCCAGUACCUUGAGCUGGAUUAGGAUUUUGUUUUUCACCAUUUUGGUUUUGGCCCCCCCAAUCGAGGGCUCUGAUACCAAAUGUAAUGGUACCAAACCUGAUGGCUAUGAAUGGAAAGGAAUUGAAAGACAAUGAGAGCAAAAGAGUUUUUUCAUAGAUGGCUGCUGCGUUUACACUGUUUGGUAUAGGAUGCUGACACGCGUCAAACAUCUAACUAAGGAUACAAUGCAAAAACCCUAGCAGUAAAUUACUUGUAAUAACUAGUAAGAAAGGCUCGUGCAAGACAUGUGCACCGCAAAAAAAGUAUACUUCUCCUAAUCACUCAGCCGAUCCCAGCCGAUCCCAUUACAUAGUCUUGUGUUCAGUGAAGAAAUAGAUGUCCUUGUUGAGCCUCAAGUCGUGUGGUCGUCUGGUCUUAAAGUCUUCCCAUAUCUCUCAAGGUUCUUGCUUACCGUAAAGGUCGCAGUCGAAUACCACGCGAUUUCUACCAGGCACGUUCUCCCCAGUCAACAUGGGCUUGAGGUAGAAGAGAACUAGUUCAUCGUCCAUGGGGCAGAACCUUUGGCCAGGAAGUUGGUUGCCUCUGCUCUCCUCCACGAGAAUUGUUUCUCUUGCUUUUCUUGGUUUCAGAAAGAUUUGUCUAUGGAAUGAAGAUGAGUAGCUAGGUUUUAAUGGAUAAAAUUGUUUCUGGAAAGAAGACGAGUAGGGUUUUGAUGAAUCAGUUUAUAGAAAGUUAGGCCGGGCUAGGGCUUAAGAUGAGUUUUGCUACAAAGAAGAUAGGAGUCGAUCGGUUUAUAGAAACCAAUGACUUAGGGUUCAGAUAGGAAAAGGUUUUAAAUGGUCCAAUUUAUAGAAAAUAAUGACUUGGAGGCUAAUAGGAUUUCCAUGGGACAAUAGGAUUUCCAUAUCCUAGACGGUUUCUAUUUUUCUUUCUUGCUAGCUACAUAUUUUUUUUAGAGAAAAUUACAUCAUAACACAUAAUCAAAUUUAAAAAUACAAAAAACCCACUUCUGAUAAUUUUGUUAUAAAUUAAGACAAAAGCCCGAAGUCCAUAAUCUAUGAUACCAAGCCUAAUCCGAUUUUUCAUUGUUAAAUGACCAAAAUACCCAACUUCACAACAAAAUUACAAUUAAUGUCAUACCCUCUCUCUCUCUCUCUCUCUCUCUCUCUCUCUCUCUCUCUCUCUCUCUCUCUCUCUCUCUCUCUCUCCCAAAACGCCAGAACGAUAGUAGCCAUCUCAACGAUUUGGAUGAAAAAUCAUGACUUUAAGGACUAUUCAGAUUAAAAUAAAACCACAAGAACUGAACAUAUGUUGACUUCAAACUAAGGGUCAUCAUUUGGCCCGCGUCGGCCCAAAGGGCCAAAGCCCGACCCCGCCUGUCAAAAAGCCCAUCUCGGCCCGCCCAUAAGACAUGAGUGUAACGUCCUGAUUUGCACCUCAUCAAAUCGAGCACAUUACAGUGCCACGUACCCUUAGAACCUAAGCUAGGGCCCAUCACUCAAGUCCUAAGAACCCGCAAGGAAUUUUUAAUUUGAAAUAACUAAAGCUUUCUUGAAUUGAAAAUUAAUGUUACAGUCGGAAGCGUUUAAUAAAUUAAGGUGUACGUAAAACAUUAUAAGAAGGCAGAUUUACUUCCUUUAAAAUCCAGUUAUGAAGCACGAGGCAAAACUAAUGUGAAAUAACAACUCUAAUAAAACAUUUCCAAGAUUAACUAAAAUAUAGCUCCUUGAUAGUACGAGUAACAAUGACAAGGAAAUAGAAUAAAGUAGCUGACAAUUAAACAACUUCAAACAAGAUUUCCAAAUAACAAGGAAAAGGGAAGAUACUAGGACAUGAAAUGGAAACCUCACAUAUGAUAACAAAUUCGAAAAGACAUUUAACUUCAAUCAAAUAAGCACACCCAGCUCAAUCUUGUUCUUGUGCACAGAACCUGCAUCCAAAACUGUUGUAAGGGUGAGCUUUUGUCCUCGCUGCUCAAUAAGACCCAACCAACUAGGUUUGAAAACUAUUUAAUUUAUUGGCCAGUAUGUGAAAAUAAAUAUAAAUAUAAAUGAUGAUCAAAUCAUAAAGUAUAAGUUUCAUUUCGAAAAACAUCUACGGGCCCAAAAUACACAAACCGGAUGACCGGUCCUCUUAUGCCAACUACAACCUUACAGCAAUUAAUAUCAUCCAUACCGACAAGGUGUAGCGAGAGUGUCCAUUUAUGCUAUACCGCUUAGGAACGACGCCACACCUCAAAGGAUGUCAGGCAUCCUCCAGUCCGUAAAACCCCUCUGAAGGUUUAGGGGAUCGAAACCCAAGGAAGUCACUAUGCCCCGCUCACUCUCAGGUCAUCACACAAUGUCGAAAACAAUUGAAACCACGCAUGGCAAUAAAAUAUCAAAUCUUCAUAAUAAUCAAUCACCGCCAUGCAAAUCAUUUUUCAUAUAUAAUAUACGAAAACCACUAGCCAAGAAGAGUCUAGAAUCUCCUACCUGAUAUUCCUGGAGUCCGAGUCUUUGCUCCACAACACUCGGCAAACACCACCAUACUCGAAAACUCGAGAACCGAAGCUCUGUCCGACAUUUCAAAUAUUAGUUCCUUAAACAUCAAUUAGGAACUCUUUUCAAAAACUUACCAAGAUCACAUGUUCUAUAUCUCAUAAUGAUCAUAUAAGGUGAUUGCCACAAUAGCUAGUUAUGAAGACCGAGCUUAGCUCAACACACCACCAAGCCAACUAAUAAUGGCAUACUUAAAUCAUUCUUUAUCUCUAGCUCAAAUGAGCAUCUGAACCCCAUUCGUUUCUCAUUCAAAUGCUUUAACCAUUCCAACUUAUCAUGAACUAUUGCCAAGUAAUUUGAUUCACCACUUCCAUGUACAUUAACUCAAUGAAACACGCUAGAACUUUAUAAUAAGAGUGUUCCAUUCAAAGAAACUCAUAUUUAUCAAUAUUUCAAACAUGUCCAGUAUCCUUAUGUUUCAUUAGCUUUCAAUUCAUAUCAUGAUGUAAACCAUUAUACCAAUAUGCCCUUAAACACACCGAAUAGCAACAAUUUCCGGAUUCCAAUGAUAUAUCAAUUACACCUUUCAAUUGAACCAAUCUAUAACUUAUGCAGCAUACUUAUAUGUAGCAACUCAUCAAUGCUUUGACCUAUAUGUAAUUCUACAAGUAUAAUUAAACCCAUCAAAUAUAAUGGCCAAUGUAAUAUGCCACCGUACCUUGUAGAUUCUUAAAUUGCAAAUUCCUUUCCUCUUGCUGCAAUAUUGACCACAAACAACAGUCCCUCUUCUGUUUCCACCAAAAUGAACACCGAUAUUCACUACCAAAAUUUAAAGUACAAAAACAAACUGAAGGGGAAGAAUCUUACCCAAUAUUGGUUUCUUCUAUGUUCCUACUUCGUCCAAAACUCUCCAUCUUCCCAUUUCAAGCUUUUCUGAAAAUCCAUAUAUUGCUCCUCUAUCCAAUGAAUCUGUCAUCCAAUUAAGUUCUAGUUAUUAGCACCCAGACCAAAUUUCAAAACCCAAGUCAGACUCAUUCCUUUAAAUGAGAAACNCCAUAUAUAUAUAUAUAUAUAUAUAUAUAUAUAUAUAUAUANNNNNNNNNNNNNNNNNNNNNNNNNNNNNNNNNNNNNNNNNNNNNNNNNNNNNNNNNNNNNNNNNNNNNNNNNNNNNNNNNNNNNNNNNNNNNNNNNNNNNNNNNNNNNNNNNNNNNNNNNNNNNNNNNNNNNNNNNNNNNNNNNNNNNNNNNNNNNNNNNNNNNNNNNNNNNNNNNNNNNNNNNNNNNNNNNNNNNNNNNNNNNNNNNNNNNNNNNNNNNNNNNNNNNNNNNNNNNNNNNNNNNNNNNNNNNNNNNNNNNNNNNNNNNNNNNNNNNNNNNNNNNNNNNNNNNNNNNNNNNNNNNNNNNNNNNNNNNNNNNNNNNNNNNNNNNNNNNNNNNNNNNNNNNNNNNNNNNNNNNNNNNNNNNNNNNNNNNNNNNNNNNNNNNNNNNNNNNNNNNNNNNNNNNNNNNNNNNNNNNNNNNNNNNNNNNNNNNNNNNNNNNNNNNNNNNNNNNNNNNNNNNNNNNNNNNNNNNNNNNNNNNNNNNNNNNNNNNNNNNNNNNNNNNNNNNNNNNNNNNNNNNNNNNNNNNNNNNNNNNNNNNNNNNNNNNNNNNNNNNNNNNNNNNNNNNNNNNNNNNNNNNNNNNNNNNNNNNNNNNNNNNNNNNNNNNNNNNNNNNNNNNNNNNNNNNNNNNNNNNNNNNNNNNNNNNNNNNNNNNNNNNNNNNNNNNNNNNNNNNNNNNNNNNNNNNNNNNNNNNNNNNNNNNNNNNNNNNNNNNNNNNNNNNNNNNUUGUUUUUCGUAGUUUGAGAGCCUUACCGAUUACCAAAUUAGCUGAAAUUUUACAGAGAUGAUCUACACAAUAUUAUCUAGAUACUAGACGGUGGAGAUGAGAAAAUUCGAUCGAAAAGUGGUGCAAAAAUGGAAAUCCGCACCAAAACUUUGGUGCGGACGUCCGCAUCUAAGAAUUCCUGUAUAUAUAUAUAUAUAUACACACACAUGGCUGGUCUAAACAUCUACAUCUCACUUAUAUCCAAAAGAAAAUUUUACAACAUCAACCAUGCCUUUAGCUCGUGGCCAAAAUCAUGCCACUAUAAUCCAUGAGUUUAUUAUAGAGUAAUUCUGCACUCAACAACACAAUCAGUAAAACUUGGGUUUCUUUGUUACCUUAUCAAACCACCAAUUACGGGUUUCUUCAUCCUUGCAAUUGUAAUUAUACUGGGAAUCUUCCAUUCUGUUUCAUUCAAACAAAAUCACCGCUUAACACCACUAUCAUAUCCUUCUAAAAGUAUAGAAAUGGUUAAAGUGCAGUAUGCACACAAAUGUCAAAGACUUGGUGCAAAAACCUCAAUGAGGGAAAAGGCACCAAGUAAGAUUAUUCCAUUAAUCUUCAAACAAUAAACACAAAGUGUACUUCUCACACAAUUACACAAUUUGAAUACAAUGCUCUCUUCUUACUCCUCACACAAGUAAUGCAGAUCAAGUAACAUUAACAAAAGAAACUAAAUUGCUAGACUGAGAUCUCACACACUCAUCUAUGCUAGUUCUCACACAACUAGAUUUUGCUACAGCUUACACAUAAUCAGUUUAUGCAGCAAUACUGAAACUAUAUCUCUUUCAGUUGGAAGUUUGACUGUUUUCUUGUACAGUCAGGAUUCCUUGGUUCUGAAUCACAACCAGUUUCUCAUCUUCCACCAAACCAGGUUUCAACAAUCUCAAAUGCAAUCCAUCUGCAAGUAAGAAGGAGAUACUUAGUUGAUAGGUAAACACACACAGGCGGUUUUCAAUAUGAGUGUCAACAGAAAACAACUCAAGUCACAUAUUUCUAAAUGCAGCAGAAGCAAUUUAUAGAGUAUGAAAAUACUCCCCCUUAACUAAUGCCAUUCAAUGACCAGAUCAGAAAUCAUUUCAGAUAUGAAGCAAUCAUGUUACAUCUGUUGAGCACUUUCCAAAACUGAUAUACCAGUUUACUGCUAUAAUAAAGUCAUUAAAAAUAUGCAAUUCAAUUUCCUGAUCAUGUUGAUGCCAAUGAUAAAGCACAUAGACAUACAAAACCAGAUAAGCAAGAGUUAUGCAGAUAACUAAUUCUAAUGAACUUGAUUUGGAAAAUCACCAAGUCAAAUAUCCUAAAGUAAUUAGAGAUCCUACAAAUAAGCACUCUAAAGAACUUGAUAUGGAAAAUCCUAAACAUAAGAUUUUUACUAGAAAUUUUUCACUCAAGAUAAUUAACCAAUAAAGAGAUUAACUUACCAUAAACGAUCCAGUGAAAAACUCAUUACCUAUAACACUUGAGGUAAUACCUCUAAUUAUGCAGACUUGUGAUCAACACUUGAACUUCCAUAUCGUAUAACAGUUUUUUCCUUUCUUCACUGGGAAUCCUUGUGUUGAAUAGGUUCUGCCAACAUGUCAACACCUUCUAAUUGAAUCCAAUCUCAAUUCGGUGAAAGAACAUUUACCUUUUUAUUUAAGCUCCACCGCUGUUCAAUAACUUCCCACGGAAAUCUUGUAACCCAAAUUCAACUCGGGUUUGUUGUCAUCGACAACCAUCGUAGCCUUGAGCUGAAGAUAACAUCAAACCCAAACUAAUUAGCUGCCUUGUUGUCUUGAAGAUGACCAUGGAAUAAUCUCGCAAGAGGUACAAACAAGAUGAGAGAAGGUGCGAGAUAUCGAGAAAGUUCUUGAGGAGAAGAGAGCGUACGGGAGAAGCUGGUCAUCCUGAUCAGGCUCUUCAAUUUAUAGUUUCACUUGUGAAAUUACUAUGUUGCCCUUUACAGGCCCAAACCCGAGACACAAAAUGGAUUGCAAAGCCUACUCAAUAGACCCAAUUCGAAAGUGAAAUCUCUCAAGCCCAAACUAAAUCGAGCAAUAUACAUCCCACUUCAGAAAUUGUUUACUAUAAUCCAUUCCUGACUGCAAUACAUAUAGCAUAACUUUAUGGGGCCUUACAAUGAGGCUGGGCAAUUGCAAAGGGUUCAAAGCCUCGGCCUGGCUCGUUACAUGCCUAUCAAAGCCAGUCGUGCCCGGCCCUGAAAAAGCCCGUCUAAAAGCUCUUUUAAUUGUUUUAUUAAUAUUUUCAUGGAGUUAUUAGUUAAAUAUGUGAACUAAUUAAUGGAUUAAAUCAUAUUUUAUUACAUUUAAUUCAAUCAUUAACAAAUCUUAACUUUUUCAUAGUUUUUUUAUUUUAUUUUAAUAAAAAUCUAUUAGUUAUAUUUAAAUAAUAAGCCCGGCUCAGCCCAUUCAAAAAGCCCGGCCUGGCCCAGCCCUAAAAAGUCUGGGCCCGUGGGCUUUGAUUUUUUUGAAUAGUAAGGCCCGGCCCAGUCCUAUAAUUGAGAAAACAUGAUUGAGGCCCGGCCCGAGCCCAUAAGGCUUGGGUAGGGCCGAGCUUUUUGACGGCCUCUACUUCAAACCAGAAUGACUAUACAGUAUUUUAUCCUAUUAUUAAUUACUUUAAUAACAACCAUAACUACAUAUAGAACCAAAGGGUAUCUAGGAUCUUUUAAUAUAAGAUGUUCCACUUUAACCUAACAUGUAUACAUUAUCCAAAUCGUUUUGUCGUUCCUCCAUAGUGUCCUUUUUCUCUACUCUUUAUACUCUUCUUCUCCAUGAAUCCCAAAUUUAAAAUAUAAACCAAGAUUGAUUUACCAUCGAUCUCUCACUCUCUCUCUCUCUACUCCUCUUUAUUCUCUUCUUCUCUGAUUGAUUCAAACAAAAACCCAGAUUCCAAAAUGAAUGUGACUUAAAAAAACAUACCUAGAUUUUCUUUUCUCUACUGCACAUCCAUAAUUCUCUUCUUCUCCUCUCUCUAUUCUAUUCUUAUAUCGAGUUUGAAAUUGGGUUUGAUUCAAUUUGAUUUAUGUUUUGAGGUAUAAGUUUGAAGACGAGAAAUAAAAAAAUUUAGACCGGCUAGUCGGUCGACCGCCCAGACCUGCCCACACCGCCUAGGCCACCGACUUUCGCCUGGAUGCCUAGCUCAACUGAUUAGGGGAAAAUCAGAACGGAUGGGUGACACCCAACGCCUGGGCGCCGUUUUUUAGAACAUUGGUUAAAAGGAUGGUGUUAUCUAAAGAUGACCAAUUUUAGACUUUUCAGUACCUACAUAAACAUCAUCUAAGGAGGCCAAAAUCAAAACAAUGUGUUAUGUAAGCUCAUUUAUUUUUGUACCCAGUGACACUAAACAUCGAUCUGCCUAACCAAACUGGAUUCCUUAUUUAACACAAUCAUACUUAGUCCCAAAAAACAAAUAUGCACUAAAUGACUUAGGUAAACGUUGUCCCUUUCAUAUUCAGACGACUUAUAUGUGUUGUCUUAAAUCCAUCAUACCUAGUAUAUGUUGUCCGUUUCAUAUUGAGACGACAUAUAUUUGUCGUUUUUAGUUCAUCCAGACAACACUUAUUAUUUGUCGUUGGAAGACAUAAACACCACCAAGUGAAAGGCAUUAGGCGACACAACGUUGUGUCGCCUUAUGAUAAAAAAUAUAAAAAAAGUGUCGCCUAGUACCGUGUCGCCUCUUUGGGUAUCAAGUGACACAAAUGUUGUGUCACUUGAAAUUAACUUAGGCGAUUUAAGUUAUGAUAAAAAAAUAAAAAAAAGAGUUGCCUAGUACCAUGUCGCCUCUUUGGGUAUCAAGUGACACAAAUGUUGUGUCACCUGAAAUUAACUCAGGCGAUUUAAGUUAAAAGAAGUCUUCUGUCGCCGGAGUGUUUAUCAUGCAACAUGUAAAAUAUUAGGCCAGAAUUAAUAUUUUUAUCAGGCAACACUACAGUUGUAUCGCCUUAUCCAUAUAUUGGCAUAGUGCAUUGUCGCCAACUAAUUGGUCACAUUCUCAAUAUUUCAACUGUACAACACCACUAACAUCCUCAUUGAACAUCAUGUUGACCAUCUCUUUGAUAAAGAAUGUUUACAUCGCAGUGGUGUUUUUUUCAAAGUGGGAUUCCAAUUUCUUCCAGAAUUUUGGCGCAUUAGUUUCUUUAAACACAUGGUGCAAGACAGAAUCAUUCACCCAUUAUCUUAUCGUGCCAACGGCUUUCUGGACGUGAAACUUUCAGCACUUGUCAUAUGUCAUGCAUAUUGCUAGGCUUGGUAGCCACACCUUAAAUAGGCUCAUGCAUAUCAUGAAAAUAAAGGAUAUCCUCCAUUCUUGGCUUCCACGUCACCCAAUUCGUGUGGGUGAGUUCAAUCAUUGUGCUUUUCGCUUUAUCCAUCCAGACAACACUGACCCUGCCAAAUCAAACCUUGGAUUCCUAGAUGAGUCAAAGCUUUGAUAUCGCUUGUUGUGCAUUCAGUUAAUAAGUAUGUCGAAAUACCCAAAAAAACAUAGCAAACCUAGAGAAACGACCACAAAGAUACAAGCACAAGAACAUAGAUUUAAACCGAUUCAGCGAAUCUUUUCCAUAUGUCUACCAGCCUAAAAACACUUUUCCACUAUAAAGAGAAUUCCAUAGUCCCAGAUGCAAUUGAGCGCAUUGGUAAUGAUACACGCAUUUAAAUUUAACUUUGUGUAAAAAAGGCUUGAUGAACAUCUUUGCGCUAGUGGCUUGGUCUUCCCUAACCUAGUUAGCCAUUGGUUUAUGGUACCUUCUAAUAAACAUUGGUUAUCCUUAACUUUCUAGACAUAGGGGACCUUUAGGUUUAAAAAUUGUGACUUCAAUGACCUUUUGGAUUAAAUUAGAAGUGCAAGGAUUGAAAUGGGGAGGGGCUCUAAUAAGGACCAUUAAGUUAAGGACUAGUUGAGGGUUUUCUCAUUAAUCGUUUAUUACACCCACUUUUCAAUUAUAUUUUUCCAUCUCAAUCGUUCAGUUUUUAGGUCUAUAUAAGUAGAUCAUUUCUACAAAUUUUCAGCUAAAUUGGUGAUCGUUAAGGGAUCAAACUAAAUCAAAUCAAUGGACAAUCUUAAUCUGUCAAACAAGAGUCGUUCAAGUUUAUAAUUGGUAAAUCAUAUUUAUGAAUGUCUUAAUGAUUUUCAAUUUGGAUGAAAAUUUGUAAAAAUGAUCUACUCAUAUAUAUCUACAAACUAGACGGUCGAGAUAUGAAUAUGUGAUCAAAAAAUAGGUGAAAUGAAGAAGCCAUCAACUUAGUGGUCCUCGUUAGAACCACUCCCCUAAAAUGAGGGCAAAGCAUAGUAUAAGGAGUAAAAAAUAGUCAACCAUUUUCUUAAACAUACCCAUGCGGCCAUGCCACAUGUAGUAAACCCAAGUUUUGUUUUUAUUUAUUUAUCAUUAUGUUGACAUAUACCUUAGAGGAAUUGAUUAUAUACUCUUACAUUGCAUUACAUCAUUUUCACUAAUGUUUAGCUCAAUAUAAAACUUGUCUUUUCAUUCAUUUGUAUUAUUUUAUGCGCAUGGUCUACUAGUAUGUACAAUUUACAACUAGUGAUCGAGGCAGUGAGCGGUCGUGGGUCUAGGGCGAACGAUCGAAGGUUAGGAAUGGGACUGAGCGAUUUCGGGGGCUGUAGCAACAAUGUCUUUACUGCUUGGAGAAUCACCUGGAGUGGCGGUAAUUACGUGUAUUUUUACACACGUAAUUAGUACUAAAACAUUAUGAAUUAGCUACCCUCAUAACAAUUAAUAUUUAAUUAAUCUAUUUUUAUUUAUUUUGUAGGAAAUAAGCGGAAAUAUGGAUUUCGGAAAAAAUGGCGUAACAUUGAUGCAAAAUGGAAAUUCCGGGAAAAUGUCGAAAUUCUUGAUGCGCUCAACUUUGAUCGAUGUUUAGAAGAAGCAUAUAUUUGUGGGAAUGUGCUUGAAUUAACAAGAAGAAGAAGAGAUGGAAGAAAAUUGAAGAGUGGAUUAAUUAAUCAAUUAAAUGAUUGAUUAACCAUUAAGUUGGUUAAUUAAGCUUUGAUUUGGUUGGUUGAGAAAACCAGCAUCAUCACGCGCAAUCUCAUCCUCUUUCAAUUGUGGCCAUCCACAUGCUGCCACGUGGCAAUGCUCCUUCGUUCUUCUACAUCAAAACCGAGACUACCGAAUUCUCUUCCUCUGUCACUGAGGAGCCGCACACACAGAAAACGGGAGGGGCUUUGCCCUCUCCCUCUCCCAUCUCAUCCUUCCUCUUUUCUCUUUCAAUUUCUCUUAGUCUAGUGUAAUUUCUUUCGGCCAUUUCAUGGAUUACUCACAUCAAGCUUCAAGAUUUCAACCUCUACAAGAUUGGAUUGGGUAAUUGUCAGAGAUAUAAAUCAAGAGUAGUUAUGUUAGCUCUUUAGCUAUUUGUGACUACUCUUGUUCUCUCUUACAUUUCUCUACUCUUUUCUAUUUCAAUUUUGUAAUUUUGAUGUCUAUGAUUAUGGGUUGUGAGUAAUUUCAUAGUUGGGGGUUAGGGUUGUGCACCUUAACCCGAAUUUUAUGUAAUGGAUGCCUAUUUUAAUGUAGUGAUGCAAUUUCAUAUGUUGGAUGCUUGUUUCUAAUUUUAUUAGGUUGAAAUGCAUGUCUAGGAGCCAGUCAACUCUAGGGUGUGUGUUUUGAUAUGUCUAGGAUCUAACUAGAGGCUUGACCCCUUCUAGUUACUAAGCUAGUGAGUUACAAGCAUAGUGAUUUACACCCGUUGCGUGAUUGCGCUGGCGGAUUGCUUAGUGGUCUAAUUCUUGAGCUUUAUGCGGACUAGAGUGAGUUAAUGGCCCUUGAACCGGCUCUAACUCUCUCUAAUUGAGUUAGUGUGACCCUUGAACCGGCACAUUGAUACCGAAUUGUGAAUAUAUGGUCCUUGAGCCUUGAACCACCUUGUAUAUGACUACCGCCGAAAUAGGAAAUUAGCAUCUUCAUUAUAUAGCUUCCGGCACAUAAGAUUUGGAGGAAUGAACCUUCCUUGCUCCCAACAUUCCCAUUUUGUUGUUUUCACUUUCUUUAGUUUAUUUGUAAUUUUAGUUGUCGCAUUUUAUUUCGGUUAAUUAGGUAUCAAAAUCAAAUCCUCGGUGACAUUUUCUACUCAUUGUAAAUAGUCAUCACUAGGCAUUAGUAUUGAUUAGGCUUUGGUGCAAACCGAGGCCGAGCAUUGCUAAGGCUUGGUGCCUUAGAGCAGCAUUUUUCUUUAUUUUCUUUUAUUUCUUUAUUUGGAUUAGUGACUUAUUGCCGAUUACUCAAGAAUUGUGGUUAGCCCUUCAAUCCCCGUGGUACGAUACUUGGGGUCUAAAUACUUCUCAUUUCUUUAAUGGCCGUGCUAUAUUGCGUGUUAGUUACACAUCUAAAAAACAUCAAAUCAGGCGGCUAUCUAAGCGCUAGAUUGCCAGAAGGCGGCAACAACUAUGCUGGCUGCGUUGGUGACUGCUAUGGAGAGGUGCCUUGAGCUAUUAAGGCAGGGCUUUGGGCCUUGAGUUUUGAGCCUUGUGCUUUGGGACUUGGGCUUUGGUGCCUUGGGAUAUGGGCCAUAGGCCUUGAGAUAUGGGCUAUGGGCCUUGGGAUUUGGGCCUUCAGCAUUUAGAUUUAGGCCUUAUUUGUUUUUUAAUUGUAAUUUUAUAUUUUAUUUUGUCAUAAUGGUGUGGUGGUCGGUGACCUCUCUCCUAUUUUUUAGGUAAAGAUGUCGUCAGUUAGCCUCUUGGUUUUAUGCAUUUGAAUUUUCAUGGGAGGGAUAGGGCGUUAUUUAUUUGAUGGGCUUAACGAUGAAAAUGAUGCUUGUAGUUGGGUAAUGAUUCUUUUCUCAGUCCCACUACAAGGAUUGACUCUUGUAUACCAAAAAAAAAAAAUACAAGGAUUGACUCAUUAAUUAAAAAAAAAAAGUGUAAUAUAUACAACUUAAUGAUGUUAAGAAAAAUAAUAAUAUAUAGCUUAGCUGUACUUAGACUUUUUUUUUCACAAUAAACAUGCAUUUGUAAUUGGACUUAAUUCUUCUCCAAAUUGGUGCUUCUCUAAAAUUACAUUUAACAUGUGAAACUAAUUUAAAACAAAUCAAUCAAAACAUCACAGUCAUCAUAUAUAGUGGUUGUUCAAUUGCUAAAACAUGACUUCUAAACAAAUGCAGAAAAACUAGUGGAAGAGUAGUCCAACUAUUCAAGGGACGUGUGAAGGCGUGACAGUUUUAGGACUUUUUAAAAUUGAAUUCUAAUCGGAACAGAUAUUACCAGGAUAGUAACCAUCGCAAAUUCACUUUAUUUCUCUGGUAAAACUCUAAUUAAUUAGAUUUCUUCUUUAAAGCUAAAUGAUUUAACUUAAAACACCAGGGUCGGCCCUGGCCAAGACAAGCAAGGCCUAGGUCUAGGGGCUCAAAAUCUUAGGGGCCUAUAAUAUAUAAUGUGUGGUGUAAUUAUUCAAUAUGAAUAACAUGCUUUAGUGGUAAGCAUUUGUCAUAACUACUAUGACUUUAGGGUUUGAAUCCCAGAAGUGUCAAAUUUUUAUUUUUUUCAAUUGUAGUUCUAAUCCAUAUCUAUUACAUUUUUUUUUUUGGGUAAAUGAAAUUUGUACUCCUUAUUUUACAAACCACACUCCUUAUUUCCUUUUCUAGUAAAUUAAAGGGUGCGGCUAUUUCCACCCCACUAAAUGCUCAGUUUUACCCCACGUCUAAUUUUAUUCUUUAAAAUUCCAAUUCUGCCAUUAAAAUUUUGUGAAAAUCUAGUUUUUAUUUUCUUUCUUUUAACUUACAAUUACAAAAAUGAUAAUAUUUCAUCAAUAUAAUUGACGCAUACCUCCAUUCUUCUCAAACCACAUCCUAUAUUCUCCUCGAUCUCUUUCUUGUAGUUUUUCUUUUACGAUUAUGAAUAUUAUAUAUAUAUAUAUAUAUAUGAAAUACUACGUUUGAAACCAUAAAUAAAAUAAAAAUAAGAACUAACAAUCUCAUAUAUCACACUGUAUAACCACCAUGUUGAAGAUUGAAGUGAUUCUCAAAUCUGAUUUGAAAAAUGUAGAGAUUUGUUUUUGUUUUUUUUUUCCAAUGUAAAGAUGUAGAUAAUUGAUGUUGUUUGGAUUUUAUUUUAAUAUUAUAUUUUCACAAAAAUUCUUGAUUGUGGGGUUAGUAUUGGAAUAUUUAGUUUAAAAUUGAAAUAUGGGGUGAAGAAAGUAUUUGGUGGGGUGGCAAUAGCCGCACCCAAAUUAAAUCUUGUCUUUAGUAACAAGUGUUUUUUCUUUUUGUGAAAACAUUUUUUUUGUUUGUGUGUCUAUUGCCAACUUAUAUAUUUUUAAUUGUCAGUCUACUUUGUUCACCCAUUUACAAUACUUAAAAUACCAUUUUCUCAUCAAUUCUACUUCGUUCACACUACAUAUAUUUUUCAAUUUCAUAUUUGCUUUUUUCAUCCUACAUUCUCUUCUUACCUCACAUAUAAUUUUGUUUAAUUUUUAAUUUACUUGUGGAGAUGACGAGAGUCUAAGAACAUUUAUAGGGAUAGACGAAACAUUAUCAAAGAAAAACAAUGAAGGAAAAAAAAAAGAAAUACAAACAAUUCACCUCAUCUUCAAGUUGGAUAAUUCACCUCAUCUUUAGGUUGGAUGCUAGUGCUAGCAUCAUCAAACUUCAUAGAACGACCGAAUAUGAUAAAUUAUGGGUUAAAGUUAAUGAGGUUAAUGAAGUACUUUUUUUCAUCCAAAACAAAAGGAUAAGAAAAAAAAAAUUGUAAUUUGUAACAACUUAUUGUCCCUUGCUGUAAUCUUACAUCAGAGUAUUUUGGUAUUUCAAUAAAUCAAGAAUAUGUGGGGUGAGCAAAGUGGUUUGUGGGGGUAGCAAUAGACGCACCCUUUAAUAAGAUUCUUUAAAAAAAAAAAAAAGUGAUAGUGUGGAUUGUAAAACUGGAAGUGCAAAUUUCACUUUUUUUUUUUUUGUUUUUCGGAAACUCUUUUACACCUUAUUUGGGUAUUUGACACCUUAUUUCAUUUUUAAUAUUUUUUCUGUUCUAUUACCUUCAUUUAAUAAGAUCCAUUUUAUAAUAUUCGCAUAUCCUUUAUUGUAACGUAGUCCAUCAAACUUUUUUUUCCAUUCAAAACCAAGUUGUAACUAUAUUCAUAAUUAUUUGAUAUAUAUAAUUAGGUACUAAAAAUGACCUUCAUAUAAUCUUUUUUUUUUUUGAGCAUUUAUUAUGGGGACUCAAACAAAAUUUCGCCAAUGGCCUCCGAGCACACAUGCCCAGCCAUGUUAAACACCAAUCUCUUUCGUGAAAAUAAAUUCUAAAUGAAUUAAUGAUUUACUAGAAAUCUGAUUUGAGAUGCUUAUUCUUAUUCUCUAAAUAGUUUUUGGUAAAUCAUAGACCGAGUAAAAGUCAUCUCUAAUUCUCUAUAUAGUUUCAAGUAAAUCAUAGUCUAAGCCUUGCAUGAUAGUAAAACAACUUUCUGAAUCUUAAUUCUAAUUGGAUUAGUGUUUUACCAGUAAAAUAAAUAUUGUAAAAAUCUUUAUGCUUUGCUGGUAAAACACUAACACUACUGGAAAAUAGCACUUAGGAGACGGAAUGAUUUCGUCUCCUAAGUAACAAAAUUGGUCUCCUAAGUAACAAAAUUGGUCUCCUAAGAACUUAAGAGACGAAAUGGUCGUUGACUAAGAUCUGUCAGCUAAGUGCCAUCAAGCAGGUAACUAGGCGACGAAACUUGAAUUUCCGUCUGCUAGAUGAUUCCUAGGAGACGGAAUCGUUUCGUCUCUUAAGAUAAUAGGAGACGGACUUUUUUAAAACAAUUAUACUUAUAGGCGACAGAAUCGAUUCCAUCGCUAAUUCUUAAAAAAUAAAAUAAAAUAAAAAUAUGAUAAACGCCGCCGUAGGCGGCCUCUGCUUUCUUCCAAAUCUUAAUCCAAUAUGCCAUAAAACCAUAAUCUGCAUACACUUGCCAUAAAACCACAAUCUGCAAUUCUUUGAUUGAAGAGGCAAUUCUCUCAAAAUGCAAUCACAAUUAACACAAUCACAAAGAGAAAAAUUGCAAAACUUAACAAAAGUAAUGGAAAAUCAAACUUCUACACUUCCAAACAAUUGUGCAGAUUAGAUGAUGAACAACAAAUUUUAUUACAGAAUAUCCAUAACACACAUAUCUAAACUGACAUCCUGGAAACCAACCCUUAACUAACGCCCAACAAUUUAACCCCUGAAACCGUAAAGGGUCCUUUCUUGCCUCUUGAGAGCAUAGACGACAUCCAUGGCAAUGACCGGAGACGCUUGACGUUGGCCUGGGUCUAGAGGAAUCGGGACGGCGGCGGUGGCGGGUCGAGGGCGGAGGCUCGACUUCGAAUUCCAAGCAGAUGGCGGCGGUGGCAUGGAGGCGAAAAAGGGCGGUGGGUGAAAGGGCCGAUUAGAUGGAGAUGGAGGUGGAGGAGGGGGAGAGGUCCAGUGGAGGGUGAGAAAGACGGAGCGGGUUUGAAGUAUCAAGUUGUGAAAGAAGAAGAAAUUAGAUGGAGAUGGAGGUGGUUUGAGUUUGGAAAGGGGACGGGAGAGAAGAGAAAGAAUUGAAAAGAUGAGAUGAGAUGAGAAGAUAGGGUUAGGUGGUUUUAUCAUUUUUAAUUUUUGAAAAGAAUGUUAGUUUAAUGAGACUAGAAGAUUAAAUUUUUGAAAAUAAAUCAUUUGAAUUUUUAUCAAUUUUUUGGCGGAAAGAAUAUUGCCGCUAAUAAUUUGUGAACUUAGACGACAGAUUCCUAUUUGUUCGUCGCCUAAGUGAAUAAAUUUUUUUAUUCUUUUAUUUUUAUAAAAAUGAUUCCGUCUCCAUAUUACAUUUUCUGUCUCCUAGAAGACAGAAUAUUGUUCCGUCACCUAAGUGGUCACUUAGGCUACGGAACCGUAUUCUGUCUCUUAAGUUCUACUUAGGAGACUCAGGAGACGAAAUUAAAACAAUUCCGUCUCCUAAGAGCUUUUUUCCAAUAGUGUAACCAACUAGAUUUCAUCUUCAAGGUUAUGUAAUUUUGACAUGAGUACCUAUCUCCUCCAUGGAAGAAAAUUCUAAUCGAAUCUAUGAUCUACUAGAAAUCUGACUUCUCCAAAUAGUUUUUCGAUAAAUCAUAGACCGAUCAGAAGUCAUCUCCAAGUGUUACAAUUGAAUCUAAAGACACAUUUUCCAUGCAAGCUAUGUAAAUAUGCAUCGAUAGUCAAGGUAUAUAUAGGCAUCCAAAGAACUAUUUAUGGAACUCUCAUUAAUGGAUUUCCAAACAUGUAAAUCUAAAUUGUAAUCUACGAAAGAGGCAAACACAUUAUUAUUGUGGUAGAAUAGAGAAAGACAACCACAAAAUGUUUCGGGUCCCAAAUGUAUCACGUUAUCUUCAAUCCUUCAUUUAUAGAAAUUGAAAAAUUAAUUGUAAAUUAAGGUAUAGUUAAGAUUUUUAAAAUCAAGAAUUUAUUAUUUCUAAUAUGCUAAAAAAGAUAAAGGGAUUAAAGUUAAGGCAUGUUUACUAACCUGGAAUGGAAUUGAGAGUGGUGUAAUUGAUUCCGGAAUGGGUGAAUUUCGGCGUUUACUAACAUGUCAAGGUAUUUGAAUGGAUGUGGGUCCCACUUGCUUAUCAGGAAUCGACUCUUGAUGAAACCCCUUAUUUGAUACCCAAGGGGGGAGAUGAAUAUCAGAAUCAAGGUAAUGAAAUCAACUUUUUCUUCCUAAAAUAACUUCACAUAAUUAUAAUAUUCUAAAUUACCUAACCCUAAAAUAUAUAUAUAUAUAUAUAUUAUAUUUUACGGGUAUUUUAGUAAUCAAACUAGUUUUAAUUCCGAUUCCAUAUGGUAAGUAAACAACAUCAAUCGUAAUUAGUUUCAUUCAUGUUUUGAUUCCUUAUGAUAAGUAAACAGUAGAAUGAUAUGAAAUAUUCUCAUACCGAUUGUUGUUGAUACCGAUUCAUAAUAAUUUUCAUUCUAAGUUGGUAAACGUGCCCUUAUUGUUUACAUACAUUGAAUAACCUCAAGAAUCAGAUUAUUCUAAUUCAUAGAAUGCAAUAGUUGGAAUUUGAAAAUGUCUUAACUAAAUAUUAAUCUACUAAAUAUGUAAAUCGACAUUAUUGGAUUAUAAUAGGACACAUAUGAAAUGAACCAGACGGUCCUCAUUGUCAAAGUAAUUGUCUAGAUUUCAAAAUCUGAAUCAAUAAAUUAUAAUCUAUUAAAUAACCAAACACAUUAAAUUCAUUUUAGAAGGGUGAUAGCUGUAACGUGUAGGCCUGGGCAUAAAACCCAAACAUGAAAAAAAGACCGAAUCGGACUGGCCAGCUCGACCGGGCCCGUCCCCGUCCUUGUAAAGAGCUUGCCAGUCUGGGCUCGAGCCCAACGCUAGUAACGUGAAUCACAUUCACCUCAUAUUCAUAUAAACUAGCACCUGUAUACCUUUGAAAUAAAAUGAGUUGUGCAACUCUUAAAUAGUGCAAAAUUGAAAUACACUAAUCAAUCUACAUAUGAUAAUAAUAUUUGUAUCGAGUUUUUAAAGAUGAUACAUAGUUUCGAAGAAACUUAAUGGUGCAACAAUGAUAAAACGAUUACAGAAACCUCAUUGAGGGAUGAAUGAUAAAGAUUGAUAUUUAUAACUUUUUAAAAUUAUCAUCUAUGAUACAGGGUGAAAAUAAAUAAGAAAUUAGCUAUUAUUUGAGAAACUUAACUGGCGAAAGAUUGCCGGAAUUUUUCUUUUUUGAAUAAGAUGUUAAUUUGAUAAUACCAACGAGCAAGUACGUAGUUAAUCAACAACAUGAAAGUUGACUCAAAUCGGUCAAAUAUGUAGGUAAAGUGUUAGCAAUGACAUGUUACCUCGAAAGUGAAAACCUCAUUCUUUCGAUCUUGAGAUGAUGGUGUCUAACAUUUAAUUUACUUUUUUCUUCUCAAUUCUCAAUUUGUGAUAUUUAAACUCUAAACUUUGGACUUUAUUUUGAUGGAUUGUAAACUACGGAAUCUAUAAUAUGUGUUGAAGUUGAACUUUUAAGUUUUCCAAUUACGGUCAGACUCUAGAACAAUUCUCUCUGGAUUGGUCGGCGGCGUGCGCGCAUGCGCGGCGGUGACAUGGAGAUGCCAUGACGGGUUGGGUUGCUGGUACCACCGUCGGAAUUGUUCACAUCGGGUUUGGAUCAGAUCUGCUUCAGUUUUUGUUUAAUCUGGGGUGGAGGAUCUGUUCGAUCUGUUUGGGGGCAAAUCUUGUGUGUUUGCGUGUUGGCGGAUGGUGGCAACCCGACAAAGCUGGUGCAGCAAGGCAAUUGGUGGUCUGCCGGCGGUGACUAGAGUGGAUUUUGGUUGGGCUUGGCUGGAGGCUUUCUUGCCUCUCUUUCUCUGGUUUGAGGCUUGGGCUCGGUAUUGGGUCCCUCUUUGUGCUUAGGUCUUGGGUGCCAACUAUUUUUCUUCCGCAAAUAAUUAUUCUAGGUGAUUUUAUUCCUCAAAUAAUACCCUAUCAGUAUAAGGUAGGGCACAAACGGUCCUUGUUCCGGUUUAUACAACUUAUAUGUCUUAUCUGCUUUAGGUAGGUUGCACAUAUUUUGCUUGCUCUGAUGGGCACAACCUUCAAGUGACACGAUGAAUCUAUGAGCUGUUGAAUUUAUUUUCUGGUGGUAAAAUAAUAAGAAAGCUGCAUUAUUAGACAUGUGUUAAGAUAUGUAAUCAUGUUAUGUAUCUAGUGAUCUUUCCAUUAUUUCACCGCUAUGACAAAACAAAUGAAGUCACUAUCAGAGCAAUACACUUUUCUAGUUAGUGCAUGUUAGAAUACAUGUGCUUGGUAGAUAUUCUAGAUACUAUUUUGAGUCUUCUUUUAGGUGCUUAUUGAAUUCAGGCUUCAUGAUACAAUAGAAUACAUGCUUAUUGUAUUCAUGUUUAUUGUACUUAUAAUACAUGUACUAGACUCUUUUCUAGUUUAGGCUUCACCUCUCCGCUUUUAUUAGAUGAUGUCAGCCUUUUAUUACCAAAAAAAAAAAAUUAAAAAUAAAGAACUCCUCAAGGUUUAAAAAACAACAUAAAGUACCACAACGAACCACGGUUUUGUUUGAUUUGGUUCGAUUUCUGAAUUGAGGUCUCAAAAAUUGCCAAACCAAACCAAAGUCAAACUUUUAUUUUCGUUUUCUGUUUUGAGUAUAAACUAAACCAUUUGCAGUGAAUUCCACCUAUAGGCUAGUCUAUGACAUAACUUCUAAGCAAGUAGAGAGGUUGCAGACCCCUCAUCCAUAAGGACAAAGUAAAGCACAAAGAAAAAAAAAAUUAAAAUUAAAUAUUACAUCCCGCUCCAAAAAACACGUCUGAUUCAUCAUCAACAUGAGGUCCAAAGCUUGAGAAACACUCAAAACCUAGCUCAUACUGAUUCUUCAAGCUACAGCUUGAUGUCAUAUCCCUUUGAAACCUUGUCGGAGCUGACGCCUAUGUCUCCUGGCUCAACACCCACCAACGAAGACCCACUUGACCCUCCUUGAACUAUACCAAAGUUGACGUCUCGGCCAACCAUCCCAAAUCCUUCAGACCCCAUCCCAUGGUCGGCGCCACGACGUUGCCUUUAACGAGCAAGCAUAGACCACUCGACCCCGCCUCCACCCAGAAAUCCAAAAUACCAUUGUCUCGACAGCUCAUUGGUGUCAUGAAGCCCUUGCUGAGAUGUUAACCGCCUCUAGCAUGCAUCGCCUAGCCACCAAACUCAACCUCCUCCAGCCACCCGCCGCAACAAAUCAAGGAAAUCCUUGGUGACAGAAAUUCUCGCCCAAUUCCACAGUCUCCGCACCCUUGACCGAAGCCAUCGCACGUACGCAAAGUCAUAACUUUUUUGCAUAUUGAUGUGAUUUCUUCUCUACUCAGAUGUGGUAUGAUGGUCUUUGGGUUUGAGCGACCUUUGAGGUUUGGGCUUUGCCCCAUGGCCCAAUUUUUUUAUUUUAUUUUAUUUUUUUUUACUUUUAUUUAACUUUAGGCUUUUAGCUAAGGCUAGAUGCUGAAAAUACUUCCUUACCACUAUUUUGUCAAGCAAGGGUAAGGAUUGCGGUGGAAUCAAUCUCGAUAGUCAUGCGCACAAGUUCAAUUUAGGGUAUUUAGUUCUAGGAUUUUUGCCUGUAGCAUAAUGCUAUGCUCAAAACUGUUUGCUUUUGAAGGACUAGGGCUCGUGUUGAUAAUGUUUUGGCCACGCGUCUCAGCAGGGGCAGAGUCGGGACUCCGGUGACUCAAAAGUAAAAAUAAGGUUGCGGGCGUGCCACCUCGCGGACGAGGAAAGAAUGCAUUGUGUUAGACUUCUAAACAAGCAAAAAAGGGGUUUCCGGUGCCACCUCGCAGACGAGGGAUUACGAGCAAAACCUCUAGUCACCUGUGAAUCGAUACUCACUGUCAGAACGAGCAGAGCAACAAAUAGGAAGAAAGGGCGAAUCUGUAAGGGAUCUGAGAACUAAGGCGAGGUGCGCUUAGAACUUUAGGGUUUUGAGGAUGCUCGAAGAUUUGCAGUAGUUUUGUAUGAUUUGAUUGUGUGUCUUUUGAUUGUCGUCAAGCUCCCUUAUAUAGCACUUCGUCGCUAGCUGACAGGUCUUUAAUCACAAACCCAUUCGGACUCAACAAAUAGAAUCCUACCAGGACACAAUUCGCCUGCGAACUGUGCUACCCACGUGACACGUGUCAUAACAGACUCCGCUUAGACUUCUACUGCCGUCCACCUCGCCAAGAACUGUAGACUCCUACGCGAACUAAAACAAGGAUCUCGCGAACCUCGCGAACCUCGCGGGGUACCAAAGUCCUUGCCAAAUUCUACCUCGCGCGCUGCUAGAGCUCGCCACCUUACAUGGGCUUCAUACUAAAAAAGGGCCACAGGUACUGGUCCAAAUGUUAUCCAAAACUUAAUAGCGAGUCUUGGACCAAAAUCCCCGUUGGGCUCAAACAUUGCCCCCUAGGCCUUGAGCUUAACCCAUUUUGCAACGGAUAAGCGAAAAGGCCUUAAUGAGUAAGUUACGGGAAUUCGAAAUUCAAAAAGGUGCUGACGUUUCGGCAUCGUCGCCUCCCUUCAUCAUUUUGAUUGUUUGAAAUUUGAAACACGCUGACGUUUCAAUCAUCAUCGCGUCUCUUCAUUACGGCUAUUGAUUGAAAAGACGUUACGGUCUGUCCCCUUUAUAAGCCUCAAUGCGGGUCCCCACAUCUCACCGUCGUUUUCCAACCAAUCCUUCUCCUUCUUUCUGCAACCAAAAAACCUCACCGCCGCACCUCACUCAAUCCAGAAAAAUGGUUCCCAAACCUGCUGGUCGACCAACCUUACCCGUCGUUUUACCAACAACCCUCCUCAAGGAACACCCAUCUAUUUCCUUGAAACAGGGGCAGCCCUGCUUGGCCCGACGCCCUCACAGCCCCUAUCAGCCGCCGACCUGAACCAUUAUGCUGACUCCGUGCGCCGGCCAAUUCUUGCCCAACGCCGCGAACCGGGAAAUUUCACCUCCUGGUUUCAACAAACUCGCUCUCACAUAAACAUUAGGGUCGGAGAGUGGCCCACCGCCACCGCGGAGGACUGGAAAUGGUAUGCGGCUCGCCUCCAGACCGAUCAAACGAUCUGGGAAGCAGCCGGCAUCGGCGAAGCCAUAGCCUUGAGUUUCUCGCUACCCCCUCAUGCCGACAGAGCACCCAUCGCUGCCGUAGCCUGUCUAUGGAACAGUGCCACCAACACCUUCGAUUUCCCUUUCGGGCAAAUGAGUGUCUCUCUGCUGGACAUCCUUGCCAUCACAGGGUUGCCAAUCCACGCCAAGCCAUACGUGCCAGGCGACUUUGCAUCGACCGAAUUCACGUAUUCCUGCAACCUGGGGGCUCGCCGUGCCCUGAAAGGCUCAUAUGCAGUGUGGCGGGCUUACUACACCAGCCAUGCAGAACAACAUGAAGGAGGUAUCGCCUUUCUCGAGUAUUGGCUUGAUAAGUUCGUAUUUUGUGGCAGCGCUCACAAGCCUACAAGGAAAUGGACGAAACUAGCCGAAGCACUCUACAACGGGAUCGAAGUAGGGCUAGGGCAGCCCGUGUUGGGCGCGUUCUACCGGACCCUCCAUACACUCUCCUUAAGGUCCUUCCAUCUGUCUGCUGGUCCCCUGUGGGUUUUGGAUUUGUGGAUGCAGCUAUAUUUCCCGCUCUUCCGGCGCGCCCCGCUUGACUUUUUACCCGAGGACCAACUGCUUGGGUUUGCCGUGUGCAGGAACUCCGCGAACAGGAUUCCUCUGUCCUUCUUCGCCAGCCUCUCCAUUCUGUACAAUCAACUUGAGCCGCCUCCCACCAUAGAUAUGAUGGUUCACCGGCGCCAUCCUGAAGUCUUGUCAACGAGCUUCUUUCCCUGCUCCGACUAGGACUCGGAUGCCAAGACAACCUUUAUGAAGGCGACCUCGUGCUGUGACAUUCAGCUCGCCGAGGAUGAACAAGGCUUCGAGCUAUACGCCCCCAACCACUUCGCCAGGCAGCUCGGCUUCUUUCAAGAGGUCUCUUACCCACUCUUCCAUUCGGUGAACAAGUAUACCUCCUGGCGGAAGAUUGGCGAGACCGACCGGGUCACUCCGCUGCAGAACAUCUUUCCUCUCACUCCCGACUUGCUCGAGAUUGAGCCUUCACUGGGCACUGACCCCGCCUAUCUCUCUCGGUGGCUAUCCCUGUCAGACAACCAUUGGGGGUUCCCCGAUGACGCUGUCUUUACUGCCAUCUUUUACCCUCUGUACGACACCCUGGGUGAGUCAGAUCGCGUCAUCCUUGAUGCCCAGCGCGACCGUGCGGAGGGCAGCCAAAGGGCUGUGACAAGGCCUAGGCCUGCGCUCCUGCCAGUUCCUGCUGCUUGCCGUUCGACCGGGAUCGUCAUUCGAGAACACGAUCCUGCACCCGAGGUAAGCCACUAACUACGUGAAUUCCAUACCGCCUUCACUACUUCAACAAAGUACUUCCUCUUAACUCUCUUGUCUUCCUUUACAGGCUGCACCCCGCCGGAGAUUUGUCAGGAGACCCGAGGCUGCCGGAGAUAAAGGGAAAGCACCUGCUCAAGAGGAGCUCGCGGUGAAACAUGAUGGUGAGAUUGUUCCCAUCGUUCCUCAGCCAACAAGUGGCGAAAGCUCGCGAAAGCGACCCGCUGAGGACGAAGAGGAACUGCUAGAGGAUGAACGAUAUCGGCAAGAGUAUGCUUUGGUAAGCAACCUUUCUUCGAACCAAACUUAUUAAAGCCAACAACGAUUUACUAACUUUGCAUUCGACAGGUUCGCCGCCGCAUCCGACCUCGCCUUGCCGUCAUCGAAGGAGCAGCAAGGACAGCUGAAGUCCCAAUCCCGGAAACAGUCGUUGAGGAGCAAACCGUGGUCAUCGAGGAAGUCAACGUGCGACCCCCUUCACCAAACGGCGCUCUGGGCGAAACUGGUCCUCCUUCAGAGUCUACCUCGGUUCCUGUUCAGGGCGAGGGUCUCAACCAAACCAACAUGCUCUCUGACUUUACUGCUUCCUCGGCGAUUCCGCCAGAGGAUUUUCAACCGGUGCUUGAGCAUUCUCCUUUGCAACCAGACUCAGCGGCCUAGACCAUUGAAGAACCAACAGUCCCAACGCGAUCUGAGGUUCCACCGCCCGCUCCAGAGAGCGAGACAGUUGCAGAGGUCGAACCAACUACUCCGGCCCCAAUGAUAACAUCUGGCGAGACGGCUUCUUUUUUGGCUACCCGGACCGCUCGUCUUCGGGCCCGGGUCACCCCGCCUGCCGAUCCAGAGCCCAUUCGCUCAGCCCGAGGUUUCUUUCACAGGAUAUUACGCCAAGGUCCCCACAUGAAUGUAUUUGACUUGGUCAAGCGUGGCUGCGAGGCCCAUGGAGCUUUGAUUUGCCACCUUGCCGGCAACACCCCAGUUUUAGACCAUGCAUUAGAACUCAUUGACACUGUCGAGCUGCAGGCCCGCUGAGUUCAGGAUGCUGGUGCCCAGUCGGCUGCUCAGGAGAGAGUCCGCCAGGCCUUAGAUAAUCAGAUGGCAGUCCUUUUGGCUGAGCUUGAAGACGUUGAUGUUCCUGAGGCAUCUUCAGAGAAUCCGUGCGUUGUUUAUGCCCGGCAAGUGGAGGCCUUGGAGGCUCAGAUAGCGGAGCUGUAAGUUCAACUUGCUGAAGCUCGCCAGAACCUUGCGCAAGCUGAAAACGUAGAGGCUCGCGUGCAAGUUGCGGAGAAGACCCAGGAAGCUUUGGACUCGGCUAUUGCUGUUGCCGACGAAGCCCAAGCCCAAGCGGAUGUUGAAGAGUUGGCCUUAGAAAGUCUUCUCCUAGAUUUGUAUAGGGCUUCUAGGCGGGUUUAGACUCGAUCAGCGCUUUGCCCCUUCUGUAUGAACCUUUAUAAAUAAUAAUAAUAUAAUAUUUAUAUGAAAUCAAAUUUUUCCCGUUUUGCCGAAUCUUGUGUAAGAACUGCUUUUCCAGGAAAAAAUCUUCUUCCGAGAUUUGGUGGAGGUUUCCAAUGUAACUGCUUGCUUGGAAUGCGGGUAGUCAUUAUGGAACAACGCAUCUGACCUUAUCUCCAAAACUCAUAUCUCAGAGCAAAUUGCUGCAUGCUGGACAUUUGUCAAAGGAGAAAUCGGCCUUUUUUUGCCUAUAAAAGAGAACCGCUUGGUUGAGUUGAAGCAUCAACCAAAUCUUUUGCACUCUCUGCCAUGGAUUCUUCUUCCCUUCUACUCAUCCUACUGUCCUUGCUUAAAGCAAAACCCCCAUUUCUCAACUUCACCCUUCGUUCCCUUUGAGUAUGAAAAUCUACUCUCAGGUCGAGAGUGAGUCUGAAAAUCUCCUCUCAGGCCAAGCCUUUGUUUGGACAAACAAAUGGUCUGGGUACCUUCUGCCUUGCACCAGCUGUUCUGUCCAAACGUGAGGUCCUUGAGGCUCCGUGCCCGCUCGCGCUUCAGGCCCUGGCCAGUGCCCUUGAAGCACCUUCAAGGAGUGACUGGUAGCAUGAGGGACCCAGGUCCAGUAGACCUCUAGCUUCUCAAAAAUUUGUCUUAGGUCUGGACCGGUGUCCAAGCUUGUGCUGGCCUGAGGAGGCGGGACGUUCGCCAACCUGAACCGAAGAACUCGGCGACAGCCUCUUCUUCAACCCUGCAAGAUAUGCGGGUUGAGGUUUCCAUUAUCUUCUGAUCUAUGCUUUUGAGUGUAAACAUAGUCUGAUUUCACCCUUUCUGUCAAUGUAGUCGUUUCGGCCGCAAAGCCAAUGUAUGAAACUUGUAUUGAAAACGCCAAAAAAGGGCAAAAUAAAUGUAUUUAGUUUUUAGGGCCUCUGGAAUAGGCCCCAAUCUUGUACUUGUCUUUGUGUUUAGAUUUUGCACGUUUAAAGAGAAUGAAGAAGAUAGAGUUAUCUUAUUUUAGGGCCUCUAGAAUAGGCCCCAAUCUAGCACUGGCCUUUUUAGGCUGAUACGUUACAACGUAUUCUUUCAUUUUUUAUCCCGGGUUGCCCCUUAGUGCUAGGCGGCGAAGCGAGAAUGCGAUGGCGCGUAACACUAUUGACUGUGGUGACGGGUUCUGGAGGAGGUGGAGGAUCCUCGCGUUCCCAAACUCCAACAAUGUGGCGCUUGAAAAAGCGGCCAUUAAUAGGAUUGCGAUGAAUGGUACUGUCUAGGUCGCACAGGUGGUAUGCCCCCUUGGGGAGUAUACGAUGAAUAAUAAAAGGGCCUUCCCAGCGAGCGGACCACUUGCCCCGACCGUCCGUAACGAUGCACUCCGGAAUACCAAAGCGGGAAAUGAAAUUGCGGACCGAGUUGGCGGAGGCAACCUUGAGCGGUUCGGCCUCGACCCAUUUGGUAAAGAAAUCAGUGGCGACGAUAAUGAACUUAUACUGCUCAAAAGAAUGGGGAUAAAUAAUGCCAACGAAAUCUAUUGCCCAUCCGCGACCCGGCCAAGGUUUAAUGAUAGGCUGCAACGGAAUGUUGGAGAUGUGUUGCACUAGUCCAUAGGCCUGGCAGUCUUGGCAACCUUUGGCAAAGGCAAUGCAGUCUUUUAAAAUGGUCGGCCAGUAGUACCCAUGGCGGCGGAUCAACCAACGCAUUUUUGGCCCUGCCUGGUGCGAACCGCAAACCCCACAAUGUACUUCGCGCAUGAGGCAUUUAGCUUCAUUCUCAUACACGCAGCGGAAGUCGUUGCCGUCUUCCCCACGUCGACGGAGUUCGCCAUUGCGUAAAACAAAGUUUAAGGCGAGGAAACGGAUCUGCCUAGAGUGAGAGGCGUCAUUGGGAUUCUGGAGGUAAACGAUAAAUGGUAGUCGCCAAUCCUCGUCGAUAGGGUCUAAGGCCGCGACCUCGGGGUUGUCGGCCUGAAAUUGCCCCCUGGCGAUGAAAGAGGGAAGGGUACGGCGCUCGACUUUGAGCAAACGUUCGUGCACUCCAUCGUGCAGGCUGAGGCCGGACGCUACCUGGGCGAGCUCGUUGGCCGCGAAGUUGAACUCGCGUGGAAUGUGCUCGAUGUAUACGUCGUCGAAUUGAUCCAAUACUACAAAUGCCUUGCGCAGGUAUGGUUCAAUGGACGAGCUUAAGCACUUGAACUUCUCCACUAGCUGGUUGACGACCAACAGGGAAUCACCAAAGACUUGAACUUCGCGGACUCCUAAUUCCAACAAAAUUUCCAGUCCGAUGAUGAGCGCCUCGUAUUCGGCCUGGUUAAUGGUGCAUUUGAAAUCGAGCUGGAACGAGUAGGAGAAGUGAUCUCCGGCGGGAUUUUCUAUGGCUAUCCCGGCUCCGGCUGCGGUAUCAGUCCGUGAUCCAUCAAAGUAAAGGGUCCAUGGAGCGAGUGUUACAGCAGCGAAUUCCAACUCGCGAAACGCCGUGAGCUCUGAAGAUGGGUGAUGGGCGAGAAAGUCUGUUAUUGCUUGUCCUUUUACUGCUUUUUGCGGAAUAUAUUGCAACGAGAAUUCGGACAUGACUAAUAUCCACUUGCCUAUGCGUCCCCGUAAGAUAGGGCGUGAGAGCAUAUAUUUGACCGGGUCGGAUUGAGCGAUCACAACCGUGGUAAAGGCAAGCAUGUAGUGGCGCAGCUUGCAUCCUGCAAAAUAUAGAGCAAGACACAACUUCUCCAUAGGCGAGUAGCGUGUUUCGCAGUCGGUUAACACCCUGCUGAGGUAAUAAACAGCGCGCUCCACCCCGUUUUCGUCGUCUUGGGCCAAGAGUCCUCCGAUGGACAAGUCGGCAGCGGCGAUAUAGAGUUUAAGCAGGGUACCUUCGCGAGGUGGGAUCAGGACUGGUGCGUUCGUAAGGUAGUCCUUGAUUCGAUCGAAGGCCUGUUGAUGUUGGGAUUCCCAGACGAACUCGGUUGCCCCCUAGAGCUUGAGUAGGGGUGAGAAAGGUCGGACCUUCCCUGCCGCGUUGGAUAUGAAACGGCGGAGAAAGUUGAUUCGCCCAAGCAACUGUUGAAGCUCCUUCUUGGUAGUGGGGGGUGAAGCGGUGAUUACCGCCUGUGCCUUGUCCUUUGGGAUUUCGAUGCCCCUUUGAUGCAUUAGAAAACCAAGGAAAUCGUCGGCUUAUGCGAAGAAUACACACUUGGCGGGGUUCAUCUUCAGGUUAUGGCGGUGCAUCCGUGUAAACACCUGCCACAAGUCUUCAACGUGUGUUGCCCGUGUUUUGGUUUUGACAACCACAUCGUCGAUGUAGACUUCGAUCAGCUUCCCCAAGAUGUCAUGAAAGAUGAGGUUCAUGGCGCGCUGGUAUGUUGCCCCCGCGUUUUUAAGUCCGAAAGGCAUGACAACAUACUCGAACACGCCAGCAAAACCAGGGCAUCGGAAAGCCGUCUUGUGUUGAUCUUCCUCAGCGACGGGAAUCUGGUGGUAUCCGGUUAUUCCAUCCAUGAAGGAUAGCACCUCGUGCCCUGCAGCUGUGUCAAUGAGGAGGUCGGCCACAGGCAUGGGGUAUAUAUCCUUUGGCGUUGCGUUGUUUAGGUCGCGGUAAUCAACACAGAAGCGUAUCUUGCCAUUUUUCUUGCGAACGGGGACAACAUUGGAUAACCACUCGUUAUACUUUGCCACGCGAAUGAUACUCGAUCGGUGCAUGUUUUCGAUCUCUUCCUUGACUACGAUCUGAGUCUCAGUUCGCAUGAAUCGGCCGUCUUGCCGCACUGGAUGUCGGUCGGGAUAAGUUGGCAACCGGUGACAAACCAAAUCAGAGGACAAACCAGGCAUAUCCUCGUACUUGUUGGCGAAGCAAUCCCUGUACUCGCAUAAUAGGGUAAGAAGAUCUUCCUUUUCGUCUUCCGCCAACUUAGCACUGAUGGAAAUAAGUAAGGGCUUUUCUACAGUCCCAACGUCAACCUGUGAAAUGGGGUCACGGACUUGAGGUGGUGUAUUGUCCAAGGCGGCGGGAGCUAACUGAAUAACUUCCUCUGUGGCAUCGGUAUAAUCCACCAUUUCAUCGACGUAUUCCAUAGUCGCGACCUUGUCGUAGGCUUCGCGUUCUGCCUAGUACGAAAGGAGUCUUUCACACAAGGACUCGCCAGCCUCGCGUUCCUCCUUUGAGAAAGUACUAAUCAUCAGAACGGGGUGUGGAAUCCGCGAUAGUGUGAGGACGUUGCAAAUCGUCCUUCGCCUGGGUAAGUCCCCAUCGCGUUAAAUUGGAGGCCGUUACCCCAUUUGGGCGGCCUUUGUCAUCGACGUCUUGAACGUCCAACGGGCCCAUGUCCGUGGUAUAAUAUCGGGCGUCGUUGAAGUUGGCGGAGAUGGAGAAUGGCCGCGGGUCGGCUUUGAUGAUGACUGCUUCACGGUUCUCGGUGUCCCAAAUCAUAAGUUCUUAGUGCAUGGAGGAAGGCACGCAAAAACUCCUGUGGAUCCAAUCUCGGCUGAGAAUCAUGCUGUAAGAGGAAGAACAUUCGACGACGAAGAAGGUGUAAACCCGUGACGCCGACUCGACCUUGACUCGUAGAAAUAGCAGGCCUAGGGUCCUGGACACCUGCCCGGUGAAGUUAUUGACUGUUAAGGACGUGGUUUGGAUCAUCGAGCGCGGGAUGUCGAGGAGUCCCAUGGUGCGGGUUGUAACGACAUUGACCGCGGCACCGGUGUCGACCAUGACCUUGUUGAUCAUCUUCCCUUCGACUUCUGCCUUCAUAUACAGUGGCUGCAUGUGAGUGGCCAUGUCUAAGGUUGGUGUCGAGAAGGUCAGAGUUUGCUUAUGUUUGAUGCUACUCGUAAUCUUCACUUGUGGGGCGUCGUCGGCUAGUACCGGAACUAGGCCCAUUUCGCUGCUGCAUGGCGGGGGUAUGCUACUGACAUCCUCGCUGCUGACUGGAAUAUCUGCCGCACUGCAGGUUGUGUUUGGCGAGAGAGCGUAUCUCUCCGAAAUGAAGAAUACCAUCCCGACCUGAAAGGAGAACUGUUCGUGAACUGGGACCAGCGGAGUGUCGAUGACCCCGUGUUCUCCUUCGAGCACUGAGAAGGCGUCUGCUUCACGGCUAAACCCUUCGUCUACGACCCAUCCUGAGAUCUCUAACAUAUUACAGGUGACGAUCGUGUCUGAGUCUCGGGCUCUGGUGUAGAUCGUGUCCGAGGCCAAUGUGGUUGUGGUGGCCGAGUAUCCUUUUUGGUAUCUGUUUCCGGGUUUUGAGGUUCCCGGCGCCGUAAGGGUUGAGGCGGUUCGCGCUUUGACUCUGGUUCGGGUGUCAUAAACAGCUUACGCCUAGGAGCCGUAGGCGGAUCCCUUCUCCUCUCAGGCUCCGAUGUAGGAGGUGACUUGCUCCUGGGAGCUUGUGAGUCUCUUCUUCUUUCAGGCUCGGGUGACAGCAUAGGCUUGGAAGGCUGUGGAUCCCUCCGUCUUUCAGGCUCGGGUGACGGCCUGCUCCUGGAAGGUUGUGGAUCCCUUCUUCGUUCAGGCUCGGGUUAUGGCCUGCGCCUGGAAGGUUGUGGGUCCUGCUUUGGUGGAACCGAGAGUCGGCAGAAGACAUUUGCUUUGGGUGCAGUCUCGUCUACGAACUGCUCGCAAAUUCUUGGGGGUGUGACAGGCGGCAUUUGGAGGAAUGCGUGCAAACCCUCUGCCUCCCUCCACAUCUGCUCAGGCGUCUGCUCGAGCUGUGAGGGGCGGACGACGCCCUCUUUGACAGCACGUAAGGCACGCAGGAUGCUAUCGUACCUUUUUGGAGCUUUCACUUUUUGGACUUGCUGAUGGUAACUGCCUUGCCCCCUUGCUGUGUGUACCAAACCCUGUCCUUGAUUGCUGAUUUGGACGUCGGGGGAAUAUAGGGGUCGGUCAAGAUACCUCUACGAGGGCUCGAGGCCUCGUUGUCGUGACGAUCGCUGUUGGAGUCUGACACGUCCAUCUCACUUGUGGCAGGGGACGAAGGCACCUUCUCUGUCCAAUGUGUAUAGACGAACGUCUCGAGACGUUCUAUCCUCCGUUCCAGCUCUUCUCAGGUCCUGGGACUCAUAGGCUGGUAAUCUCUGGGGGGUGGCGGUCCAUCGUCCCUCAUGACUGCCUUGCCCUUGUCUUUGCGAGAGGGGCGAUCCGGUUCGAGCUUAGCGACCAAUUGUCGAGCUGGGUCGUCUGCUUUCCCCCUCGGGUUAUUCAGGACAGUAUAGUUAUUCGCCGGCCGUUUGCGGUUUCGGCCUGGCGGUUCGCGGAAACCUGCAUUUGGCGACAAGUCUAAUGUUAUCCUUCGUUGACCGACACGAGGCAAAACGAUGUCCGCCGUUGCGAUCAUGAAAUUGCCCUUAUUCUCAAAGCGAAUGUACUUGAGGUCGAGCCAAUCUUGAACUUGGUCCCUGAGUUGCUGACAUUCGCAAGUUCUGUGCCCCCAACUAUUAGGGAAUUUGCAGUGUAUGCGCCCUUCCUUGUAUUCUAUGUAAGGUAAGGAAUUGGCCAUUGUGACCAGGCCGUCAUCGAUAAGAUCGUCCAAAACCUCGUGAGCAAGGUCGACGUUGUAGGUAUAUUGGCGACGCGGUCGGCGGGCCUCAUUGUCACCUUCCUCGCGGCUCCUUUUAGGUGCUCAGCGUCGAUCUUCGUCCUCGGCUUGAUCAGCCCAGUUUACCUCGACCAUGCCAACCACAGGCGGGAAAGGGUCUAUAUCGACCAACGAGGCUGUACAACCCGGAGUCUUCAUCUUUAGUUCGCCAGAGUUCAGCCAUGUCUGCAACUGGUCUUGAAGCUUGACACAAUCUUUAGUGUCAUGAUUGUAAACAUUGUGGAAGGUACAGUACUUCUUGUCCUUCAAUUCUUCCUUGGGCGGGAUCUUGUGAUCCAAGCGCACGUACCUCGCCUCGAUCAGGUCAUUAAAGACCAGAUGGGCGUUCUUAGCAUCGUAGGUGUACGAUUCGUACUCUGGUUUGGUCCAUGCAAAGGACUGGAUGGUGAUUGGCUCGCGCGUCAUCUUCAGGUUUUUCAACUUGUGAGCUAAUGGCUUGCCAGUCAACUCCACUGCGCCAACAUUUUCCAGGUCCUGAUCCAUAUGAGCUUCCUCAGAUCGUUGAUAGUAUGGAUCAUAAAUAGGGGCCUAUAGGUUUAGUGCCCCCACCGUUCGGUUCUUCCCUGGUAUGUAGGUUCCUUUGGAAGCAUUUGUUUUGUCGUCCAACUCAUUCAGGAUUAGCUCGUAGCUGCCGACUUUGUUAAUCAGGUCACCCAUGGAAGCAAAGCGUUCCCCGUGAUGCUUCAACCGCUGGUGUCAGGACCUACCCUGGAUUUCCCCUUGAAAUCCGGAAUAAACCCUCGGGACCCACCUCAAGGGAAAUUCUACCAAAAUUUUGGCAUAACCUCCCUUGAAAAUGAGUAACCCUACAUGGAAGAAAAAUCACCAAAACCCAAACACUUCUAAACCAAUUCAAUCCACAUCUUCUGGAGCCAUCCGCUCCCCUAAAUAAACAUCCACAACCUCAAGCAACAAAAUAAACCGAAAUAAUUUCAUGAAUUUAAUCUCUCAUAUAACAUGCCAAAUAAACCUUUUUCAACACUCUUAAGUGGAGUCACAAGCUCUUAACUCACAACAUUAACAACAACAACAACACUUAAAACAUUCUAAGGUUAUCAGAGCAACUACUAGGAAAGAAGAAAAUACAUAGGUAGGUUAACUAGUAACCUAUGAGAGAAAACUGGAUGAGGUGGGAAAUAUGACACGCCUCGGACUCUCGCCGAACAGAUCUCUGCAGACUGGGCAUUUAAAACGAAAGGUCCAGGGGAAAGCAUUUAAAACGUUAGAGUGAGUGGGCAAAAAUAAAUAAUAAUGAACGAACUCAAUGAUAGAGUAUUUAAAUCAAAUUAAUGCUUUUCCCAAAUUUUCUAUUGAGAAAAUAUUUAUGCAUGGCAUUCAUGGAAAUUUUUCCGAAAAUAAUUAGACAAAACUAAUGAACCAAUCCCAUUGGUUCUCAAUAAAUCAAUAAAAAUAGGGAAGAGGUUUCACCAUAACAAUGAGCCUCCCAGGCUAUAAUAGCGUCCCACGCUAAGCGCUCUACUCACAUAUGAUGAGUACCGCUAAUAAGGCUAUAAUAGCGUCUCACGCUAAGCGUUCAACUCUCAUAUGAUGAGGACCGCUAAAUAAUGGCUAGCUAACAAUAAAUAUAUAUAUACCGAUCGGUUGCCUCCCAGGCUAUAAUAGCGUCCCACGCUAAGCGCUCUAUUCACAUAUGAUGAGAACCGCUAAUAAGACUAUAAUAGCGACUCACAUAUGAUGAAGACCGCUAAUAAGGUUAGCUUGUAAUAAUCUAUAUAUCUACCCUUUUAUGGUGAAGUACAAUAUUAAAAUAAAAUGAUCAACAUUUCCCUAAAUAUUAUAAUAAACUCAUAGCGCACAGUACAGUUCCCAACUGUACUUGGAAAUAAUAAAUAUCACUCGACACGUCCCACAUGUCAACUAAAAUUAGCAAGAGAGUUCCGGAAAAUAUAUGGAACUCGAUAAUCCAACCAAAUAUUAUAUCUCCAAAUGCCUUUGAAAUUAGAUAAAUUUAGCGCAUGCACGAUAUUAAAAUCAAAUGUCCACUCACAGUGCUCGGCUAUGCUUGCCGACGGCCCGAGGCUUCCUUCAAAUGAUCCUCCUCACGUCCUGAACAAUAAAUAAUCAUUAAGCAUCCAAACCAGGACAAAACUUUAAUAAAAUUUCCGAAAUAAAAUGGAAGCCUAUAAUUUCAUUUCUCUUGCCCAACUUCUCCACUUUUUACCUAAUAAGGCUCACAUUACUCCGCACUUGCCGAAAGCCAUAAUUUAACCUUUUUAGACUUUAAAACCUGCUAAACCAACUGCUGGAUUUCUAUUCGAAUAACCGCUUAAAUCCUUUAUCAUUGAUAAAUCCCAAACCUUAUCAAAUCUUCUCCAAAAAUUCCCAACUAUACUUCAUUAAACUCCUCUCAUUAAAACAAACCCAAAAAGCAUGAAAAACUGCCCCUAAGGGGCGGUGGUGGCGGCCGGCAGCCGUUUUCGGGCGACCUCCAAUGCUUCUCAAAUUUUCACAGGAUAUUCCUCUCAUCAUGCUCAACAACAUUCAUAACUAAUACUUAGUCCAUUUCUAAGGCUAACUAGGGCAAACAAAUCAAAACUUUCUUAAAUCCCUAAAAACUUCAAGUAUACAUUUCUCCAUAACAACAACGAACUAGACUAAUUCCUUUUGAGGGAAUACUCACCUUGAUGAGAGCUACAAGAUGAGCCAAAGAUUCCGACCUAUGGUGGCUGGAGGUGAGAUUUCCGGCAAAAAGCUUCCCGGCGUCUCCGGCGAGUUUUCUCCUCUUCCGGCGGGCUAACAGCUUGGGGGCUAGGCCGGGGAGGGAGAGGAGGUGAUGGGGGUCAGAACUGGGGUGGGCUGGUAGCUGGUGGCUGGCCGGACGGUGGCAGGCCACGCUGGGAAAAUCCAGCAGAAAAGAGGGCUCGGGGAGACUCACGGGAGAAAGAAAGAGGGAGAAGGAAGAGAAGAGAGAAAAUGAGGGGGGGGGGGGGAGGGUCUUGGGCUGCUCCACAGCUGGCCCAACAAUAAAACCCAACUGAAAAUUACACCCACUAAAUUUUUUUACCCCAUUUUUACCAUCUCAAAAAAAAUUACUCUUUUAAAUCAUAACUUUUUCAUGCUAACUCCGAUAUUAACACAUAGCAUGUCUACGAACUCGUAAUAACGUCCUCUACGACUUUCAUGAAGAAAGUUUUCCCAAAUUCCAAACGCAAGAAAAAAUCAACUCUAGGGUCCUUAAGUGGUAAACGGUUACUUAACACGGUAAAAGACCAAAAUAAUACCAAAGUAAAUAACCGUAAAAUAACUUAAGAACCGAGGUGUGACAAUUCUCCCCUCCUUAUAAAAAUUUCUUCCUCGAAAUUUACAUACCUGUCAAUCAAAGAGAUAAGGAUAUUGCUGCCUCAUUUUCUCUUCCGGUUCCCAAGUGGCUUCCUCUAUUUGAUGACUCCUCCAUAGAACUUUAACCAGCGGAAUCGUUUUGUUCCUAAGCACUUACUCCUUUCGAUCAAGAAUCUAAACCGGUUCCUCCACAUAUGACAAAUCUUUCUUCAAACUUAUCGGUUGCUCUUGCAAGACAUGAGAGGGAUCGGCAAUAUACUUGCGUAGCAUGGAUACAUAGAAAACACUAUGUAUCCGGGACAGCUCUGAAGGUAGCUCCAAUCGAUAAGCAACUGUGCCAACCCGCUCUACAAUCUCAUAAGGACCAAUAUACCUCGGGCUAAGCUUUCCCCGUUUACCAAAACGCACUACUCCCUUCCAAGGGGAUAAUUUCAAAAAUAUCCGAUCACCCACUUGAAACUCAAGGUCCUUUCUGCGAUUAUCUUCAUAACUCUUCUGCCUAUUUUGAGCUGCUUUAAGCCUAUCUCUAAUCAUUUUGAUCUUCUCAUUCGUAUCCUGAAUAAUCUCUAGACCAUAAAAUUCUUUUUCUCCCACCUCAUUCCAACAUAGAGGUGUACGACACUGCCGCUCAUAAAGCGCUUCAAAGGGAGUCAUACCUAUGCUAGAAUGAAAACUAUUAUUGUAGGCAAAUUCUAUCAAUGACAAAUUCUUAUCCCAACUCCCUUUGAAUUGCAUAGCACAUGACCUCAACAUGUCCUCCAUGGUCUGAAUAGUCCUCUCGGACUGCCCGUCCGUUUGAGGAUGAAAGGCUGUGCUGAAGUGCAACUGAGUGCCCAAAGCUUCCUGCAAAGCUCCCCAGAAUUUAGAAACAAAUCUGGGAUCCCGAUUGACGGGUGCAAAACCUGCAUCAAAUAAACCCUUUUUAUCGUUAGUAGCAUUGAGUAAGUAGGGUAUCGUAUAGGGCCGGGGAUUGAGGGUACCUUGCAAAACAAAGCGUUAGAAAAACACAACAAAUAUUAACAAGUAAUAAAACAUUUAAACAAUUUACAAAAGUAGCUACUGUUCCAUAGAACAGCAGUCGAAAACCUAAUUAAAAACCUAACCUAAACUACUCAGAAAAAUAUGAAAAUUUACAGAGAUCUACUAGACACAUAGAGGAACUAGUGUAUAAAUUUUCAGGGGAUUCGGAGAUUGUUUGAUACGAAAAUAAAAUAAAAGAAAACAGAGAACAGAAGAGUGACGAAAAUCCUAAACUAAAAAGAAACAAAAACCUAAGCUACUAUAUACAUGUGAUCGUCUCUUUGCACACAAGAAAACACUAAAUCAGAUUCAUAUAAUCAAGUAGCUAUGUAAUUUCAACCCUAACAACCUAAAUCAUGCAUAUGGAGAAACGAAUCAAAUUCCAUGUUUCAAGUAAUUUACCGACGCGGACUUAACUACUUAAAAACCCUUCUAACCUCUCAUAGAUAUGUACCGACGCGGACUUCAUAUCCAAAAUNNNNNNNNNNNNNNNNNNNNNNNNNNNNNNNNNNNNNNNNNNNNNNNNCUUUAAUGCUGCAUCAAUACACCACCAAACCCUGCCUAGAAGCGUCGCAAUAAACCACAUACUCUCCACUAUCAUCAGGAAGUGCUAGAACUGGAGUACUAGUUAAAUGAUCCUUGAGCUCUUGAUAGCUCUGCUCACACUACUCGGACCACUCAAACUUAACCCCUUUCCUAGUCAAUCUUAUAAGAGGAGCAACAAUCUUUGAGAAAUCUUCACUACCAGAAGAAAGGCUUUAGCCGACGAAGCAUUUUUUCGUCGGCUAAAGUCCACUUUAGCCGACGAAAUUUUCUUUCGUCGGCUAAAGAAUUUAUUUCGUCGGCUAAAGUUCACAAACUAUGGUCGACGAAAUAUUUAAAAGUUUAGCCGACGAAAUUAAUAUGUCGUCGGCUAAACUGCUUUAUAUUUGCGGAUCUGGACAGCAGCAGCUCAUCUGGGAAAAAAAACGGGAGAAAAAGUUUGGGUGUUGUCGAAAUCUGUCCAUAAUUAGUUUGUGGAGCCAUAUAUAGUUGCGGUCAAUGCAAUUUUCCAUUCUUUCUCCCUAUGGGUAGCCCUAUCUUCGGUGGUUAUUUUGCAUAAAAUUUUUAUAGGACUUGUUGCGUCUCAUCGGUUUGAAACUAUUUUCAGUUGAAGGUCCGGCCAAAAUACGUAAUUUAGACAGUCCAAUGACCUUUUCUGUGCGUUUAGGGGUUUGACUUAACGGAUUGACCGUCCGGAUCGAGCCCUUAACCUUGUCGGAUCAAGUUGAAUUUUUUCCCAUACAUGUAUUUUAUCAUGAUGGUCAGAUCUGACUGUCGGAUUUUUGUUCUAAAGUUUGAUCAUCACGAGCAGCAGUCACAGUUUGACGAAUGUAUAAAAAGUUAUAAAGCCGACGAAUUUAAAUGGUUAUAGCCGACGAAUUUUGUGUUUAGCGGACGAAUUUCAUAGGUUUAGCGGACGAAUUUCAAAGGUUUAACCGACGAAUUUUAUCUUAGCCGACGAUAUUAUUAUCUUUAGCCGACGAAAUAAUUAUUUCAUCGGCUAAAGUGUUAGGUUAGCCGACGAAAUUAUUACCUUUAGCCGACGAAAUAAUUAUUUCGUCGGCUAAAGUGUUCGGUUAUAACCCAGCGCUCGACUGGUUGUAAACCCUAGCCUCCUUUUCCUCUCCCUCUCCGAAUUUCCCCUCCUCCGCCUCCGCUCCCUCGGUNNNNNNNNNNNNNNNNNNNNUUUAAAUAGGAUGAGCGGUAAUAUUAGAUCGACGAAGGGUUCGAAGGGCCAAAGGUCCGUAUCGUCUGAGGGAACCUCUAGCAACCCUCAGACGUCGUUUCAGGGCCUCAUGACAGCUAGACAUGCGAGCCUUCUGCAGACGGCGCAGAGGCAGCCGGAGGUGCCCCCUUCAUCGAGGCAGCGGGGCUUCCCUCAUUCCUCGAGGUAGUUGUUUGCUCAGCCUCAGACGGAGGUGUCUGCACCCCGUAUGCCUGAGAUACACCAGGCGCCCACUCCAGCUCCUACUUCUUCGGAUAGUGGGUCAUCUGGGGUACAGAUGCCGCCGCCUCACCUAUUCCUUCCGCGGAUGAUACCGGCCAUACCUGUAGUCGAUGACUCAGGGACGCCGAUUUAUCCACUGCCCCCGCUAGUGGCUCCAUCAGCGGCGUACCGGUUCGUGCCUUUUGAUACGCCUCUUAUUUCCGCGAGGGUAUCAUCAUCGGAGGCGGAAUCCGUCGCGUCCGCCUCCUCGCCCUCAGGUAAUGAAAGAUGAAUGAUGUGUUUUCUUAUAAUUCUCCGAUUUUAAUAAUCAAUUUGGUUUAUCAUGUGAUAGGCACCGUCAGAGCGAAGCCGGCAAAAAAGAAGAGAGGCCCCGUCACAGGGAAGGCUCUCGAGAAGAUCGUCGGUACCUCAGGGAGGAUUGUCAUCGGUACUGACGGGGAUGGCGACGUAGUAUCGGGCGGGAAGUCGAGGACGUACUCCGGCUGCGUGGGAGCGCUCAUUAGGGAUAGAGUCCCUAUGUUGUGGUCAGACUGGGGAGAGGUCCCGCAGGAGGUUAAGGACAUGGUCCACAACGCGAUGUCGGUGAGUUUAUAAAAUGCCUGAAUAAUAUUAUGUAUUACAUUGUAGAUUUUUGGAAAAACUAAACUAAUAAACGGUUAAAUGCAGGCGUGGUUUGAGGUUCCCGAGCCCUUGAAGAGCAGCUGGGUGGACUUUGUGCAUGGAGGAAGGUACGUUGGGAAAUUAAUGAAAAAACAAAACUGUAUGUCAUAUUAAUAAUAUUUCUAAUAUUUUUGUUGUAUCUGUAGGUACAAGGAGUGGAAGAACGAGUUGCGGACCUAUUGGACUACGCACGGGAACGCACGUUUUGCUACCCCUGCUGAGUUCCAGUACAGAGAGUACGAGUGGCGUUGGCUUCUGACAUCAGAAUUCAACAACCCUCGUAAACAGGUAUUUAAAUAAAUUAAUUAGUUAAUUUAUCAUUAAGUACGUGCGUUUUAAAAUAUUUUACUAAUAGUUUACUUUUUUCUUUGAAGGCGGUUUCUCGGGUGAACACUCAGAACCAGCAACGCAACACAAGGAACCAUCAUGCCGGUUCUAGACCGUUCGCUGUUUUCAUGGACGAGGCGGCCAGGGAACAUCCAAAGGUCAACUAGUACGUCUAUACGUACGAGAGGGCAUAUCCUGACUCCCAGGAGGAUAUAGUAAGUACUCUUUCCUUUUUACGGAAUUUUUAAUUUUACUUAUAUAUAUGUCAAAAUGUUAAUUAAUAAUUUUUUUCCUAUCUAAUUAGGCAAAGGUGAGGGAGGCUAGUGACGAGGUGAUGAGUGCUAUAGUGAGGGAGACAUGGCCGGACACGCAGGAGGAAGAGAUGUCUGAAGCCAUUUCCCGGAUCGACACUUCAGAUCCGAGGGUUGGGGCGAGGAUCAUGGGCACAGCCUUCCCACUACGAGAAAACAACUUCUACUGCCGGGGUCUAGGAAAGAAGGGCCAGGGGGUCCUGAAGACCACUCUAGGAUUUCAACGAAAGGCAGCCUCGACCAACAGCAGGACGACUUAGCUAGAGUCGGAAGUUGAGAGACUACGGGAACAGUAAGCCGCUCAGGCUGCCGCUCAUGCUGCUCAGGCUGACGCUCAGGCUGCUCAGGCUGCCGCUCAUGCCGCCCAGAUUGCAGAAUAUAGAGCCUAUACUAGAGCCCUACAUGCCGCCCAGCAGGCCCAGUAGCAGCAGAUGUUCCAGUACUUCCAGGAUUUUACAACUGCUCAGCUUCAGGGACUUCCACCUCCGCCCAUGCCUGCGCCUAUACAGUUACCUCUACCGCCGCAAUCUCCUCACCAGCAGACCCCAGAUUCGGAUAUUGAUUUAGACCAUCUAGAUUUUGUGUAGUUGAUACCUUAUAUAGUUUUAUGUGCUUCUUGUUGGUUAUAUAUAUGGAAUUGUUUUGGUGUAUUUUGCAGCUUGCUUGGAAUGGUAAUUUAAGAAUUUCGUGUAUUUUUUUUUACUGGAAUGGCGUUAUAGCCGACGAAACAUGCCACAAUUCGUCGGCUAUAGUAAAUUUUUUUUUUUCCAAAGGGUUUAGCGGACGAAUUAUGGCAUGUUUCGUCGGCUAAACACUACUAAAGCCGACGAAACAGACUCUAUGUCGUCGGCUAUAGUUAUUUUUAAAUAUUUUAAUUAUAUACUUUAGCCGACGAAUAUCUCUGUUCCGUCGGCUAAAGUCUGUGAGUAAAGCCGACGAAUAUUCUGUUCGUCGGCUUAAGUCUGAGAGUAUAACCGACGACACAGGACGGCUAUACUUUGGCAUAACCCGGACCUACCCUGGAUUUCCCCUUGAAAUCCAGAAUAAACCCUGCGGGACCCACCUCAAGGGAAAUUCUACCAAAAUUUUGGCAUAACCUCCUUUGAAAAUGAGUAACCCUACCUGGAAGAAAAAUCACCAAAACCCAAACACUUCUAAAACAAUUCAAUCCACAUCUUCUGGAGCCAUCCGUUCCCCCAAAUAAACAUCCACCACCUCAACCAACAUAAUAAAUUGAAAUAAUUUCAUGAAUUUAAUCUCUCAUAUAACAUGCCAAAUAAACCUUUUUCAACACUCUUAGGUGGAGUCACAAGCUCUUAACUCACAACAUUAACAACAACAACAACACUUAAAACAUCCCAAGGUUAUCAGAGCAACUAUUAGGAAAGAAGAAAAUACAUAGGUAGGUUAACUAGUAACCUAUGAGAGAAAACUGGAUGAGGUGGGAAAUAUGACACGCCUCCUACUCUCGCCGAACAGAUCUCUGCAGACUGGGCAUUUAAAACGAAAGGCCCAAGGGAAAGCAUUUAAAACGUUAGAGUGAGUGGACAAAAAUAAAUAAUAAUGAACAAACUCAAUGAUAGAGUAUUUAAAUCAAAUUAAUGCUUUUCCCAUAUUUUCUAUUGAGAAAAUAUUUAUGCAUGCCAUUCUUGGAAAUUUUUCUGAAAAUAAUUAUAGACAAAACUAAUGAACCAAUCUCAUUGGUUCUCAAUAAAUCAAUAAAAAUAGGGAAGAGGUUUCACCAUAACAAUGAGCCUCCCAGGCUAUAAUAAGUGCUCUACUCCCAUAUGAUGAGGACCACUAAUAAGGCUAUAAUAGCGUCCCACGCUAAGCGCUCAACUCUCAUAUGAUGAGGACCGCUAAAUAAUGGCUAGCUAACAAUAAAUAUAUAUAUACCGAUCGGUUGCCUCCCAGGCUAUAAUAGCGUCCCACACUAAGCGCUCUACUCACAUAUGAUGAGAACCGCUAAUAAGACUAUAAUAGCGACUCACAUAUGAUGAGGACCGCUAAUAAGGUUAGCUAGCAAUAAUCUAUAUAUCAACCCUUUUAUGGUGAAGUACAAUAUUAAAAUAAAAUGAUCAACAUUUCCCCAAAUAUUAUAAUAAACUCAUAGCGCACAGUGCAGUUCCCAACUGUACUUGGAAAUAAUAAAUAUCACUCGACAUGUCCCACAUGUCAACUAAAAUUAGCAAGAGAGUUCCGGAAAAUAUAUGGAACUCGAUAAUCCAACCAAAUAUUAUAUCUCCAAAUGUCUUUGAAAUUAGAUAAAUUUAGCGCAUGCACAAUAUUAAAAUCAAAGGUCCACUCACAGUGCUCGGCUAUGCUUGACGACGGCCCGAGGCUUCUUCCAAAUGAUCCUCCUCACGUCCUGAACAAUAAAUAAUCAUUAAGCAUCAAAACCAGGACAAAACUUUAAUAAAAUUUCCGAAAUAAAAAGGAAGCCUAUAAUUUCAUUUCUCUUGCCCAACUUCUCCACUUUUUACCUAAAAAGGCUCACAUUACUCCGCACUUACCGAAAGCCAUAAUUUAACCUUUUUAGACUUUAAAACUUGCUAAACCAACUGCCGGAUUUCUAUUCGAAUAACCGCUUAAAUCCUUUGUCAUUGAUAAAUCCCAAACCUUAUCAAAUCUCCUCCUAAAAUUCCCAACUAUACUUCAUUAAACUCCUCUCAUUAAAACAAACCCAAAAAGUAUGAAAAACUGCCCCUAAGGGGCGGCAGCGGCCGGUAGCCGUUUUCCGGCGACCUCCAAUGCUUCUCAAAUUUUCACAUAAUAUUCCUCUCAUCAUGCUCAACAACAUUCAUAACUAGCACUUAGUCCAUUUCUAAGGCUAACUAGGGCAAACGAAUCAAAACUUCCUUAAAUCCCUAAAAACUUCUAUUAUACAUUUCUCCAUAACAACAACGAAAUAGACUAAUUCCUUUUGAGAGAAUACUCACCUUGAUGAGAGCUACAAGAUGAGCCAAAGAUUCCGACCUAUGGUGGCUGGAGGUGAGAUUUCCGGCAAAAAGCUUCCCGGCGUCUCUGGCGAGUUUUCUCCUCUUCCGGCGGGCUAACGGCUUGGGGGCUAGGCCGGGGAGGGAGAGGAGGUGAUGGGGGUCAAAACUGGGGUGGGCUGGCAGCUGGUGGCUUACCGGACGGUGGCAGGCCACGCUGGGAAAAUCCAGCAGAGAGAAAAUGAGGGGGAGGGGGGGGGGUCUUGGGCUGCUUCACAGCUGGCCCAACAAUAAAACCCAACUGAAAAUUACACCCACUAAAUUUUUUACCCCAUUUUUACCAUCUCAAAAAAAAUUACUCUUUUAAAUCAUAACUUUUUCAUGCUAACUCCGAUUUUAACACAUAGCAUGUCUACGAACUCGUAAUAACGUCCUCUACGACUUUCAUGAAGAAAGUUUCCCAAAUUCCAAACGCAAGAAAAAAUCAACUCUAGGGUCCUUAAGUGAUAAACGGUUACUUAACACGGUAAAAGACCAAAAUAAUACCAAAGUAAAUAACCGUAAAAUAACUUAAGAACCGGGGUGUGACAGCUGGCGGUGCUCCAGGCCUCUAAUAACCAACUGAAUGGCUUCCUGCUCAGGUAGCAGGUAAUCACACUUGGCUUGCUGGAUCUUGAAACGUUGGAGGAAAGAAACUCUAGACUCCAUGCUUUGCUGGCUCAUCUGUGUGAGGGAGUCGAGGCCGACCUCAGGCUCAAUUGUGCCAUACGUCUCCCGAAAAAGUCUUUCCAUAGUGGGCCAGUCUGCUAUUGACCCAGGCUUCAAUCUAGAGUACCAAGUGAAAGCAGCUCAGGAUAGAGAAGUCCCAAAAAGUUUGAGCUUGAGCAUAUCAUCAUUCCCGUAUUGGCCGCAUUGGACCUUGAAACGGGCCAUGUGUGUUGCUGCAUCUUCCCUUGUCUCCCCAGAGAAAGUGGUGAAGACAAUAUUCUUGAACCCUUGAGGGAAGGGAUAUUGUGCCACGUUAUCAGGGUAGGGGUUACGGUAAUGCAAGUUAGCAUCACCCUUUCCGGUUUGCUCCUUGACUAUGCUCUAGAUGAGCUGGCACCAAUCGGCUGCCGUUACUGGUGUGGAUUCUGCCCCCUGAUCGUGGUUGUGCCAUGCAGAGAGGCUAGGGGCCUGCACGAUGUUCUUAGGGGCUGAACUAGAAUAAGCUAUAACUGGGUCAUCUGGUGUCCCGAUCCCUUGAUAUGGAGAACUACCAAUGCCCCUUAGUGUGACUCCAGGGCUGUACGGCGAAAGUAGAAGGGGUGGCGUCUUUAACGAACUGGCCCCAAAUGUAAAUUGGGGAGUCUUCUGGGCCCCGACCUUCGGAUUUCCCCUAGGGCGUUCAUUAGGUGGAAUGUACCUUGAACCCUCAGUUGCACCUGAACUAGUUAAGUUCAGAGCAUGAUUCUUUGGUGCCUGAGACCGCAUCCAGUCUUUCACUUGCAGGACCCUUAAGCUCAGAUUAUCAUGUCGUUCUUUGUAGUCCUCAAGCUUUUCCAUGCCAUUCUUACUUCCAAAGAAGGAAGCGUCCUGCUGUUACUGUAUCUUGGUAUCGUGUUCGUCCAAGCGACGGGUUUGCUCAUCCACGGUUGUGCGGGUAAGCUUCAGGGUUUCUGUGAAAGCCGCCUUGCUCUGGUUCAAUUCUUUCUGGAUCCUUUGAAGGGAACCUUCCACCAAGUCCUUAUUUUCCCUGACUUGACCAGCAACGUAGUUAAACUCCUCGCUGAGCUUAGAAAGGUUUUCUUGGUUAGCAAGCCAGAUGGUUCUAUCCUUCGUGACCUUUUCAGAUAGGUCCUUGACGCUUUGCUGGGUGGUGUCGACUUUCGAGCUGAGCGAGUUGAGAUCAUUCUUCAGUUCCCCAAACAUCUGGCGGACUUCAUCUGCGGGCAGAGUAGGUCCUGCAUCCUGGGUUGGUCGUGAACCUGUCAUUGUGGUUUUGCUAGAGUCGGGGUUGCCAAACUGGGUGAGAACCUCUUCUUGGGUGAGAGAUAGGCAAGCCGCGCUGUUAUGGGGCUUGUAUCGUGGAGAUUUAUGUUUCAGACAGAAAUCGAGGGUCUCCCGUAUGGGGAUCCGCCUGACUUCCCAAUGAUGAUGAGAAUGUUAUACUCCCGGUCCCACUGGGCAUGCCAAUGUUUUGGCCAUGUGUCUCAGCAGGGGCAGAGUUGGGACUCCGGUGACUUAAAAGUAAAAAUAAGGUUUCGGGCGUGCCACCUCGCGGACGAGGAAAGAAUGCGUUGUGUUAGACUUCUAAACAAGCAAAAAAGGGGUUUCCGGUGCCACCUCGCGGACGAGGGAUUACGAGCAAAACCUCUAGUCACCUGUGAAUCGAUACUCACUGUCAGAGCGAGCAGAGCAACAAAUAGGAAGAAAGGGCGAAUCCGUAAGGGAUCUAAGAACUAAGGCGAGGUGCGCUUAGAACUUUAGGGUUUCGAGGAUACUCGAAGAUUUGUAGUAGUUUUGUAUGAUUUGAUUGUGUGUCUUUUGAUUGUCGUCAAGCUCCCUUAUAUAGCACUUCGCCGCUAGCUGACAGGUCUUUAAUCACAAACCCAUUCGGACUCAACAAAUAGAAUCCUACUAGGACACAACUCGCCCUCGAACUGUGCUACCCACGUGACACGUGUUAUAACGGACUCCGCUUAGACUUCUACUGUCGUCCGCCUCGCCAAGAACUGUAGACUCCUACGUGAACUAAAACGAGGAUCUCGCGAACCUCGCGGGGUACCAAAGUCCUUGCCAAAUUCUACCUCGCGCGCUGCCAAAGCUCGCCACCUUACAUGGGCUUCAUAUUAAAAAAGGGGCCACAGGUACUGGCCCAAAUGUUAUCAAAACUUAAUAGCGAGUCUUGGACCAAAAUCCCCGCUGGGCUCAAACAGAUAACUUGUUGCAGAAAAAAGAAAGUAAAAAGAGAAGAAAAUAGUUGGGUUAAAUAUUGUAUAGUCCAUGUGGUUUGAAGUCGACAUAUGUUCAGUUCUUAUGAUUUCAUUUUAAUCUGAAUGGUCCAUAAAGUCAUGAUUUUCUUUCUAAAUGGUCAUUCUAUUAAUUUUCUCAAUUAGACUGCUGACGUGGCUAUUAAAAUUUGCAAUGUUUUUAACGGUUACAUCAGUAUUUUAACAGAAAAAAUUGACAGACAGAGCAUCUGGAUAGAAAAUCGUGACUUUAAAGACUAUUCAGAUUAAAAUGUAAUCACAAUGACUGAACAUAUGUCAACUUCAAAACACAAGAACUAAACAAAUUUCAAUUCAAAAUAGUUUUAGUAGAGAAUAUUUCAUUGAUAAUAUACGUGCCUUUAUUUACAGAGAAAUACUAUAUACAAUCUUUCCUUAAUCUCUAAUUGAUUGCUCCUAGAUUGACUAAGUACACACAAAUAAGUUUUAUACAAUGAUAUAUUAGCAUAUACUCCUAUACAUGAUUGACAAGUUUGACAUGAUUGAUAUCUAUCCACAAACUUUAGGAGGUUGUAAAAUGAUCUUUUUUUCGAUGAGCUAUUUUUUAUUUAUCAAUAAAUAAACUCAGAUACUAUAACGAGUCUGUUGUGAGUCGAACUCACGAUCUCCCACAUACAAAAGGGGACUUAUGUCACUAGACCAAAUGGUACUACGCGAUGAGCUGUGUUUUUAUGAGGUUGGAAUGAGCUGUAAUUUUUUAGGAUUUUAUUUCCUAUUCUAUUUAUUUGAUUUUAUAGGUAUAAAUAUUGUAUUCAUGACUUACCUUAUUAUACAAAGACAUAUUAGUAUAUAUUCUCUCUCAUAGACAAACAUAAACCCAUCACAUAAUUCUAUAGUAUUAGCUUGUCAUUGAAAAACCUCCGACUUAUAUACAACAAGCUAAAACUAUACUUUUGUUGUUAAAGAUGCGUUGAAGAGUGUGUUUGUGGUGCUAAUGAUGGUGUUUAUGUGUAUCACCCCUGGAAAUGCAGUAGAUCCGGAUUGUCAAGACGAGUGCAAUUAUUAUUGCGGAGACAAUAUUACAUGUUUCAUGAGAUGUAUAAGGCAGUGUCCUGGCACUGAUAGGGCUCAAAAACCUUUGGAUCACGAUCAACAUCACCACUGCAAACUUGGCUGCUCAGCAACCGUGUGCCUCAAAUAUAAGAAUGGUAUGCACUCAUUCUCUUUCCCUCCAAAUGUUUCUAUCUGACAUACAUGUGUAUAUAGCUAAUUGUAUUUUUCAUGGCAGAUAAACUGAAGAUGGGAAAAUGCAUAGAUCAUUGCGCAUACAAAACUUGCAACAUCAAAACUCCUAAUUAUUGAAGGCAUAUGUUACAGCAUCUAUGAGAAUUUUGUUCAAUAAAGUACCUUAUGCUUAAACUGUUUGACAUUCUUUUAAUCAUAAAAUAAUAAAUUAUUUGCAUACUAUAUAGACAAUAUAUGUGUGGUAAUAGUUUGAUGUAGGAUUCUUAACCACUAGAUAGAAAAUGAUCAAAUUUUUCCCACUGAAAAAAAAAAAACAUAAUAGCCAAAAAUAACAACAAAAUGACCAUAUGACCCAUAAUUAAAGAAUUACACAAUGCUGACACUCUCUCUUCUCACUCUCACUCAUGUCUGGAAAAAAAAUCUGUUCUCAUCUCUCACCCUCGAUCUGAAACAUAAUUAAAAAAAUGAAAAAAUCGAGUAUCCCCAACUAGCCCCCCAACUAGUUCUCUAGGCGCUAGUCUCUGGCCUUCCGAACCGAUUAUACCCGACUAAUCUUUAGGCGCUGAUCUCCAGCCUUCUGCCCGACUAUCAUCUAGCAUUUUUUAAAACAUUGACUGCAAAACAAAAACAAAUCCACAUGUCAAUUACAUUGCGAUAACCAAAUAACCAACAACUCAUGUACCAAUACAAGCACUUAUUGCCAGCUAUUUGCGUGGAAUACCACAUCACGUAUCAACUUAAACAUCACGCAAAAAAUAGUGAGGGCAUUGCAUUCCUUGUUUGCAUCCUUAAUUUCCAUUUCCAAGCUACAUGAAUAUUUCACGAGGUAUCCCAAUCAUACACUUCUAUGAGAUACAUUCGAUUUCCGGAAUCACUUUGCAUCUCAUAAGCAUCUUGUCGAUACAACUUGUUCUCCUCUAAUAUGAUCAUUCUUUAUCGAUACCGUUGUACUUAGUAGGUUUGUAGUUAAGCAAUUUCUUUCCAAUUCAACCUCCACUUUUCACUAAACUCUUAAGAACGAUGCAAUAAAAUCACACUAAUUCCCAAAAAAAAUAGAAAGCAACCUUUGGCCCGGUACUCAGUGGCGGAGCUAGGAUUUCAAGGUUGGGAGGGUCCAAGUAAAAAGCUCAAGAACAAAUAUUUUUUUCCCAUAAAUUUACCAUGGAAAAGAAGAUAAAUGUACUAAAUCUCAUUAAGAAUACUAGCUAAAUGGAAAAUAAAUAUAACAAAUAUGAUAUUAUGAUUAGAUAACACAAAAUUAAACCUAUCAAAUGUUUGAGUUUGACCUAAUAAAUAUUAAUACGAAAUUAGAUUUGGCUAUAAUAUAAGGGGGUUCAUUAACAAAAUUAAGGGUAAAUUUGCUAUAACUAAACUACCCAAUUAAAGGUAAUUAAGAGAAUUAAAAAACCCAACCGGGGUCCGGACCCUCCCGGGCCGUAAUGUAGCUCCGCCACUACCGGUACUCAACUAAAAUUUAGAAAACUCACCACGACCAAAUGGUAAGGGGUAUUUUGUAGCCAAAAAGGUUUAAUUUUUUAGAAGGUCAAGAAUCAAGUAAAACCUUUGCUCUGAAAACAUGUGCGUCAACUUUAGAAUAGGGCCAAUUACAUAGAAGUCCACUUUGAGACAUUUUAUCCUAUAUAAGUCCACCCAAACAUUUUUACCCACAUAAGUCCACCCAAGCCUAAAUAAAGGUAUUAAAGUUCAACUAAAUUACAGAUUGCCAUCCAACCAAAAAAUUAGAAUUUCUCUCUUAUAUUUACAAAAAUGCCACUAAAUAAAAAAGUCAACAACCACUCUCUUACCCGGAAAAGUCUCCGGCAGACCUCCGGCGAGGUCUCUGACGGACUCCGGUCGACCUCCGGCAUUGUCUCCGGCCGACCUUCGACGAGGUUUCCGACGGUUACAAAAGCUACUACCGCCACCAAUAAAAACUACUAUCCCUAGCUUGAAAAGCUACUACCACAGACUACAAAAGCUACUACCGUCAACAACAAAAGCUACUAUCCCUAGCUUUUUACUACCACCGAUUACAAAAGCUACUACCGCCAGCAAGAAAAACUACUAUCGCCAGCAACAAAAGCUACUAUCCGUAGCUAGAAAAGCUACUACAACCAACAACAAAAGCUACUACCACCGACUACAAAAGCUAUUACCGUCACUAACAAAAACUACUACUGCCAGCAACAAAAACUACUACUACCACCAACAAAAGCUACUACCAUCAGAAAUUAAAACUACUACUGUCAGCAGCAAAAGCUACCAUAAUUCGUAAUAAAAGCUACUACUAAGCACAAUAAAANNNNNNNNNNNNNNNNNNNNGAGAGAGAGAGAGGGAACCAAAUGAAUGGGUGAGAGGCAGAGGUGAGAGAUGUGAGAUAUUUUGAAGCAUAAGGGUAAUAUAGUCAUGAUAAAAACAAUUGAGCUUGUAAAGUGGACUUGUGUGGGUAAAAAUAUUAGAAUGGACUUAUUAAGAAGAAAAUGUCUCCAGAUAGACUUAUAUGAAAUUUUCUAUUUAAAAUAUCACAACAGGAAUUUUCCUAACCCUUCAGAAAAGGCAUUGGCACUUUGAAAUCUAUGAUGCGAAAUUUUCAUAAAACGUGAAGUCGUGAAUUACACCGGCUUUAAAGAAUGAAACAUUGUAUUUACUAAAUCUUUAGCUAUUAUCAACGAAAUUGUAGUCGAUCGGUAUCAUGAUAGCAUUGGCAAUUUAAAAAAUUAAAUUAGAUUUCCAAUGCAUCGUAAGGAGACCAAUUCUACAGGAGAAAACCCCUUUAGUGACAAAAGUUUAGAUGACUUGACUCAUUUACGUCAAUAAUACCCGUAUUGUAACAGUUACGUCACUCAAAUGAAAAUCUUAUCCUUAUGCCUAUUCCAAUGAUUUUUAAGAAAAAUACGUUAUUACCUUGUGUUUAAUUAAACCCACACAAUUUUUAUCUCUUUCUUCUUCUUCUCUCUUCCCGAUCCAUCUGGAUUCCUCUCUCUCUCUCUCUCUCUCUCUUGCCGGCAAAGCAUCGGCGAUCUGAAUCCCGGAUGACGCGAAUCAUCAGAGAUCUGAAGCACCGGCGACGCGAAUCAUCGGGGACGUGAAACACUAGUGACAACGCCGACAAGGUUACAUCCCUCACAUCGGUUCGUCACCGCCCGAUCUAACCGCCAUCACCUUCUAUUCUCGUCGCAGCAAUCAGAUCCGGCCAUCCCGCCUCCUUUCACUCUCACGUCAUGUAUAGAUCGAGUUCACCUCCAUCUCCGGCGACUGUUCGACGCUACCAUCACAACGUCAGUCGACUAGGUUGCUUCGUGGAGGCCAUGAAUGAGUCAAGGUGUUAUAUAUGGUAGGUAAGUGUUGUACGGCUGGAUAUAUCCAUUUAUACAUAUGUAUAUAUGGGGCAGUGAUUGUGGGAACUGGGAAGAGAAUCAACGUUUGAACUCAAGCAAUUUUAUAUCAUUUGAAGUGAUGAAAACCUGACUCAUUGUAUUACAUCUUCUGUUUACUCCAAUUUAUGAUAUCUGAGGGAGGGAAGCAAUGCCGGUGAGAGGUGGAGGAGCUCCGGCGAGAAUGGGGGAAUGACAGUGGUUAAGCUAUAGUUAAUUUUUUUUAACUAGAGGUAAGUAAAUAUUUUACUAGGGUUCAAUAAAUAGAAAAUUUGAUUAUUUAGGGUCAGUAACUAAGUUAUUAGGGGUCAGUAACUGAUUAUUGAGGGUCAGUAACUAAGUUAUUAGGGGUCAGUAACUGAUUAUUGGGGAUCAGUAAUUGAGUUACCGGUGACGGGAAUCCGGCGACGGGAGAAAAUUUGAGUUACUAGGGGUUAGUAAUUGAUUAUUGGGGGUCAGUAACCAAGAUUAUUGGGGGUCAGUAACUGAUUAUUGGGGGUCAGUAACCGAGUUACCGGUGACCGGAAUCCGGCGACCGGCGAAAAUUUGAGUUACUGGGGGUUAGUAACCAAGUUACCGGUGACUUGAAUCUGGCGACCGGGGAAAUCAGGCAACCAAAGUUCGGCGACCGGUGACCGGAGUCCAGUGAGGGCCAAUUAUUCUCUCUCUUCCACUUUCUCUCUCUAUGCAUGUUUAAGGGGUGAGGGUAAAAUAGUCUUAAAAUAAUAUGGUUUGUUAAGACUUUAGUAAAGAUUUGUGCAUUUGGCCAUAAAAAGGGUUACCUUAUAUUGGAAUGGGCUCAUGAAAGAGAUUAUCAUUGAAAUGGGGAAUGAGAGGUUUAAAUUAGUACUAAAUUGGCAUUUUCCCUUAUUUUUAUCUCGUAUUGUAACAGUUUUGUUUUUAAAAAAAAAUAUAGGUGGAGUUGCCUGUUCUGCGCCUAAGUUCAUAUCUCAGGGACAUAUAAAGAAAAAGGAUAAUGACCAUUUGCACAAAAAUCAUUAAAUCAUGGUCCAGUCCAGUAAAAAUUUGUUUCAUAAGCCCAUUCCAAUGAAAUUAAUUAAAAAGACACUCAUACCCUUAAUUCUAUAUCUCUGUCUCUCUCCUCUCUCGAUCUCUAAAGACUCUCUCUCUCUCUCUCUCUCCUCUCUCUCUCUCUCUACACUGUCACUCGCCGGCAAGCCAUGAGGAGGAGUGCGACAUCGCCGGCAAGCCACGGAGCAGUGCGUCGUCACCGGCAAGCCACAGAGCAGUGCAUCGUCGCCAGUAAGCCAUGGAGCAGUGCGUCGUCGCUGGCAAGCCACGAGGAGGAGCCCCCUCCAAGCAUCUUCAUCAUGCCGUCUCUGUCUAACGCGCCUUUGCCGGCGAGCGGAUUUGCUUGAGGCUCGAGUAGAAGAUUCGAUCUCCAAGCAGUCGAGCUCCGAGCAGGCCAGAUCUGCUCCAAGCAGUCGGCGUCAGAGCAGGCCGAGCGCUACAUGGAUUUGCUGAAGUCAAGGCCGGAUCUGGUCUAGAUUCACCGCCGGACAUCGGGUCAUCUCUUAAGCACUGAGCUUUGGUGAGAGGAGGAGGAGCUCCGGCGAGAGGUGGAGGAGCUCCGGCGAGAAGUGGAGAUCCAUGGCUUGUGCAUUCCUAUAUGGUGUUUUUGAGAGGAAGGUAAAUGAACGCCAGUAGCGGUCAAUAACUCGAUUCCUGAGGGUCAGUAACUCGAUUCUUGAGGGUCAGUAACUCGAUUAUUGAGAAAAUUUAGCGACUGGUGACCAAAACCAAUGAUUAACUCAAUUACUGAAGGUCAGUAAUUGGUUACUAGGUGUCAGUUACUGGUGAGUGGGGGUUAGUAACAGUUUAGUAGGUGUUAGUAACUGGUCAGUAGGGGUCAGUAACUGGUUACUGGGUGUCAGUAACUAAUCAAUAACUGGUUAUUGGGAGUCAGUAACUUGUUAUUGGGGGUCAUUAACUGGUCAGUAAUUGGUUAUUGGGUCAGUAACUGGUUACUGGGGAAAUUCCAAUGACCAGAGUCCGGCGGUUGGGGAAAUUUCGGUAACCGAAAUCCGGAGGUCGGGGAAAUUCUGGUGACCGAAGUCCGGCGGACGGUGACUGAAGUCCGGCGGACGGUGACCGGAGUCCGAGGUUCCGGCCAAGUCUUUUCAUGUUGAAGAGGUGGGGCAAAAUAGUCUUAAAAUAAUAUAGUUUGUUAAGAUUUUAGUAAAGAUUUGACCAUUUGGGCAAAAAAAAAAAAAUUUCUUUCAUUCAAAUGGGCUGAUAGAAAAGAUUGUCAUUGGAAUGGGCAAUGAAGGGUUACAAUUAGUACUAAAUGGGCAUUUUCCCUAAAGAAAACUUAUAGCAAUAUGCUAAGGUCAGGAACUCGUGCUACAUCCAAUUCCACAAAUAAGAGAACUCAAAUUGAGAUGGAUGACGAACAAAUUAAUCCAACUGGAAAUUGUCGCUAACCUGUGAAGAAAGGGCGUGGCAUUACAAGGGAGCUGGGAACUUCUGCUGUGAUCAAUCCAAAAAGGAAGAGAGUUGAAAUCCAAAUGGACUUUGAGCACUAAACUCCAGAUGGGAAUUCCGACCCUCCUUUAGUUCCAACACCUCUGAAGAAGACCCGUGGCAUUACAAUAGGAUUGAAGAGAAAUUUUUCAAUCUCUGAACCACGUGGCAUUGUACAGUGGUCCUCCCAACUAAUAGAAAACCACCGCGUGUAACAUUUUUGACAAGUCAUACCAAGGUGAAAAAACUNNNNNNNNNNNNNNNNNNNNNNNNNNNNNNNNNNNNNNNNNNNNNNNNNNNNNNNNNNNNNNNNNNNNNNNNNNNNNNNNNNNNNNNNNNNNNNNNNNNNNNNNNNNNNNNNNNNNNNNNNNNNNNNNNNNNNNNNNNNNNNNNNNNNNNNNNNNNNNNNNNNNNNNNNNNNNNNNNNNNNNNNNNNNNNNNNNNNNNNNNNNNNNNNNNNNNNNNNNNNNNNNNNNNNNNNNNNNNNNNNNNNNNNNNNNNNNNNNNNNNNNNNNNNNNNNNNNNNNNNNNNNNNNNNNNNNNNNNNNNNNNNNNNNNNNNNNNNNNNNNNNNNNNNNNNNNNNNNNNNNNNNNNNNNNNNNNNNNNNNNNNNNNNNNNNNNNNNNNNNNNNNNNNNNNNNNNNNNNNNNNNNNNNNNNNNNNNNNNNNNNNNNNNNNNNNNNNNNNNNNNNNNNNNNNNNNNNNNNNNNNNNNNNNNNNNNNNNNNNNNNNNNNNNNNNNNNNNNNNNNNNNNNNNNNNNNNNNNNNNNNNNNNNNNNNNNNNNNNNNNNNNNNNNNNNNNNNNNNNNNNNNNNNNNNNNNNNNNNNNNNNNNNNNNNNNNNNNNNNNNNNNNNNNNNNNNNNNNNNNNNNNNNNNNNNNNNNNNNNNNNNNNNNNNNNNNNNNNNNNNNNNNNNNNNNNNNNNNNNNNNNNNNNNNNNNNNNNNNNNNNNNNNNNNNNNNNNNNNNNNNNNNNNNNNNNNNNNNNNNNNNNNNNNNNNNNNNNNNNNNNNNNNNNNNNNNNNNNNNNNAGUUUGAGGUUCAGUAACCGCAACCCCCAAACCGGACGGGGUGGGCAAUUUCAAAAAUUGGUUCAAUUGGGAGGUCAAAUUUGCGUGCGGUGCUAUUUAGCAUUGGGUUCGUGAUGCUGUGCUCUUUCUGAAUGAGUCCAAUUGGGGUUUCAGGUUUCUAAAUUGAUAUAUGCUUUAAUAAUUUGGGGGUCACAAGAGAGGAGGAGGAAGAAAGUGUUUGAAUUCAAUAAUUUCUUUCGUGGUGAUCUGGUGUUGUAACAGUUGAAGACCAAUUUGGGAUUCAUGUGAGAGUUGAUAACUGGCCACCAUUUGAUGAGCUAUUAACCCAAUGGAUCCUGAAGGAGCAAAGUUUGGAAGAGGACCAAGAGAGUUUACUGAUUCCGUAGAUCUCAUACUCACAACAAAUUGCAUGCAAACCUUGAGUUGAGUUUGUCUGCAAGCGUACCCAGUGCCCUUCAUGUAUCAAUUCCACUACCUAGUCUUUGUUUACCCAUUUUGAAGUUAAGGGGAUACAUCAAAGCUAACCGGAAAGGGGGGUCUAUUUUUUUUUUUUUCUAGAGUUGUCUUGUCACAUCCCGACCCUAAAAUAUUUAUCUUAUUUACUAGCUUGAUUAUAAUAAGAAUUUUACCGUCUCCGUCAUUGAGGUUAUAGUUUAAUUGGUCCCUAGAGGGGUUUUGGGGACGGUUAUUUUCGGAGGAUUAUUCGUAAGAGAAAAAUAUGACGACGGUAAAAAUGGUAAAUUUUAGCUAGUAAAAGGUAAUUUUUAUUCAGGUAUUAUUUUUUCGGGGUGUUUUAUUUUUGGAAUUGGGUUGUAUAUAGGACUUGGACCGGGUAGGAGGCCCAAGCCUAUUUCUUCUUCUCUCUUUUCUUUCUCUCUUCUCUCUCUCCCUCCAGAGCUCUCUCUCCCCCGCCGGUUUCCUCCGCUCAGCUCGCCGCCGUCCGGCCACAGUAGACCGCCACUUCGGUCCCGUUCGGUUGCCCUCCGACCCAGCUUCCAUUCUAGACCGGUGAAGGCUGCCCUAGCGCCGCCGUGAAGGAGUUCUCCCGCCUAGAACCUCGGGCUGCCCAAAGUCCUCCAUCGCCGGAACUCCCUCCUCAGGCCACCAAUCCGAGCAAGCUUGGUACGGUUUUGUAGGUCUCUAACCCAGCUGCCUUGCCCUAAAAGGACUCACUCCGGUUCGCUUCAGGUAAGGAGAAAUUAGAGGUGGAAGUUCUAGGGUGUUUUAGAUGUUUUUGCUCGUUUGACCUAGUUAGGCUUGGAUUUUGGGUUUGUGCUAGUUAGGAAAGUGUAGAGGGAGUGGAGAGGAAGCUACUGUUAAAAUUUGGUAGGAUUUGGAGGUCGCCGGAAUCGGCCUCCGGCCUCCGCUACCGGCGGAGCCGCCGCCGCUAUUUGGGAGAUUUUUAUGGUUUUAAAUGUGGAAUAUUAAGAGGAGUAUAUUGUUGUAAGUUAUGGAAUUUUUGGAUGAGUUUUGGAUAGGUUUAUGAAUUUCCGAAGUGUGGUAUUUUUGGCGGUUAAUUAAUGUAGAAUCCGGCCGUAGGAUUUAAGUCAUAUUUUUGGGGAGGUUGUAAUUACGGCUGCCGCGUAUGAUAUUUAAGUUCGGAUCAUUUCGAUUUAAGAAUAUCGAAGUUAGGCAAUGAUGAGCGUAGUUAUGGCUCUCGGUUAAUUUUGGCCUAUUUUGUGUAAAUAUUGGAUUUUUAGUUGGGAAAUUAAUUAUAUGUUUGGAUCAGGACGUGAGGAGGCUCGAGUGAAAGAGGCCUCGGAUCGACGUCAGGCUUAGGCCUAAAUUUGUGAGUGGACUUUUGUUUUAAAAUAUAUGCAUGCGGUGAUUCUACAUUAAAUGAUUGAUUUUAUUGAAUAUCAAUUUGUGGAAUUGUUUAUUUUCGCGAAGUCAUUUUCAGAAGUAAAUAUUCUCAUUUUUAAUGGCUAUCGUGUUAUUUGGAAAGUUACCGAAAAUGAGAUUUUCGGUAGAGUCGUGUGCGUAUUGUUUUUAUGAUAAUUGGCAAUUUUCAUUAUUGUUGGAGAAUAACCGAAAUUGAGAAUUUCGGUGAGUGUAUAUAUAUAUAUAUAUAUCCAUUNNNNNNNNNNNNNNNNNNNNNNNNNNNNNNNNNNNNNNNNNNNNNNNNNNNNNNNNNNNNNNNNNNNNNNNNNNNNNNNNNNNNNNNNNNNNNNNNNNNUAUAUAUCCAUUUUGGAUGAUUAUGAGAAUAAUAUGUAUAUGAAGGAAUGCUAGCUAGCUAUACAUGCUUUUCCACCAUACUGAGGUAAAAAUUCCAUUAUGGUGCGACGUGAGCGUUAGACGUAAUCGUCGUAGCCCUAUAUAAAUAUAAUAAUUUAUAUAGGGGAUAUGCGCGUAUAUAUUUAUACACCGUCUUUUCCACCAUAAUGAGGUAAAAUGCCAUUAUAGUGCGACGUGAGCGUUAGACGCAAGCAUCGUAGCCUUAUGUGAAUUUUCUAUUUGUCUUUGUUGUUUCAAGAAAAUUCAUACAAGGGAUAUGACGAGUGUAAUACAUACAUAUUUUAUUUUAGCCUGAGAGGCUGUAUUUUAUUGAGCUUUGGAGACUGCCUGGAGCUAGUCAUGAAAUUGCCAGUUUUUGUGUUGAGCGUUUUUGAGCUGUCGCAUGCAGCAUAUUUUCUAUGGAAAUGUAAAUUGGGAAAGCAUAAAUAUUUUCAUUAAAUUUAUGUUUUUGUCCACUCACUCUAACGUGUUUCAAAUGUUUUCCCCUGGGCUCUUCGUUUUAAAAAUGCCCAGUUUGCAGGAUUGCAUAGUUGAGGUCAGGCGUACAUGGGGAUGAGGCAUAGUCAUCAUAUAGCUUUCGCUUGUUAAUUUAUUAUGUUUCCUUUCUUCCUAUUAGUGUUGCUCUGAACCUAUAAAUGGUUGGAUAUGAGAUUUGUUUAGAUUAGUAAAUAAUUUGGGUGGUGUUGUGAUUUGGGGAGCACGGAGGCUCCAGGAGUUUAAGGUUGGAUUUAAAUUUUCAGAAGUGUUUGCAGGUAUUAUUAGGAAGGGUUGUCCAUUUUCAAGGGAGGUUAUGCCGAUUUUUUGGUAAAUUAUCCUUGGAGGUGGUCCCCACACGACUUACUCUGGGUUUCAGGGUGAAAUUUGGGGCGGGUCGUGUCAUGUCUGGUUUUACCGCUUUUAGUUUAUUCACCUUGGUAUGACUUGUCAAAAAUGUUACACGCGGUGGUUUUCUGUUAGUUGGGAGGACCACUGUACAACGUCACGUGGUUCUCCGAGAGGACUGAAAAAUUUCUCUUCAAUCCUAUUGUAAUGCCACGGGUCUUCUUCAGAGGUGCUGGAACUAAAGGAGGGUCGGAAUUCCAAUCAAGAUGGACGAGGAUCAAAAGCUCCCUGAGACCGUUAAAGCUAAUGCUAUGUUUGUUAAUGAAAUUGGGUCCUUCACACGCAAAUUAGCUCCACUCAAGGUCAAAUGGUGGAAGGACGUAACUGAGGAAGAGAAGAAUGAUAUCAAAGAAGCACUGACGGUGAGUUAUAAAAUGUCUUUUUUGAUUUAAUGUUCGUCUAAUUUGCUAAUUUAUUUGUUUCUUUGAUUGUAGACUAACUUUGACUUCGACUGGAUUGACUCGGAGCUGAGGAGAUUUGUUGAGAAGAAAAUAGGAAGGAAUCAAAUUUGCCAACCAUUAACACUUUGUUGGUCAUGAGACCAUCCACUAGGUCAGAAAAGGCUUCAGACGACAGUUGAUAACUGUCGUCUGACAGCUUAGAAAUGUGUAGCUUAAGUGGCUGCCGUCUCUAAGCAUGUUAGACGACAGUUAUUAACUGUCGUGUGACACAGAGUCAUACGACAUAAUUUUUUAAAAAUCUAUCGUCUGAAGUGAUUAAGAUUGAAGCCUAAAGGAGAACUUAUGUCGUUUGUAAUGGUAUUCAACUACAUAAGUCUGUCAUAUGUCAACAGAUAUAACUAUAGUCAUGUGUCGUUGGAAGGUCAAGCAAACAACACAAAACUGUAGUUUAUGUGACAUAUCGACUACAUACUUCC
rnacentral:lncRNA from 1 species